AAGCAGGUACCUUCUCGAUAUGGUUACAAAGAAUUUUCCGAAUAGAAAACAAUUCUGAACUUUAAGUAGUGAAUUUAGGAGCUGUAGCUUUGGUUCAACGUAGUUCUUUAACAUUUCUUAGGCAUCAUCAGUUUACAUGAUUGCUUUUAGUGAUUCAGAUUGGUAGAAACCUUUCAAGAUUGUAUUGCGGCUAUAAUUCUGCAUAUUCUUGAUCUUUGGCAUUAACAUUUUAGUGCAUGUUUACUGCUUCAGAAUUCUUAGUUUGAUACAUCGAGCUUAUCUAUGGUGACAUUUGCAAGUUGUCACCAUUCAGUCUUUUGUUUACAUUGCUGAUGAAUUAACAUAAAGAGAAUCUUCAAGAUAUAUGAUUCCUGUUUCAAAUUUAAGUAUACUCGUGUAAGAUAUAUAUCCCAAUUUGACACACUAGCAGGCAAGUUUAUACUUACUGUUUAUGGUUGCUAAGGUGAAUAUAGUAUGCGUAGUUAAAUUGCAUAAAUUUGCUAUGCCAAUAUGGAGGUUGAUAGUUUAUACUAAGAUCAACCAUAUAUAGUCAUGCAUAUUCAUGAUAUCUAAACACGAUUAAGAGGAUAUGAUGGUAUUGGCAACUUCCAUAUACAUGCAAAAAAAUUGACAAAAAGAUGUAUGUUUUUGUUGUAUACUUAUAUCUCACACUCACAACGUGUAAGCAUGAUAUCCGAAGAUGGAUAUGUGAAUUUAAAAGGAACCUUUUGAAUACAUGCAAAAUUUUAGAAAAAAAAAAACAUAAUUUUGUGUCGGAUGCAUAUUUGUAUUAUCCAACAUUCACGUUCGAGUUUUUUGUGAGAGUAAUUUUUUUGUCUGGCACUAGGGUGCAUUUAGAGGUAUAAUCUUGAUACUUUCAAGUUUGAUUUUGAGUUUAGUUUGAAAUUCGAAGCUUGUUACUUGGUUGAGCUCGAUUAAAUAUUUAUCUUUAAGUUCGAGUUUAACUUGGAAUAGAGUUAUUUAAGCUCAAGUUUAAUUAAACUCGUUUAUCAAUUUUAUAAUAAAUUUGAACUCGAUUAAAUUUGUAUAUAUUCAAGCUCAGACUAAUGAUUAAGGUUAAGAUUAAUAAUAUACGCAAUAAUAUAAUUAUAUAUAUAAAUGAAAAGAUUGAUAAAAUUCAUAAGUUCAAAUUUUAGUCGAAAAGUUUUUCACGAGUUGUUGCAGCGUCGGUAUCUCCUCGAAAGUAGCGUAAAUAAAAAAGGUAGAAAUUUCAGAAGUUGACAGGGUCUCGGCCAAAAUACAUCCAGAAGUUCGUUACUGAAAACAUUAUUAAACAGGGAAGAUGAGAAAAAAGAUGUACAGCAUGAGAGAGAAAUAUAUGAGCUCAGCUCCGCUUGACAGGAUCGAAGUUGGACACACCAAUUACGGCUCCAACAAUGGCGACCAGAACCACACCCCCGGCCGCUAUACUGAGCAAGAAGUUCUUGAGAGAUGGGCUGACUCCAUCAGCCGCUUGAGCCACCUCUGGCAUCAUCAUCGAUGUCGUCAGUGCUGCCGCUGUCAACCCCGUCACCGCCUUUUCCUUGAACGAAGAAGCACCAGCCUUGACUUGGAGCCUUCCGUUGGGUCUUUUAACACCGCCCAUUGCCCUCCAUGGCUUCACCGGAAGUGGCUUAAAGAAUGCCUCAGAGCUUGGCACCCUGUUUUGGGUAGCUACAGCUAAGGGCAGAGCCAUUGAAGCAGCUGAAGUGGAUGCCAUUGAUUCUUUCGUUUUUGCUUGCUCUCUUCACCCUGCAAGUCUAAAAACCAAAAAAGAAAUUGUCCUCUUUUUGUUUGGUCGCAAUUGUGUGUUUUUGAGAGGUGGGGGGUAUGGGGAGAAGAAAUGAGAGGUGGGAAAUUGAGAUUUUCAGAUGCCACGUGGCGUCCACAAAUCUAUCUAUGUCCUACGUGGCAGACUCUCAAGUUGGAAUUGGUGGAUAAGGUUAUCUCCCAGUGAGGUUGAAAUUUGGGUGAGAGAACUUUUUUUUAUUAGCCGAAACUCUGAUUUCUUUGUGACUUAAGUGGUUCUUAAGCUAUUUGGGCUGAUUUUGGACCCAUUAGAUUGGCGAAUGGCAGCUUUAUUGGGCUAAUGAUAGACUUUAAAACAUUAGAAUCAGAUUCACUUCUACAAAAAUAGUCAAUUUAAAAUGAAGUUUAUUGUUUUAAGCAUUUAUAAUUUUGCAAAUAAAAUAUUUUGUUUAGAGUUAAAAUGUGAAUAAAAGUUAUUUUUUAUAUAAUUUUUACUCACACGUUACUGAAAUUUAUUUUCCACACACAAUACCACUAACACACGGUCCCCUGCCUCUCAAUCUCAUGAUGUUGGUGUGGGGUGAUCAUCUUUGACUAAUAGGUCAAAGUGUUGGAGUUCAACUAAAUUAAUUCAUUUAAUAGUAAAUGGAUUAAUUCCUGUAAUAAAGGGACUUGCUAAUUACAAUAGAUACAUUAGAGAUCUAAUUUUGGCAAUAAUUUUAACAGGGAUCCCCAUUUGUUUUUGUUGAGUGUUUCUGAUGUGUUCUCUUAGUGGGGAGAAUUGGGUUAUUUAUAUGAUAUGUUUACUGUUCAUAAAAUUGACGUUCUAGGUAGACUCCAUGCAUGUCGACACAUAAGCUAUCCUAGACUUAACACAUGUUUGUUGGUCCGGGUGCUUGUCGGUUCAUUCGUUUGGCUUUGUACCAUGUGCUUACGAACACCUAGGGAUGUGCGAACUGAGCUCGCAAGCUCUCCCCACGAGCCCCUCAACGACUCCACCUGGUGAGGUCCAAACUCGGGUCGCAAUCAAUAGUCUGAGUUAUGUUCAGGUUUCGAGUUGACGAUUGGAUAUUUCAUAACAAUUUUAUGUGUAAACUUUUAGUCCUCCAAGUUGAUCUUAUUCAACAUUGAAAGAACUCUUGUCCCUAUGAACUCUCAUUCCCCAAGAUUAGUUGCCUUGAAGAAUUCUUGGAUACUGAUGAACAAGUAUAAAUCCAGUUGGUUAUGAUGAACAAGAUUUCGAUAAUUUCAGUCCAAUACCAAAGUUUUAUGCCAUAGAUUUUUAUAUAGUUUCAAUUGGUUAUGAUAAAUUAAGUUCUUGUGUUACAAGAUGUUAAUUUUGAAGAACCUGUUCUUGAUGCCCCCCCCAAAAUAAGAUCUCUCAGUCCCAAUUCCAUUCUGCAAUUCCCUGGCAAUUCUUCUUAUGGUUCAGAUAAAGUCCUGCUGAUUUCGAAGAGAAUCAAAUCAAUGGCUUUCCAUUAGUUGCAAAUGGCACUUCCGAAAGCCAGAUUACCAGAUGAUUAAAAAGAGAAGAUAAAGGCCUUAUUCUUCUGCCACAAAACGAAGCCUUGCCUUUGAAUAGUGUAUAUGGUCAUGGAUAUGUUUAAAGUAGCUCUUUUGAAAUGGAAAUUAUUGAUGUAGACAUUGCCAUCUCUAUUGGGGGGUGGUUAAAUUCUACUGACAAUGCUUCUGUACUUCCUCUAACUUCUUCAAAAGGCAAAGAAAUUGUCCAAGUUGAUGCGUUAGGCCUAGAACUGAUGAUGUCUGAUUCGGUUCGAUACAAAAUUUUAGAUUCAUUUUUUAGGCUUGAGUUGGCCCAAAAAAUUGAGCUUAAAUUUUGUUUAAACCCGACCCAAGUUAAAAAUAUUAAAUCUGAGCUUGACUCUGUAUUAAUUUUUUUAGAUUAUUAUUUUUAUAUAAAAACAAAUUUAAAAAAUAUAAUAUAUUAAAUACACUAAAAAGAAUUUUAAAUAAAUGUUUCUCAACAAAUUGAAACUACAUUUAAAAAAAAAGAGUUAAUCUAAACAAUAAAAAUAAAAUAGUAGCAAUAUAAUAGAAAAUAGCAACAAAACAAUAACAAUACAACUAAUUCGGAUUGGGCCGGGCCAAACUCGGGCAAAUAUUCUUACCCGAAGCUUGAUCCGUUUUUCAAGUCUAUAUUUUUGCUCAAGCCCUCCCACUCUUCGGACGGGCCUUCGAGCUUAAACGGGUGAUCCGACACAUGAUUAAGUCUAAUUUGGCUCUAUAAUAGAUCUCCAUUAAUUACAAUCAACUCAUGGUAAAAGAACUAAACCAAAAUGCUAGCACCCUGGGACUAGAUCUAGGAUUCGACAUAUCUCCUUAACUUAAUAAUACAUGUAUUAAAUUUGAUGAAAUUUAUUACUAUAUAAAUCACAACUAAGGUUGGAUUUUAUGAAAAAAUUUAAAAUUUUAUAGUACAAUUUUUUUUCAAUUAAUGGUAUCAGUCAGAAUGUGCUACACUGUUCAUAUAAAUUGAUUUUCAAAAUUGUUUUCUCUCUCGUGUAAUUCAAUUGAUAGAAAAUAACAUUAUUAAUCGUAUGCAUGUUUUUGGUAUAGUUUUCGACAUCAUAAAAAGAUUAGAUUUUAAGAAACACUAUAUAAUAAUAAUAAUAAUAAACCAGACAAAACCGCAGGAGCAUGAAAAUAGAAGUCAGGGCGUUUCGGAGUAGAGGCAGCAGGCCACAAUGCGGGUUUCAUCGCCCAGUAGCGCCGUGGCGUGCGAGCUGUGCGCUGCACUACUCCAGGAUCCAAUGUAUAUUCAAGAUAUCUAAACACAAAAGAUAAGGAUACGAUGCGACCAAUGACCUCCUAUAUACAUGCAAAAAAAUUGAAAUAAAACAUAUCUUCAAUGUAUAACUAUGUCUCCAUUAUAUCCAAAAAUGGAUACAAGAAUAUGACAGCAACCUUUACCUUGGAAUACAGGCAAAAGCUCGAUAAAAACAAAUACAAAUAUUUGUAUCUGAUGCAUUCCUGUAUUAUCCUACACUUGAAAACAAAGUGUUGGGCAAUUUUACAGUUACUGAAUAAAAAAGAUUGAAAUUUCACAAGUUGACAGGGUCUCAGCCGAAGUACAGCUACGGUAGUUUAUAGCUGCAAAAACAUUAUUAAACAGAUAACAUAAGAAAAAAGAUGUACAGCAUCUGAGAGAACAAUAUGAGCUCAGCUCAGGUCCGCUUGACAGGGUCGAAGUUGGACACGCCAAUCACAGCUCCAACAAUGGCGACCAGAACCACACCCCCAGCCGCUAUGCUGAGCAAGAAGUUCUUGAGAGAUGGGGUAACUCCAUCAGCCGCUUGAGCCACCUCUGGAAUCAUCAUCGAUGUCGUCAGCGCUGCUGCUGUCAACCCCGUCACCGCCUUUUCCUUGAACGAAGAAGCACCAGCCUUGACUUGGAGCUUUCCGUUGGGUCUUUUAACACCGCCCAUUGCCCUCCAUGGCUUCACCGGAAGUGGCUUAAAGACUGCCUCAGAGCUUGGCAUCCUGUUUUGGGUAGCUCCAGCUAAGGGCAGAGCCAUUGAAGCAGCUGAAGUGGAAGCCAUUGGUUCCUUUUUUCUUUUUUCCUUGCUCUCUUCAGUCUUCACACCGUAAGUCUAAACCCCCCAAAAAAAUCUUCCUCCUUUUGUUUUUGCUGCAAAUGUGUGUGUUUUUUAGAGGAGGGAUAAGGGAAGAAGAAAUGAGAGGUGGGAAAUUGAGAUUUUCUGGUGCCACGUGGCAUUCACAAAUCUAUCUGUCUUACGUGGCAGCUUCUCAAGUUAGAAUUGGUGGAUAAGGUUAUCUUCCAUUGAGGUUGAAAUUUGGGUGGGAUAAUUGAUUGGCUAAUGGCCAUUGAGUGGCACCCUAAAUUGCCAAAACACUGAUUUCUUCUUGACUUGUGUGGUUCUUAAGCUAUUUGGGUUCAUUUUGGACCCAAUAGCAACUUUAUCAAAUACUAUUUUAUUAGGCUAAUGUUAGACUUUAAAACAUUAAUAUGAGAAAACGACAUGUUAUGCUAAUAUCUACAUGUUGAUAUUUUUCGGAAAUAAUCUGAGUUCGAAUCAUUAUUGUACUAAAGAAAAUUAGAAGACGAAAUGAGGUUUUUGGAUAAGUUUAAAUUAGUUUUCUCCUCUAUUUAAUAAAGUUAACAUUUAUUAUUUAACAAAGUAAAUAUCUUUAAAGCAUUUAUGAUUCUGCAAAUAAAAUGUUUUUUUGGAGUUGAACUGCAAAUGGAAAAAUGAUUUUCAUGUAAUUCUUUAAACAAUAAAUGUUAACUUUAUUUAAAUCUAACUUUUUUUAUCAAAACAUUAUUUAAAUUUUUUCGAUUAAUAGUAGAAGGACCAAUUUGAAUCGAUCCCUAUAGUAAAAGGGCUUACUUGUUAUUUUCACCAAAUCUAAUCAAAUCCUACUAUUCAUUUUCUUAAAAUAUUAUAUUAACAUUUGCACUUUACCAAAUUAUGUACCAUGCAAUAACCAUGAGGUGUGGUGUGGUGAUUGCUCACCACAUCCUUUAAUCAUGUGGUGGGGGUUCAAUCCUUGUUCAUAGUAAUAGAUCAUAUUUUAUGACCAGCUAUUUCUCUCUUUAGAGAGCACAUACAUCAAGGAGAUUAAUCACUUCUGUCAAUGGUGAAUACCCUAAUUACAACCUAAAAAAAUUUACCAUGGAGAUCCAAUUUUGACAAUGGAUUUAAUAGGGAUUUUUUUUAUUCUGUGAACUUUUAGUUCUCCAAAUUGCUUUUGAUUCAAUAAUGAAAGAAAUGUGUUGUCCAUAUGAAUUCUCAUUCCCUAAGUUUGGUUUGGUUACCUUGCAGAAUAUGUGGGUACUAAUGAACAUGUACAAAUCCAGUUGGUUAUGAUAAAUAAGAUUUUGAUAGUUUCGGUUUAAGGUUUAAGUUUUUUUGUCAUAGAUUUGUAUAUAUAAUUUUGGCAUGUUUAGCCAUGUGUGUUCCAUAAGUAUCUAAUAAAACUUUUUAAUACGCGCGACAAACAAAACACAAUAAGUCAAUUGAAGAAUGAUGAAUAAAUGAUAACUCUCAUAUUUAGAGUUAUUUUAAUAUAGUUUUCAUAGUAUUUUAGGAGGUAAUUUUAGCAUUUAUGUUAGUUUACAUUAUAUUUUAUUUGAAUUUUGUUCAAUUUUGAUCAUUUUUAAAGGUGGUUUGAGUUUACUUGCUAUUUUUUUUCUCAAUUAUAGGCAUCAAAUGAAGAAGUGAAGACUUGGAGCAUAGAGAAAAAAGUGGUAAAGAGAAGUCUUCUGCUCUACCAUAUUUAAUUCAGUGCAGUGGAGUAAGCUCUUCAAUUUAGAAAUUUUGAUAGCAAGUAGUUCGCUCCACCGCAACUUCUGCCUGCAAUGGAGUGAUGCGAGCAUGACACCUAAAAAUAGAGAUUAUAAAAUUUAAGAAGAACGAAAGAGGAGGAAAAGAGGAAUAAAUCACAUGGGAGCUAAAGAAAUGCUCUCUCACAUCAAGGGAAAUUUCAAACUUGCAUUGAUAAGAAAAAAACAAUCCAAAGAGCUCAGCAUAAAUUUUUUAACCAUUUUUUCUCUAGAUUAUUUUCUUUUUACUUUUUAUUAGGGUCAAAGCCAUGAAAUUUUGGUUCGGCAAGCAAGGAUAAAAAUAUAAAUUGUUGAGGGCCAAACUUAAAGUUUUUAUACAAAAAAAAUUAAUUUGUAAUACUAAAUAGUAAGUGAACUUAAACUGCAAUAUGUCCAUUUUAUCCAAGGGGGCCCAAGGCCCUUACUUAUCCCCACUAUUUUUUUAUUGAUCUAAGUUCGUCGUGGAUAUCUUUUUGUUAUUUUCUCAACUCAAUAUGAUGGAUCCUAUUUCUUAGUUAACUAAUUUAUUUUCACUUCAAUGUUUGGAUCCUUGAACUAUAUUUAUUCAACCUUGUGCUUAUUUAAUCUGCUUGCCCAAUCAACAAGUUGUAUUAAUUUUGAUAACCUUGAUUUAUUUUUAAAGAAAAAGUUAGAGUUGAGAUCUAAUCUGAAUAGAUUAGGAUUAACUUAAGUAAUACCGACGAACAAGUUAAUUUGCAAUUUGGGUAGGAAUAUACCUAAUGCCCUAAUCAAUACAGCUAGUGGGGAAGAGUGUUUAACUUAGCUAGAUACUAGAAAAGUUUAGUUAUUGUCAUUGAAUCCUAGAUUAGUAAUUACAUAGUUUAAACAAUUGAAGAAGGGAUAAUUGAUUAACCGGAUUAGGUGAAGUUAAAGUUCCAAGUCCAUAAAAUUUGUUGAGAAACUUCGAAAGUUUUCAUUGCUUUAGUUUAGUAAAAUCUUUAUAGUUUGCUUAGUUUAAUUUUAGUAGAAACGAUAAUUUGUUUUUAUUUAUAUGGAUUAGAUAAAACCCAUUUGUUAGUACUCCACAACUUAAAAUUUGACCUUCGUGAGAAUGAUAUCUUUUUUAUCACUUUAUUACUUGAUCAACACAUUCACUUAUGUUACGAAUUUCGGUCAUCAAUAAAAUAUAUAAUUAUAUCAAAAUUAUGCAUUUUUAAUGAAUUAGAUGAUAGUAUUGUUAUAAAAAUGUAUUAAAAAGCAUAAACUUGAAAUUUGAGUAGUGAUGCUUAUUUUAAUUCUUAUAUUGCAACAUUUAUUAAGCCACAAUUAAUCUAAAAUAAUACAUGUUAUUAAUAAAUAAUUAAUAUUUUUAAUUAUAUAGUUAAAACGAAUAAAAAAUUACUAUACAAAAAUAUGAUUAAUAUGAUUUUAUUUGUUAUUAAUAAUUAAAUAAUAUUACUUAUUCUUAAUCUACUGGAUCCAAUUUCAACUCAAUUAUAUGUUUUAAACGAAUAAAUACUCUAUUUUAAAAAUUAAUUUUAAUUUUUAAUAUAGUAUAAUGAAAAAUAAAAUAUAAUCAUACCAAAACUUUAUUCUCAUUCGAAUGAGUAUUAGAAAACCGCAUAGCCCUCUAACUUUAUAAAAAUAAUUAAAUUUUUCAUUUAAUUUUUCAUCUCCUUUAAUUAACUUUGUUAAUUAACUUUGUUGAUAUGUUAUUUUAGUGACAAUUUACGUAGAUACCACGUCAAUAAUUAAUUAAUUUUUAAAAUUUUAAAAAUUUAAAAAAAAUUGUAAAAAUUAUUAAAAAGUACAAAUUUAAAAGUAUGUUUUUUAAUAUUUGUUAAUUUUAAAAAUUAUUUAUUUACUAAUAUGGAAUAGGCUAAAUAAGUAAAAUAUCGAAAUGCUAAAAACCGAAAAUUAAAAUAAUUUUUUAUAUAAAAUUGAAAAGUAAAAUAGAUUAUUAUGCCUUAAUCACGAUGGAACGUAAAUAGGAAGAUAUGAUCCCAGGUUACACUCUCAAAUUGUUCCAAUCAUAUAUUAAACUCGAUAGUGAUUCGAUAAUAUGGAACUAGAUUCGAGUUUUUUUAAAUCCAACUUGAGUAGGAUUUAAUUAAGUUUCUCAUUUACCCCCCCCCCCCAAGGUCCAAAUUAGCGUAAAUUAGAAAGAAAUUUCAGAAGCUGAAAGGAUCUCAACCAAAAUACAGCUACGGCAGUUUAUAACUGGAAAACAUUCUUAAACAGAUAACAUUCAAAGAAAAAAUGUACAGCAUGAGAGAGACUUAUAAGAGCUCAGCUCAGGUCCGCUUGACAGGGUCGAAGUUGGACACACCAAUUACAGCUCCAACAAUGGCGACCAGAACCACACCACCAGCCGCUAUGCUGAGCAAGAAGUUCUUGAGAGAUGGGGUGACUCCAUCAGCCGCUUGAGCCACCUCUGGGAUCAUCAUCGAUGUCGUCAGCGCCGCUGCUGUCAACCCUGUCACCGCCUUUUCCUUGAACGAAGAAGAAGCAGCCUUGACUUGGAGCCUUCCGUUGGGUCUUUUAACAGUGCCCAUUGAUCUCCAUGGCUUCACCGGGAGCGGCUUAAAGAAUGCCUCAGAACUUGGCAUCCUGUUUUGAGUAGUUCCAGCUAAGGGCAGAGCCAUUGAAGCAGCUGAACUGGAAGCCAUUGAUUCUUUUUUUCUGCUCUCUUCACCCUACAACUCUAAACCCCCCUCUCCUUUUCUUGGCAAAUGUGUGUUUUAGAGAGGAGGGGUGGGAAAUUGAGAUUUUUAUGUGCCACGUGGCAUUCACAGCUCUAUCUAUGUCUUACGUGGCAGCUUCUCAAGUUGGAAUGGGUGGAUAAGGUUAUCUUAUUGGUCCAAUCCCCAUUAAGGUUAAAAUUUUGGGUGACAACUUCUAUGAUUGGCUAAUGGCCUAAACCCUCAUUUCCUUUCGACAUGAUUGCUUCUUAAGCUAUUUGGGCUGAUUUUGGGCCCAUUAGAUGAGCCCAAAACAUUAAAAUCCAAUUAGUGAAAGUACAUGGUAAUUGGUAUGUACCUCUACUAUAGGAACAUGUUUAAAUUAGUUAAAUAUUUUUAAAUUGCAAAUAAAAUAAUUUGUUUGGAGUUUAACUAUAAAUGAAAAAUUAAUAAUUUUCAUAUAACUUUAUAAACAAUAUAUUCAUCUGUAACACAUACUGAGAUCUUAUAUACCCAUCCAAAUGAGUAACAAAAAUAAAUAAAUAACAUUCUUACAUUGACAUUGGAUGUCUUUUACCAUCAUCCAAACACAUAUAGUAGGUGCCCUUUAUCCACCAAGACAUGUUAAUACAACCCCCCCCCCACCACCAUCAUUACUUCUAAGCUACAAUGAAGAGAGAAAGAAAUUAAAAAAAACUUAGUUGCCCUAAUAGGAACCAACCAGUGCCCAAAACACAGCAUCCCCCUGCUUAUAUAUCUGAGUAGAAAGGGAUUCAACAAGUAUGGCAGAAGUAGAAAAUGCGAGGAACAAAAAGUUACACACACCCCACAAUUUUAGACAAACAAACAAAAAAAAGCUAGUCGCUGGUGUGGCUAACCUCAUUUGAUUUGGUCAAAUUACAAGUAUUGUUCAUGUAUCCUGGUUCGGUUCUCUUCCCACCACAGUCUAGCAUGCAUUUCCCCAAAUAUUUCUCGGCUGCACAACCCCGAAAGUAUUAGUUUUUAUGAACCGUAGAAUAGACAUGAAGAAUAUUUUGAUUUUACCCAAAAAAGAAACUUUCUCGGCUGCAUGAUUAGAGGUUGUAAAAGUGAGGGAUCAAGCUAUUAUUAUGAGAUAAAUUUUUAUGGAAAUUAAAGUUGAUUUGUUGCCUUGGCAUGGGAAUGGAAUAGUUGGUCAAAUAAGAAAGCGAUUCACAGUGAUGAUGCUGUCAACAAAAAAAUUAAAAACAAAUGAUGUAUGGCUAAUGAAGCUGUUUAUGAUGGUUGGUAAUUCUAAUGAUAAUUGUUUCUAAGGUGGACCUUAAUUUUAGCAUUGACUUGGAUGUAUCAGCCUAAAAAUGAAGUCAAAUCUAGGAGACAAUUGGCUUUUCGGAGCAUUCGUAGUGAGCCUUUAAUGUUUAUGUAUCCUAAAUUUUAUCUUUCUUUAGAUCAGGUGUCCAAUAGUCACAAUGAGUCUCGGCUAAAUUUAGAGUCGAGCUGAGUCGGACCUCGAUGGGAGGAAGUUCUUUCAUUGUUGGUUCUCUGUCCAUAAGAUUUGAACAUUAGACUUUGCAUAAAGAACAUCAAACUCCUUACUAUUCAACCUAACAGAAACCGGUAAUUAAGUACCUGUAUACUAUAUGCCUAGAUAUGAUUAUGAAGAUAUACCUUCAAAUGUAUAAAUUUUUUUUAAAAAUAGAAUGUAUCCGAUAUGGGGAAUAUUGAACUCAUCAAAACAAGAAAAGAUUUCUAAUAUAAUUCAACCAAAGCAUAAAGACACUGCCCAUGAUGACGAUGCAUAAAAUAGAACACUAUAAUUAGCAUCAAUAGAUAGCUGAUUUAAGGCCUUAUAAUUUGAUAUGAAACAAUCAUUACAGCAGUGCUAAUGAAAACUAUAGACUGUAUGCUAGGCACUGAAAAGGAGAGGGCAAGUUAAAACCUGGAUUUCAGCUAACAAUGAUUGCUAUUGAACCUAGGGGUGACAAGUUUGAGGCAUAUGAACUAAUCUAAAUUUAAUUUUAGAUAGUUGCAGCUUGUAAGAUGCAUUUGCAGCGACUGCAAGGAUUUAUCUACAACAUGAUACUUCUCCCUAUGUUACUUGACAUUUUUAGAUGUAUAUGGUGGGUCAUAUUCCUAUAUCCAUGUCCGGAUGUGCAUUAAACAUGAGUGUUGAAUUACAAAUACGAAGAGUGCGAAACAGUGUACUUCUACCACUUUGAGAUAUUGCAAGUUUCCUAAGAUUAGGUGCAAAGAACACAUUUCUCGAUCAGUAAUAAUGGUCUGGUAUAUAUUAAUUGUUUUUUGGCAAACAAACUGAAGUUAAAGGUUUGUUCAUUAAACCAUACCUGAAUCUAACUCGCCUAAGCUCCCUUUUGCCUCCUGGCAAGGCUCUGAUUGUAAUGUAAACGCCUGGUUCAUCUUGUUCAACCCACUCAGUCUCGAGAUCACUGGCGUUACUGAUAGAUAGCUCCCCGGACUGAUCAGCCUCUCUCGAUGAGCUACUCCUCAUAGAGGCAUCCAUUGAUGAUAUCUCUGUCUUGGCACCACUAAUGCUAGAAACUUUUGGGGUUGAAGUAAGACCAGGGUCACAAUAAUGCCUGGCCUGCAUUGGGUGCUGAUCAAGUGAAUCUGAGGAUGAGUAGCCCAUCCCCAUCCCUGCUGGACGAUAUAAAUUACGAGGUAAGCGUUCUUUGGUCAAUGGUGGUGUUACAGGGCUUUCUUCUGCCGAUUCCAUUUUCGAGCUCUGUAAGGAAUUGAAAAAACACAAUACCCGUCAAUGCUGGAUACAACACAAUUAUAUGACAUGGCUAGGUGUCUUAAACAUGAUUAUGGCAUGGAAAAACAUAAGAACAGGACUGUAAUACAUGAAUUACCAGACGUCUUGAGAUACACGCAACAUACUAACUUCAGUUCAUGACAGUAUUAGCGAAGGGCAUGAAGUACUAUGAAGUAGAUGCAGUUCAUUAUGUUUAAGCUGGUAACAGGCUAAAAACUUGCCUCAUCUUCAGACCUUGGGGGUGUUGGUAGUGGAAAUGCCUGGCGGUGAAGCCUCUGAACAUUGUAAAGUUCCAUGACCCUGUCAUAGUUCUCAGCCCACCAUCUUUGAGCUUGCCAUUUGUUAAACAUUUCCCGACUAGUCAAAGAAAAUAAACUAUAUUUCAGCACACUCCUGAUGUUCUCGAGAUUAGAAUACCAGAAAUCAGAAAUUAGUGGUUCACGUUCUGUGCUAAAAGCGUGAGUGUGAGUGUCAGAUCCGGAUGCAAGUCUGACAUGAGUAGGUUCAAUUUUUUCAAGAAGGUUCACAUAUUUAGACAGUCUUUUGAAGAAUCAUAUACCUUUCAAAUAUAUGUCGAACACGAAUACUUCAUAAAAGAUAAAGAACCAAAAAAACAUAGAUCAAAACUAUAAAAAAUAAUAAUAAUAAUUCAUGUCCUUGGAAAUGAAGUCCUAAUUUGACAAUGAUAAUACUAUGUUUAAUGAUUUGAAAACCUAACAAUGAGCAAUAUAAUAAACAUUGCAAUCAUCAAAUGAUUACAGGGAAUGUGUUAUAACCCAAAUUAUUAAUAUAUUAAAAUUUAUAUAUGCAAUAUUUUAAAUCAUAUAUAAAAAGGUCCCAAAAAGAUCAUAUGUAAAAAUAUAAAUAAAUAUCUUUUUAAAUUUCCCUAAUUAAUUAAAGAAAAAGAAAAUGACAAAACAUGGGUCGGGAGAAGACAAGGCGACGGAGAAUCAGGCGUAAAUGGGAAUUUUCUUUUUCCUGGUUUUGUUUGAAAUGAAAAGAAAGGGCAGAGGCAGAGACAGAGGCAGAGGCUUAUCCGACACGAAGACAAAGCCUCAGUGAAAAAGCUUUGAACACAAUCAAUCAUGUCCCACAAUGAGUUAUUCUUUUGGACUUUUUCUGUAUUGCUUUUCAUUAGGCGUGAAGCCAACCUACCUACUGUUACACAAGAGGGGCCCUCACCUAAAAUUUUCUUUCAUUUUCUAUACAAAAUGCUGCUUAAGGCUAUGUUUGGCUCAAUGACACAUUACAAGAAAAAUGGCAGAUAAAGGUCAGGGAAAAUAAAAUAAGAGUAAUUAUUUCAUAAGUUUAUUUUUUAGAUUUCAUUGAAAAUAUAAUAAAUAUUAUUCAAAUUAUUAUAUAAAUUAAUUUAAAAUCUAAGACUAAAUUUACAUGAAAAUUCCUAACUGAAACUUACAAUGAAUUAGUAUCCAGAUUUUACUUUACCCUAAUUUCUAUAAAUAUCAUGACUAAAAAAAUCAUGUAUAAAUUUGUCUUACAAAAAUGGUAAUUAAUUUUAUAAAUUUUUAGCGAUAAAAUUUAAUUUUUUAUUUAAAUUGGCUGCCAAUGAUCAAGCAAAUAAAAAUUUCUCUUUACAAAAGAAAAGUUUUUUUUUCUUUUCCUUUUAAAAAAUCGAUCACUUUAUAAAAGAUUGUGUCAAUUAACUCUAAUAAAAUAAAACAGUAGGCAUCCAAAAUUGACUUCCAAACAACCUCUAAGUCAUACUUCUAUCGCCUCAAUUAAUAAUAUAAAAUGGUUGGAAAAAAUUAAUAAAUAAAACAAAAGAAUUUUUCUUUGAAAAAUAAUAAUAAUAAUAAACAUAUAAACCUGACUGAUGACGUGCCCAUCCAUUCUCUAAAGUGAUUUUCCAAACAGUAUAUGAAAUUUCUAAAAUAACUAUAACCGUACGCCUAAAAAUCCUGCUAUAGAAAAGAAAUAAUGUCAAAUAAAAAGAUUUAAUUACAAAAUUGACCUCUAAUUUUUAUGUUUUUAUUUAAAUAUUUAUAAUUUUAUUUAAAUUACUAAUUUCAUCUCUUUCUUUUUUUUUUUGACAACUUCUAAAUAAACGUGCUACGUAUCACGUUUUCAUUGACUCUUAUUUUAGAAUAAAAUGCGAUGAAAUUAACAUUUUAGGUAAACCAACAUUUGAAUUUAUUUUUUUAUAAGCGAUAUUCAAAUUUAUUAAAUAUUAAAUAUUAAAAUUUAUAAUUUGAAUUUGAGAUUUUAUAUUCAAAAUUAUUAUUUAUAAAAGGGAUAAUAUCAAAUUUAACACUUAACGUUUACAUUUUUAAUUAAUUUGAUCCUUUUUUAGUUAAAUUUGACCAUCAAUAUUUUGAAAAAGAGUCCAUAUGAUUUUUUUUAAUGAGAAUACUAACUAAAAUGUUAAAAUUUUAAACACAAUAGCCCGCAUGACAAUUCACAUAUACUCCACGCUAAUUUUUUUAAAAAAAUUAUGAACUUUUUAUAUUUCUUAAUUUUAACUUUGAUUUAUUUUGAUUUUUUAUCUCUAUAAUUUUUGAAUUAUUUGUUGACAUGCAGGAGCGAAGGCAGAACAAUUUUUUAGGGGACCGAAUGAAAUUUUAAUUUUUUAUAGUCUAUAUUUUUAUAAUUUUUAAAGGAUUAAAUCAAAUUUUUAUAAUUUUAGGGGGCUAAAGUAUAAUUUUACCUUUACUAAUUUAAAAUUUAAAAAAAAUUAGAAAACCUAAAUGACAAUUUUUUAUUUUAGGAGGGCCAGAGCUCAUGCCAACCCCUAGAAUUGCCUCUGUUGACAUAAUAAUGUUAUGUUAACAUAAUGCAUAUAUAUAAACUGUCAUACGAGUUGUCACGUCAAUAGCACGCUAAAAAUUAAUAUUUUAGUAAUUAUUUUUGCUAAAAAACAAUUUCACUUUUUUUAUAAGUUAAAAUUAAUAUUUAAUUUUAAAAAAUUAAAGAUUAAAACAUUCAGCUAAAUUUGUCAUUAUAAAAAUAAAACAAAUUUAGAUUAAUGAAUAUAACAAAUUUGAAUAAUAAAUAUCUAAAAUUAAUAUUCACGUACUUUCCAAAUUUAUAAUAAUUAAAUUUUUUAAAUUCAAAUAUUUUUGCUAGUCUCCGAAAAUGGAAGUCGAAUUCUGCAAAAACAGAAAGAAAAGAUGAAGUAGGGAGCGCACCUGAACCGUAUCCGCUUGAGAUCGUUGCCGCCGUGAGGGAGCGAAACGAAGGUAAUAAGCACGCCGGGCUCCACCUGAGCCUCCCAUUCUUUAGGCUCACUUUCUUCGACGAACACGACCGAUUGGAUUCGGCGUCCACUCGCCGAUUUCGGCGUCGCUUCUUCGCUCGAACUCGAUAUAGAUAUCCCUUUCAACCUUGCUUCCAUCUCCUUUCCCCACGCCCUCGGCGUCGUCGAGCUCCAACUCCCCGUCCUGCGAUACGACCACUUGGACCUGUCCGACUCAGCGUCUGAUUCGCCGGAGUUUCUCAACCGGCUCUGUGCCGUGCAAGGGUUGCAAUGCCUAUACACCCCCGACGCCUUUAGCGCCAUGUCCUUCAACUAAAUCACACACACACACACACACACACAAAAAAAACUAUCGUUAAAAGGAAAACACAGAUCAAGGAAUUCAAAAUCAUUGACUUCGUAAACUUCACAGAGUUAAAUUACCUGAGAAGUGAGGGACUUGAUGGCCUGGUUCUGCUUAGCGCUAGAAGUAGCGGAAGAGUCAGUUUCCUCGAGUUGACUCGGUGAGUCAUCACCGGGUUGUUUAGAACGAGCUAUACACGUCAGCAUUAUUCUUCUGGAAUUCAGUUUUCUUUUGCAGUUUCAACGAAUCGUUCAAGAAUUCUUCAAUCCUACCAUUAAAAUCAAAAUGAUCAGAGGUUCUUUACAACAAACAAAAUAAAAACAUAUUUAUAAAAAAGUAUCACCUCUCUGUUCUCUCUUCGGAGGAGAUUAGAGACAGUAAGAAGCUGCAUUUGCUUCUUUUUUUUUUCUUUUUGCUUGAGAGCGAAUCGCUGUAAUGAGAGAGUUCUGAUUGCUGUUUGGGGAAUGGUGAUGUGUGAAAAGCUUUUUAAACCUUUUUGCUUUAUUUUUGUUAUUAACCUGCAACCGGAUGGAUUUACCGGCAUUUUUUUGCACGGACAUGGAAUUAGCGGGUUUACUUAUUGCAGUGCUGUAAGAUGUUACAUACCGUAGUGCUGCUGAUGCCAUUGGUAUUAAAUAAUACACUGCGAAUCCCAUGAGCAUUACGUAAUAUCACAAAAUAAUACCACCUUUGUUAUUUAUAAGGUUUACUUUCAUGCCUCAGGUUUCAAAACUCGUUUAAAAUUUAAGAGAAUUUAAAUAAAAAUAUUAAGCUUAAAAAUUAGGUCUGAACAAAAAAAUUAAGUCUAUUUAAUAUAUGAGUCAGGCUCGAGUUUAAACAUUUAAUGUCCUGAUCCGACCCAUUUUUAAGUUUAUAAUACUUUAUAUUAUGUUAUCUUUAUAUAUUAUGUAAUUUAGAACACAUUAAAAAAUAAAUAUAUCCUAAAUAUAUAAUACUAUUCUAAUGUAAAAAUUAAAAUAAUGUUAAGAUGACUAUAUAAAAAAAUUCAAUUAAUAAAUAAAAGGUAUAAAAUUAUUUAAUAUUAAAAUAAAAUAAUAAAAAUAUCUUUUUUAAAAAUUAAAAUAUAAUAUGGGCGGAUCUAAAAUGGGUUUAGGUUAAUUUUUUAUAAAUAUGAGCGAGUUUGGAUAAAUUUUUAGGCCCGUAUUUUAAGUCGAGCUAAAUUUGGACAAACAUAAAAUAUAUUAAUAUCAUACUUAAAUCCGGUCAUGAUGAACAUGUCAUGAAUAAUUUAUAUAAAUAAAAUAUGAAUUUUAUGGCUCUCUCUAUAAAUCAAUCUCUCUAUAAUCGCUUCUUCUCUCUCUUUUCAUGUAUUUUCAUUAGUAACUAAAGUUUGCAUUUUGGGCUGAUUUACCAAUAAAACCUUAAUUUUUUAUAAAUUUACAUAAAUGAGCCCGGCAUUUUAUUAUUUACCGGAAUGAGCUAUAGAGGUGCUCAUGGGCCGGGCCGGGUUCGGGUUGGGCCCAUAAAAAAUUUCGGCCCCGGCCCGACCCGGCCGAAAUAUGGGCCUAGAAUUUUUCCCAAGCCCGGCCCGGGAAAACAUUCAUAAGCCCGGGCCCGGCCCGGCCCGUUUUUUAAAUAAAUACCAAAAAUUUAUUUUAAAAAUUAAAACAAAAAUUAAAAAAAGUAUUUUAAAAUUAAAAAAAUUAAAAAAGUAUUUUAAAAAAAUUUAAAAUUUAAAAAAUUUAAAAAAAGUAUUUUAAAAGUAUUUUAAAAUUAAAAAAAAUAAUAAAUAAUAAAAAUAUUUAUUAUAUUCGGGCCGGGCUGGGCCCGGGCCAAAAAAGUUGUGCCCGAGGCCCGGCCCGUUUUUUAAUUGGGCCUCGUUUUUUUGCCCAAGCCCAUAUUUCGGGCCUAUAUUUUUACCCAAACCCUCCCAUAUUUCGGGCGGGCCGUCAGGCCGGGCCGGGCCGCCCGGCCCAUGAGCACCUCUAGUGAGCUAUUUUUCGGCAAAUCGCGUCCACGNNNNNNNNNNNNNNNNNNNNNNNNNNNNNNNNNNNNNNNNNNNNNNNNNNNNNNNNNNNNNNNNNNNNNNNNNNNNNNNNNNNNNNNNNNNNNNNNNNNNNNNNNNNNNNNNNNNNNNNNNNNNNNNNNNNNNNNNNNNNNNNNNNNNNNNNNNNNNNNNNNNNNNNNNNNNNNNNNNNNNNNNNNNNCGCGGCCACGUCAGAGCGCUUUGCUGAUGUGGCAACAAAUCGCCCUCUCGUGGAUGCGAUUUGUUGCCACGUCAGCAAAGUGCGCUGACGUGGCCGCGAUUUCCUGACUUGUAGGUUUUUGGAUUUUAGGGUUUAGGGUUUUAGGGUUUUUAAGAUUUUUAGGGUUUUGGAGAAAAAAAGUAAACAGAUAAGUCGCGCCCACGUGUACGCGCUUCUUUAUGGAAACAUCUGCCCUUAAAUCUACAAAUGUUGAGUAUGCAUUCACUGAAGUACUAACUCAAAUACAUCAUGUGAUCAGUCGAAAAGCACUCGAAGGAGGGAAUGAUUAAACAACAUUGCCCAAGGGACAAACCAUCAAUGUCGGCUCUCGGGAUGAUGUUUCAGCUGUGAAGAAAGACGGCUGCUGUUCUGCAUAAUUGUUAGAUGAUUCCGAGUGUCCAAUUUUGCUUCCUCAUUAAGCACAAGCUUUCCUCACCGUGAUCUUUGUCGAGAUCUUUCGUUGAAGACGAAGAAAUCACAGCAUUCCAGGGAUUUUCUUAUAGUUUGUUCAGACAGAUCUAGUUUUAGUAUUUUAAAUGAUUUUCAUUAGUUGUGGAGAAUAAAUUUUAAAUUAGCUAUCAUAAUGUUUUGUAUUUUCAAAGGAGUAUUUUAUGUAAUAUAGCAAAUAAAUAGGGAUAAUUUAGGUAUUAUAAAUAAUUUAAAUAAUUUAGUGCAACUAUAUACAUGAAUUUUCAUUAGUUGCACUGUUCACGCGUUGGGCAAGUUGCGGCACGUCAGCAAAGCGCGCUGACGUGGACGCGAUUUGCCGGAAAAGGCCCAUUUCGGUAAAUAAUAAAAUACCGGGCCCAUUUCGAUAAUUAAAAAAAAUAGGCUUUUUUUAGUAAAUUGCCCUGCAUUUUGGUCUGGCAAAAAAAAAAUAUGCAUUUUGGUUCUAAAAAGUUUAUUGUUUCAAUUUUCUUUUUCUUUUAUGCAUUUUCUCUUUUUAGCUUAGUUCAGCUUUCAUUUUAUUUUUAUUGAAAUAAUGUAAUCAAUUCCUUCCAUGAAUUUGAUCAUAUAAUCUGAAAAUAAAUAAAUUAAAGCCCAUCAUUAGUGAUAAAGGGCAAGACCAACCGAUACUACAAAGACUUCAACCUCAUCAAUAAUAAAACAUUACAUCUUAUUGAUAAUCGAUUUUGUUACGACUAAAGCAUUACUUAUAUGGGGUGAUUGCAAAUAGCUUAUCAUGAUAGGGGAACUAGUCCCAAAAGGUCAAAAGCAAUAGAAAUAAUCAACAAAAGAAUCAAGCAUCGAUCAAACUGGAGAGGAGGGCAGUAAAUACAUUCCUAAAAGCACUUGCAAAAACAUGACUACAAGACAAAAAAACCUUUAACCAUUUUCCUAAAAAAAGGAAGACUUAUUAAACAAUGUGAAACAAAUAAAAAAACACAUAAAACUUAAAUAACAGAGGUCCAAACGACUCAUUAAAUUAUUUAUUAUUUCGAAAAACUCUAAAAAAAACAUAUCAAGAAGCCAAUGAUAAGUCACCAUUCAAGUAUCUAUAAUCAAUCCACUUUUCAAGAUAAAUUGUUGGUGGCUGAUGAAGGUUUAAUGAUCUAGACGCCAACAUCUAUUCAUUACAGCCUAUAAAAAUAAUAAAGAUGCCUAUAAAAUAGAUAUACAAACUAAAAAGAGAAAAAAAUGCAUUGAGGGAAUAACAAGAAAAAGAAAAAGUUGGUGGGAAUGAAAAAAAAGCGGGUUAACACUUCAUUUAUAUGAAACUUACCAAACUUAUCAAACUUACACUUCAUUCAUGUAAUUUUUUAAAUUCGAUAAUAAUAUCUACACUAUACUUAAAACCUUCAAUAAAAUUAAUAUCAUAAAUCAAUAGUUGAAAAAAACUAAAAAUAUAUAUUUUUAUUAAGUAAUUUAUAACAGUAUGAGGGUAUUUUUAUUUUUAUUUUAUAUUUUUAUAAAUUAAUAAAAAAUUAUAGAUGGAAAAAUUAUAUUUUAAAUUAUAUAUUUGUUGCAUAAAUAUUAAAUUGUCAAUUUUACUAUUUCGAUCCCUAUUUCAUUUAAUGUUUAAUAAAUAUAUUUUAUAUAUAAAAUUUUCACUCGUAAUCUAAUAAAAACUAGAUUAUGGCACAUCUAUUGUUGUGUGAAUAAAAAUAAAGAUCUUCAGAAUCCGGUAGUUGAACCAGUCAAGUCAUCAAUUCGUCAAUCUAAUUGGUUCAACCGAUCCAUCCAAUUCGAUUAAAAAAUAUUAAAAAUUUAGUUCACCCAAUCUAUAUUGCUUCCCAAGUCAAUUGUUUCAAUGCCCUUUUUUGGAAUAGUACCUCGGCUAGAGUGGUCGGUCCAGUUCAAUUAAAAAAAUAUUAAAAAUUUAGUUCACCCAAUCUAUAUUGUUUCCCAAGUCAAUUGUUUCAAUGUCCUUUUCUGGAACGAUACCUUGGAUCGAGCGGUCGGUCCAGUUCAAACAACCUUGAUGAAAAUAAUUAUAUAAUUUAAAAUUAACAUAAAAAUUAAACAUGAUUUUGGUUGAAACGGUAACAUUGAGAAAAUGAAUAUUAAGGUGUUUUGAAUUCAAAUCUCAACAUAUGCAUAUAAUUUUUUUUAUGAAAAUAUAAAAAGAAAUAAAUUACCAUCGAAAUAAUAUUUAUUGCUUUAUAAAAUAAAUGGGUUUUGGGUAAAUUUACAACAGAAUUAAAAUACUAAGUGAUAUAAACUUAAUUAAAAGUAUUAUACAUAAUAUAGAUAUAAAUAGAUAUAGACAAAUUAUUAUAUUAAUAUAUUUUCUUUCCUUUUUGGGGCUUUGGGUUAUUUGAGAUGGCCUAUUGGAGCAAAUUGAUGGGUCGCUUGGAGGCUCAAUAUAGCAGAAAAAUGGGCUUAACUAAAUCUCUUUUCUAGGGUUAUAAUGAAUUUCAUGCUUAUUGAAUGUUAUCUCUUUUUAUUGUUGAUAAGGUUUAUUGAAUGUUAUCUCUUUUUAUUGUUGAUAAGGUUUGAAUUUUUUAUUUAUUCUUGUUAUACUUUCAUAAUAGUCUGGCCACCUAUUAGUUUGACAAAACAUAAAGAAAUCAGAAGAUGAUUUUUCGUUUUAGGUCUAAAAUAAGUAACUCUUGAUAUUAAUAAGAUAAGUCAAUCUAUGAUUCGUAAUUAAUAUAGGAAUAUACUUGAUUAACUUGGAAAGCCAUAAAUAUCAGGGCAGUUAUUAAUCAACUUAGUUUACAUUAUUGGCAUAGGAAUUAAGGGGAUUUUAGUUCCUCAGAUUAAUAAUCAACUCUAUUAAGAUAAACUGAGUGGAGACGGAUCGAUUGGCUAAUGCAUUAGAUGAAAUUGUAAUCCUAGGGUUUUACUGUUGACUGUUUAUUUGAUUUAAUUUGCAUUACUUAUUUUUAUUUACUUUUAAAUUAGUUAAAAAAUUAUUAUCAGUUAACUUAGAUAAAUUUUAAAAUAAUAUUUGGUGAUUAAUGUUUCGAUUAGUAAUAGUUAUCUGUGAAAUCGAUAUUUUAUAUCACUUGAAAUAAUAUGUAUACUUGCAUAUGCGAUUUUCGAUCACCACCAACCUAAUACUUGAAUGAAUAACGCAUCAUUUAGGCUGGCUUUAUGAAUUGAGCUUGAACUUCAACAUCUCUUGUUUGAUGUUCAAUAUUUUCCACCGCGGAAGGGCCUUUAGAAAAUAAAUCCAUUAUUAUGGAUUAUAAAAAAGGGAAAUAUAUAUUAUCAACUUUUACGCUCGCAUCCGGAGCGUGAAUAGCACGAACCAAUUUAAAACAACAUAUCCUUUUUUAGCAUGUGGGCUUGAAACAUACACAGUGAAGGGCGGCGGGAAGCUGUAAUAAAAUAAAUAAAGCCAAAUAAAAACAAAGGAGUGAGAAGUGUGGUCCACACAAAGAGAUAAGACACGUACAAUUUAUGAACAAAAAGUAAAAAUGUAACUUUAUAUUUUGAUGAUUUAAUUUUAAAAGAUUAAGAUUUGGUCACUGCUUGUUAACUUGGUAAUGGGCUUAAGAUGUGAGGCCAAGUAAAUUUACAAUUGAUGACUCGAUUUCAAAGAUUAUAAAUUGGUCACCGAAUUAUUAAUAAGUUUACGCUUUGGUUAUUUAAUCUUUGCACUGUCAUUUCGUAACUCAAUAAUUCAAAUAGUAUCAAUAACAACUCAAACCCUAAAUCCUAGCAAAGUUAUAGUCAACCUCAUGCCUCACCUCUAACUCGACCAACUCAACCACUCAACAAUCUUUUAUUUUUAGCUCAUCCAUUGUUCCCAAUUGGCCGAAAUCAUAACUCAAGAAAACCCACAAUCAAACUAUUUAAUAUAUUUGUUCGAAAUCAACCACUAAAUAUCACCACAACCACAAUCAAAUCAAACAAAAGUACAUAAAGAGAGAGAGAGAAAACAAAAGUGUCCUUUUCAACAAGCCUCAAGCAGGACAUGCAAAAGUAAAGAAGCAAAAUAGAAUAAGAGGAAAGAGAAUAAAAAUAUAAAAAGGAAACUCAAAUGUACCAAAUUCAGUUAAGAUUACAUGUGAUGGAGGCUGAAUUCUAAAGGUCAAAGAGAAAGUCUUGCUACGAAGAGGAACAUAUCGGAGUUAGGCAGCCAUACGAUGACGCGAAGAGCUUAUUUGUUAUGACUUCGAGUUUAAAUUAGCUGGAUUUUAAGGAAAGUUAAACCAUAUAGUUGAAAGAGAAAAGGAAAAACUUUGUUCAAUGUGUCUCUUUGAGUAGGAGGCUGGAUGAUGGCAAUAUUAUUGGAAUUGAAUUGCGAAUGAGAUCCUUAAAACUCUAAAACUAUCGAAUAGUUCAAUAAUCAACUUUUAACAUUAAAAAAGCUGAUUGGUUAAAGCGUAAAUUUACAAAUAGUAGAGUGACAUUAUAUGUAGUUUAUUCUAUAAUGAAUAGUGAGUUAACGGCCACAUCCGACACUUAUUACCAAGUUAACAGGUUAGUAACCAACUUGUAACAUUUUAUAUAGUUCAAUGAUUAACUUGUAACUUUUUGAUAUCGAAUAAUCAAAAUGUAGAUUUACUAAUAAUUGAAUCACCUUCGAUGAGGAAAAAAUGAGUUCAGAGAAAACAAAUAUUUUUUUUAAUAAGUUAAAAUUUGUUGUUUAUUUAAUGUUUAUCAUAUAAAAUAUCUUAUAAUAAUUUAAAAUUUUAUAUAAAAAUAUUUUUAAAAAAAUACGUUAUUGGUUGUUUUUAUUAUUUAAAUUAUUUUAAAAAUAUUUCUAAAAGUUUUUAUUAAUUAAAAUAAGUCCAAAACUAAAUUAUAAUAAAUAUUGAAAAGAAAAUUUUAAAAAAUUGACCGAUGUAUGUAAUUCUCACUCGUAAUUAAAGAGGGAGGAAAACAUUUGGAUUGGAGAGUUGCAAGAGAGGGGACAUGCCUAAGUUUUUCCCAGCAAAAGAACAAGUCUUUGCUUCUUCUUCAUGCUUUCAUCAGAUCCCAUAGGUUUAAAAUUCUCUUCUUUCUUCCACUAUCUAUUUUUUUUUCGUUGUUUAGUUUGAUUCAAACUUAUCCAAUUACUACUUUUUUAUUCAUUUGUUUGCUUUACCUCAAUCCAUCUUCUUUUUCUUUUGAUUCUUUUCCUUUUUUACUUUCUUUCUUUUUCUAAAUCCCCUUUAAUUAUUUGUCUAUUAAUUGGGUUUCGUUUUGUUUUCCUUGAAAUGCAUGUCGGUGAUGCUGAUGUUGAUGAUUGAUUAUCAAGUACUUGUUGUUCUUGGUACAGUGAUUCGCCACUGUUGUUUAUGUUGUUCCUGUUUUGGCUUAUUUUUGGGGUGGAUUAUGUUUUUACUAUUUAUUAUAUACUGUGGUGGGCGGAUUUCAUGUCCUUUAACCAUCCCGUACAGUUGUUGACUUGUCCGUACAGAUUUAGUUUUUAUAUAUCUCCCAGCCAUUUUAUCUUCCUCUUUUAGACUGUGAUAAUUAUUGGUCAGCUCCCCCCGCGCCGCCUCUUCUUAUUUUCAUCUGUAAUUCAUGGAAAACUAUCAUCAACACUUUAUGGGUUCUUUGGUGGAUUUGCAGUAUAAGCAUUAAGUUUUUAGACUGUAAAACUUUUGAUCUGCAUUUGCUGUUUAGACAUGUUUGAAUUGCCAUUAGAUCUACAAUAUGUAUAAGUCCAUUCAUUUUCACCUCCAAAUUUUGUAAGGAACAUCAACCAUCUGUUGCAUUGUUAUUGUUGUUCGUGUACGUGUUUCGAUUGAAUGUUAAUUCAAGUGAUCGAAUAUUGAAAAUCUCGCUUGUGAUUUUGGUUUAUGUUGUAUGGUAUAUGGUAAGGUUAUAGAGUUUGUUUAAUUGAAGUCUUGGUUAUGCAUUGUAUGUUUGAUUUUGGGGACCUUUCAUCUUUCCGAUGGCUCGUGCUAUUCGGAGUCUCGGUUUGCUUUUACUAGCAAGAUUUAAUUUUAGUAGUUCUUUUGGCUUUCUCGUUAGCUCAGCUUGGAUGUCCUGAUCUUGAGUUCGAAGUGUUGCAUUCUGUUGUUGCUUGUGCAAUGUCUUUGUUCUGUUUGAUGAUUACAAAUAUUGUUUCUUAUAAGGAUUCUCUGUGUUUUUGCAUCAGGACAGUUGAUGAAUUAGAUGGCUGUUCGGGUCCAAAAUUUUCCAAAGAAAACAUUUGACGAAAGCUCUGUUCGUUCCCUAUCCCAUUUAUCUGUCAGUUGCACACCGUGGUGGAGUUUGAACGAGCAGCAAAUUGAAGAGCCUUUACCACACAACGUAAGCUUGAAAGUGGAAACUCCGUCUCAACUCUAUCAUCAAACGAAGCAUUUAGAUCUUCAACUACCUGACCAGGAAUUGACAACGGUUCAAGCAAUUGGUCGAACUCAUUGUGAAGUUGGUGCCAUUGGAGCGACCAGUUCUCAAUGUGAUCCAUCAGAAUCCGGUAUUGAUUCUUCUGGAAGUGUGAUUUAUUAGGAGUCUCAUAACAUGUUCUGUUUAUUAAUUUGAGAAAUUUAUUUCUCCCAUUAUUCUUGAUGUGUUAAUUGGUUUUGCUUUAGUUUUUGAACGAACUGAAACGGAUUGCUAACACGGUUUAUUGAAGACCGAAGGUUGUUGUCAAGCUUAACAGGUUAACGAUUUUCAUCUGAUAUCGUGAUCGUGUUUGCGUGCAUCAGGUCCAGAUGAAAGUUGUGAGAAGGAUACCGAGGGUCAGGUGAAACCGGUUUUCUUGGUUAACAAUCCAAACACUUUAUUCAGCCCCUCUCAUGAGAAUUAUAACCAUUCAAUGGUAUGUGUUUAACAAUUAGGAGUAAGCUUGUUUUGCUGUCUUCGUUUUAAAUUUAAUAUUUCUCAUCCCGUUUCAGGCUUGGACUCAAUAUCCAUAUGCCAAUGCUUACUUCAAUGGGAUGUUUACUCCAUAUGGGCCACAGGCUAUUGUAAGUAGGCACUUUUUAUUCAACACAGAUAGGGCUGAGCAUGGUCUGGGUUACUAGGUUAGGGGUCCUGAAACUAUAACCAUGAACCACCCAGAGUCGAUUCUAAAGGUUUUGGACCAUGGAUUGACUCAAUGAUCAACUAAUGCGGUUUUGAAACGACCCUAGACUACAAUCACAUAACUAAAUUUCAUAAAUAUUGAAAGAACUUUUGAAAUUUAAGAGUUCUAAUCUUGCAAGGUAUAUAUUAUGUUUAUAUAUAAAUAUACAUUGUUCAUCUUAAAAUCGGUCAAAAGUCAAUCCCACGGUUCAAUUCUAUGAUCAGAGCCUUCAAUUUGGGUGGUGGAUAGGUAUGUACUUAGACCGAGCCACUCUAGCAUCAGUCUAGGUUUGGUAUAGGUUUCAUCUUGUUUAACCUUAUUUUAUCUUUGUUGUGAUCGCUUCUCUUCUUAUUAUGUAACCAUGGUUGAAAUUUGACCAGAUUCAGGCCCAGUUGGGAGGAAAUGCUCCAACUCGAAUUCCACUGCCUCUCGAUCUUGCAGAAGAUGAGCCCAUUUAUGUCAAUCCGAAACAAUAUCAUGGUAUUCUCCGGAGGAGGCAAUACCGUGCAAAGCUUGAGGCACAAAACAAACUCGUCAAAUCUCGAAAGGUACAUUGAUUUCUGUUCGACAUUUGUUUGAACAAUGACCUAGAUGUUGCAAUGUCUAAAAGGUUAGGUGUGGCAUCGGCAGUUGAAUUAUGUAUCGAAUAUAGUAAGUUAUUUGCUAUCCGACUGUGUCGGUAAUGUUACCAUGUUUCUCAUAUUUGAUCAAUGAUGAUAAAAAUCAUUGGCCACUGAUCUGCUUUAGUUUGAAUUAAACGCAGCCAUACCUUCAUGAAUCUCGACAUCGUCAUGCACUGAAUAGGGUUAGGGGAUCGGGCGGACGUUUCCUUAGCAAAAAGACACUCCAACAGCCCAAUGACAACUGCACUAAUCGAACGAAUAGUAGAUCAGAACUUGAGAGUCAUUGUUCUCGCAUGGCCGGAUAUGGCGGUCCGAAUACAAGCUGCAUGAACAUCUCGAGCGUUUCCGACAAUGACGGCAAUUUGCAGUGGCUGGAACAUGGAUUCGCCGAUAUAUCUCGUGCAGGCAGUACAGGCGAUGGAAUACGGCACGGUGCUUCGGUUAUCCCGUGAGAAGGGGCGGCGCAGACCGGCAACUCAUCCUUGGCUUUACCAAUACCACUUCAAUUAUGUUUCAUGCAUGUUGUGUAAAAAUGUAAUCUUUUUCCAUGUUUACUGUAUUUUCUUAUUUUACACAGCUGAUCCAGGAAUAAGGGUGUUACUGAAAAGAGUUUGGCUUGGAAUUUUAUUACAAUGAUACUUCAUUUGUGGUUCUUUGUUAUUAUGAGGUGUUAUUUCAUCAAUUAUGUAAGAUAUUUUUGUAAUUUUAAUAAAUUUAAAGCAAAUAUAUAAUUUGAUUAGACAUGUCCAAUUAUAGGAUUACGGUUUUCUUACCGUAUUUGAUUUCGACUAAAUGUUUAUGCUACUUGAUUUUUACUUCAACCUUAAUUUUAUUACAACUUCAACACUCAAACCUAGAGUAGUUCAUGGUCAAGCCACAGUCGCGACUCGGUUUCUAAAAAUGAAAUCCAGGCCGAAGCCUGCUUUGGGGUUUCGGCCUCCUUUGGGGGCUCGGCUCGGCUCGAUUCAUACUCGUUCUACUGUUUAAAAUACAAAAUAUUAUUUUGAAAUAAUUCAUAAUCUCUUUUCAACCCCUAAAUAGAAAGAUAAACGCAUUUUAGUGCGCUCGACCUAUGUGUGUUCAAAAGGUUAACCGAACCGAACUAGUAUUAAUUGAAUUAACUAAACUUUUUAAUCCUUUAACCGUUAACCAAACUAAUUUUUAAAAAAAAAAAAUUAACCGAACUGAAAUAUUUCGGUCAAUUUGGUCAGUUAACCGAAAUUUAUUUAUUUAUUUUGUUAAAGAAAGUAUAAAACAUUUCAAAAAAAAUGAUAAUGUUUAUUUGACCGAAUUAUUCUAAUUAACCGAAUUAAAACUACAUAUAAAUUGUAUUAUUAAUUAUUAAGUUCGUUUAAUUACCUGAUUUCAAUUUGAAUUAACCGAUAAUUGAACUUCCAAAAAACCAUUAACUGACCUCCGACCGAAUUAGAUCGAUUAACCGAAUUAGACUGGUUCAGUCAGUUAAUUCAGUUUUAACCGAAAUUUAAACACCCCUAGCUCGACCAAUGUUUUAUUGCGUUAACAACAAUAUUGAUGCCAAUCAAGCUAAAACUCAAUCAAUUUUACUCUUCAAAUUAUUAAUAAAAUUAUUUUAUAUUAAUAUUUAAAUAUUUUAUAAUUAAAUUUAAAAAUAUUUUUUAUUAUUUAAAUCAAAUUUAGAAUCAACCGGGCCAAGAUAGAAAUUAUCUGAUUCCAGUCCAAUUCGAUUAAGUAAAAAAAUUUUAACAUCCUUAAACAGUUAAACCUGGGCCAGUGGCGGAGCCAAGGGUGGGUUGACAAGGACCCGACCUCCCCUAAAAUGGAAAAUUUUCUAUUUAGAUCCUUUAUAGUUCAUAAAAUUUUAAAUUGGAAAUAGUAAAAUUACACUUUAGCUCCUUUAAAAAGUAAUAAAAAUUUGAUCUAAUUCUUUAAAAAUUAUAAAGAUAUAGACUAUUAAAAUGAUGAAAUUACAUUUUUACUAUCGUAAAAAUAUAUAAUUUAAUUCUGACCUCUAAAUUUUUUUUUAGCUCCUGUUAGAUUUAAUUUAUUGAUAUAAAUAUAAGAUUAAACUUGAAUAAUGAAAUAGAUUUUUCGAAUUCAGCAGUUUUGGCCACUAAUUAAAUAAUAUUUGUUUUAUACAUUAAUAUGAUCAAAAAAUGAAUACAUGUUUAAUUUUGGUUACAAAUAAAUAUUAUAUAUUCGUUGCAUUUUGGACCCCCGUGGAUGCACGCACUUGUUUUGAGAGUUUCAAGUUAAUUUUUUUCCAUAAAAAAAUUUAAAAAAUAUAUGGUAUUAUAUUUAAUUUAGUAUCUAAAUUUUGUUUAAUUGUUCAAUUAGAUACCCAAACCAAAUGGUAUUAUAUGGUCCAAUAAAUAUUUGACAUGUGUGCUUUAGUAAAAAAAUAUAGGUACUUAAUUGGAACAAAAGAAAAUUUAAGUACCAACUUGAACAUUAAUUAAAGUCAAACUUAAAUACUAAAGUGAGACAAAAAAGCACACACUCAAAUAUCAAAUUCAGAAAACUCAAGUACCAAAUCUGGACAACAAAAAAACUUAGGUACUAAAUAUUAUAUUAACCAAAAAAACUUUUUUGCCAUAAAAUAAAUAAACAAUUUAUUGAUUAAUGUAGCUUUUCAGCUAAAACUUCGUGUUGUCUCCUUUGGUCUUGUUUGAUUAUUUAUAUUUUGUUUAUGAAUAAAGAUUAAUAAAAACUUUUUUUUCAUCCUGUUGAUGAAAGGGUAAUAUUCCCUAAGCACUUUAUAUUAUUACAGGGGCGAAGUCGAAAUUUUUUUGAGAGUGUCGAAAUUAAAUUGUAUAUUUUUAGGAUAGUAAAAAUAUAAUUUUAUCAUUUUAAUAGCUUAUAUCUUUAUAAUUUUUAAAGAAUUAAAUCAAAAUUUUACGAUUUUUGCGAGACCAAUGUGUAAUUUUACUAUUAUUAUUUAAAAUUUUAUAAAUUAUAAAGAGAACUAAAUAAAAAAAAUUCAUUUUAGUGCAGGUAAUGUUAUUAAUAAUCUUAUUUCAUAUUAUUAUUAUUAUUAUAAUUGGGGUUAUAAUUUAAUUUUUGAAUCAUUCAAUUGGGGUUUUGUUAAUAUACGCUUUCUGUUGGUUAAUGGAUAUUUAUGAGCAUUGAUAAAAAUUUAAUUAAAAUAUUUAAUAUAUUCUUUAUUAAAAUUUUAAAGAGUAAUAUAUAUAUAAGGUAAUCUACAAAAAUAGUCACUUUUGUUUGUAUUAGAUUACAUUUUAGUCACUUAUAUUUGAAAUGUUACGUUUUAAUCGCUUACGUUAUCGUUUUGUUACAAAGUAGUCACUCUACCAUUAAGCUCCGUUUCCAAAUGAAUUUUAAAUGCCAACUUGGAUGUCCUAUGCGGCAAUCCAAAUUAAAUUUAUUUAAUUAAAAAUAUAUUUUAUCCCAACUGGAUAUCCAAGUUGGCAUUUAAAACCUAUUUAGACCGCCGCGUAGGGCUGUCGUUAGGGAGGUAACGGAGUUUAACAGUAGAGUGACCACUUUCGUAACAAAAUGAUAACGUAAAUGACUAAAACGUAACAUUUUAAACAUAAAUGACUAAAAUAUAAUCUGAGGCAAACAAAGUGAUUGUUUUUUUAGUUUACCAAUAUAUAUAUUGAUCGUGUUUUUUUUUAAUUAAAUACUACCAAUCAUUAAUCAUAAAUGAACAACUAAUUGGACAGGUCAAAAGGCAAACUUAACAAAACUCUUCUCUAAAGCGACAGGCAAUUAAAUAUCUAUCGGUAUUUAUUAUAUAUUUUCCCAACUAACUUUAUACAAAAUUAAAUUAAAUUAAAAUUUUCUCUCUACUAAAAAUAGUAAAAUAGUUUCAUAUAUGUCAAAUUAAAUAGCAAUUUGAAUCUUUUUGUUAAAAUUUUUAUAUAUUUGUAUUGUUAAAAACUGAUUUGGAUGACGGAAUAAUCAAACAGUAACAUAUGGAGCAAAAUACAAUCUAAUUUUUAGUACAAAGAUCCUCAUAGUACUUUUCAUGAUAACUAUAAUUAAUUCAGUCAAAAGCAUAAUACACAAAAGAACCAAGAAAUAGUCAGAACGAAAAUCAUUCAUGGUAGACAUAUAUAUUAGGAUUAAGGAUUUACAUAUUGCAAUGGGAUUACUGAAAUUUGAAUUUAAAAAACAUUUUUCAUAAAAUUGGUGAAUAAAUUGGAAGUUGAAUGACCAAAUAGAAUGUUAAUAAUGAAAUAAAAAUAUUAUUAUUAAAUAUUACAAUCCGUGUACCUAUUCGUAUCUGUAUAUUUUAUUAAAAUAUUAUUAUGUUUAAAACAUUUUAGAUUUAAAUAUUCAAUCGAGUUUGUGAUAAUAAUAAAAGACUUUCGUUGAAAUGAAGUUUUAGGUCCGUUUGUUGGACACACACCUAUUACCCUUUUCAUUAUCAAAUUCGAACGAGUUAAAAGGUAAAACAGUCUCAAUAAAUAUAUUUUUCAAUAUUUGAACGUUCCAAUAUUUAUAUCAUAUCGUACUACAUUUUAUUUUACAAAAAAUAUAGGAUAAAAUAUGCCAUAAAUCCAUCUAUUCUUCGAAAAAUUGAAAUUUAGUCCUUACAUUUUUAUUUUUAGGAAUUUAAUAUUUUUACUUUUCUUAUUUAAAAAUUCAAGUCCAACUGUUAACACUAUUAAAUUUCAUUUUGUUGAAUUCAGAUUAAUUGCAAUGUCAUUUUUUAAUUAAAAGGCUACCAAGAGAGUAUUUUUUUUUAAUUUCAAAAUGUUACACCUAAAUUUUAAAAUCUGAAAAGUAUAUAGACUAAAUUCUAAAUUUUUAUAAGGUACAGGGACUUAUGGCAUUUUAACCAUAAUUUUUAUUAGAAGGUCUUUAGGGUAACUGACCUAAACCCAAAUGCCGAAUGUCCUUGUGAAGGGAGGGUCAUGCCGAAAUGGGACCCACCACCCUUUGAAUCAAAACAAAAUUAUCUGGAAAUUCAAAUCGAUUUUUUUCUUAAGAAAAAAAACUAAAUUUAAAAUAAUAAAAAAAGAAAAACGACCAAUCAGAAAAUAUCACAUAAAGAACACUCCUCUGAAGAAACAGAAAUCCAAAAAACCAAAUCCUAGGCGACGACGAAGAGAAAGAAGGAAAAAAGAAGAAAGGGGAAAAAAUGGUGUCUUACGUAAGCGUGUUGUUGUACGGAGUGGGAGGGAUAGUGGUGGCCGGGAUGGCGUUGCUGGUAGCGUUUCAAGAGAAGCUCGUUUACGUUCCGGUUUUGCCGGGUCUAACUAAGUCUUACCCGAUAACGCCGGCCCGACUCCGGCUCGUCUACGAGGACGUUUGGCUCAGAUCCUCGGACGGAAUCCGACUCCAUUCUUGGUUCAUCAAGCUCUUCCCUGAGUGUCGAGGUCACUCUCACUGUCUUACUCCCGAUCCGCCUUCUUUUUAGCGUUUUUAUUUUUUUUGUUACGUUUUUUUUAAUUGAAUUAUAGUAAUUCUGCUGGUUUUAGUUGUCUUUAAGGAGAUUAGGGAUUAGGAUUUGGUUUUCGGUUUGAAUUUUUGGAGCUAGUGUUUUUUUGCUGGUUUAAGACUGUUUAGUUGAAUGCUGAUUUUUGGUUAAGAUUUUUCAUUUUUUGGAUAAGAAUUUUAUUGUUUGAUUUGUUUUUUGUUUGAAAGGUUAUGUUCUCUUGACUAUUAGACUGUCUAUUUUGCGCUUUUAUCCUUGUUUCUGCUCUAUUUUGAACUUUGAAUAAUGAAAAUAGGAUGAUUGAAACAAAUAGGGUUUAGUUGAAUUAAGUGAGAGCUGAAGUAAUUCUUGAGAUUAAGAGUAUGAACUUUUUUUUAAAAGUAGGUGAAAAUUUGUGGGAGACAUGCGAAUUGUUUGAUUGAUGUAGUGUGAUGAUUGUGAUUAUGAAUAGUGUAUCUGUUUUUAGUCCAAUUGGUAAGAGUCAGAUAUGAAUGUCAUAACUGAUGUGUUUCUAUUUGUUUUGGGCUAGACACUUGAUUUGGCUAUUACAUGUAUCUGAAAGUUUUGGUAAAAGUUUGUCAGAUCUUGUGAGAAAAUGAAAAUGAAAACGUAACCGAGCAUUCACAAUCAUAUGCUAAGAUGUUGUCUUGUAACAUAUUGUGGUAUGUUGGUGUUCUGUGAUUCAGAUCGCAAUACCAUCUCAUUUCUUAGAAAGUAGUUCUUUUGGUUUUGCAGGCCCAACCAUCCUGUUUUUUCAAGAGAAUGCUGGAAGUAUCCUUUUCAUCAGCUUUAAUGUCUGCAUUAUAAUUUUCAUUUCUCAUUUUAGUGUAUUCAAAUUGGAAAAAUAUUUUUCUCUUCUGAAAUACAAGGUCCUUGGGCAACCUUGACCACUGAUCUGCAGACAUUGCUCACCGUCUGGAAAUGGUACGCAUAAUGCUGCAGAGGUUACAGUGCAAUGUCUUCAUGCUAUCAUAUCGAGGGUGCGUGUUCUAAACAUCUAAAUUGACGCUUCUCUGUUUAUGCUUUCUUGUGUUUUUGGCACCACGACCUUGAUUACUCCUAGUAUAUGACUUAUCUACUUAAUGAAGUUUAACACCCAAUUGAUCAAACAGUUAUGGAGCAAGUGAUGGUUAUCCUUCUCAGCAUGGAAUUAUUAACGAUGCUCAGGUUGUGACUCUGUCAGUUCUUCUAUACUAGAUUCAUAAAGCCACUACCUUACCAAACUAGCAAUCUUAACUGUUUCUUUAUUUUUUUUCAUUUAGGCUGCUCUGGAUCAUCUCUCCCAGCGGACUGAUAUUGACACAGAUAGAAUAGUGGUCUUUGGAAGAUCACUUGGGGGUGCUGUUGGAUCAGUACUCACCAAAAACAAUCCUGAUAAGGUAUUUCUCUUGUAAUUAUUUCAUUUAGUUUUCUUCCUUCCUGAGAGUAAAGAGAUUAGAAUCAGAAACUACACUAUUGUGAUACAGUAGUUCAAACUCAUGCUGGAAAGAUGAUCAACAUACUGUUUUCAUCUGUUUUGCUUGUUGGAAAAUUGCCUGGUUAAACUUCAGAUUUGUCUGCUUUCACAUGACAUGACUGUAUCAAUAGAAUGGCAAAAUUUUAUUACAUUUGGCACAUAUACUUGUAAAACUUGUGGUCUGACUGGAGAUGUUGAAUCACUUGCGGCUUACACAUAGAUUUGUAUCAAUGUUCACGAGCCGGAGAAAGAUGAUGUAGUGUAGAGUUAGUUUCAAAGGAUGAUGAGAGAACUGGAAAAAUGCAGUUGUGUAACGCAUUGAAUGAGACUACUGUUUUUCUGGGCUGUGCAGAUGCGUUACAGAUAUUUUAGUUCACUAAAUUAGCAUUUAAUUUUCAUCUAUUUGGACUGUUAUAUUCCCAAGUUGAUUACUAUUGUUUAUUUGUUUCAUGCUGCGUGGUGUGGAUUUCUUCCACUCAUGUGAUCAUGUUGCUCUAAUUUCUACGGUUCAUCUUUCAUGGUAGAAGGCAUUUCUACAAUCAAUUUGUGCAUUUGUUUGCUAGACUCAGCUACAAAUAUUUUAUUAUUUCUGCUCCUAAUAUAUAUUAUCUGUUUUAGGUUAUAUUAAGUAUGUCAUUUCUUGGUUUGCCUUUACAUUCCAGGUUGCUGCAUUGAUAUUAGAAAACACUUUCACAUCUAUUCUUGACAUGGCUGGAGUUUUAUUGCCUUUCCUGAAGUGGGUUAUUGGAGGCCCGGGUACCAAAGGUCCCAAAAUUCUUAAUUUUCUUGUCCGUUCGCCAUGGAGUACCAUUGACAUCAUUGGGCAGGUACACGUUGAUUGGAAAUUUGACUUCACUUCCUGAAUCUUUAAGACUAUUAGUGGCAUAUAUAUGAUGAAAAAUCUCCUAUUACAUAUAUGUAGCCUAUCUGAGUCAACUGUGAAGGAGAUAGUUCCUUAGUUUGAAAGAAACUGUUUAGACAUUUAUCCUUAUGCUUAUCUGUCUAUUAGAUGCUAGGGAGUAAAAUAAGUUUAGGUUCAAGAUAAUUUUGUACCUACAGUUGGCAUUUUUGACAUAUUUGAAUUUUCCAAAUGUAUCUGUAACUAGGGAAACAGGGAGAUGAUGCUUGUUCUACCUUGUUUGUGUAUGGCACUCGAUCACCUCAUUAGUUGAUACAUCUUUUGUCAUUUUGAACAUUACAUCUGUAGGUCAAGCAGCCUAUCCUUUUUCUUUCUGGAUUGCAAGACGAAAUGGUUCCACCAUCCCAUAUGCAAAUGCUGUAUGCUAAAGCAGCUGCUCGUAACAGGCAAUGCAUUUUUGUAGAAUUCCCUACUGGCAUGCACAUGGACACUUGGUUAUCUGGCGGUGAUCACUACUGGAGAACAAUUCAGCAGUUUUUCGAAAAACAUGUGCCGAAAACUGGAUAUGAUAUUGGUAAUUAACCUUUUUCCCAAUGUAACUAUCGCUGGAUGAUAUUUGACAGGAUUAACCUUUUUGCCUCUAGAUGAUAUUUAUUUUUCCUCCUCUAUCUCUUGCAUUAUAAAUUUGUCUGCUUAAGCUCGAAUUUGCCUCCGAGCCUAGCAGCACCUUGUGAACAACCUAGUUUCUGCAUCUUGUUGAUUGUCUUGUAAAAAUAUACUACCGUUGGAAGCAUUUCUUAAUGUCAUGACACUAAGGCUACAUUGUUUAAUAUUAUAUUCAACGGUGAACAUUUCCACAUCAGAUCUUUAAAUGCCUUCUUUCUGGUACAUUUGGAGGGCAAAUCUGAAUAUAGAAAUUAGAAACAAAACAACACACCUAUAUAACUGUGCUUCAUUUUCACUGUUCUCUUCCUCUUUUGCUUAUCUUUUUUUUUUUUUUUUUGCUUAUAUAUGGAGUAGCCGGAACUGCCAAUAGAAUGUUAACUACUCGUUACUUUCCUUUCUAUGCGACCCCUUCCCCCUCGCCCGUCUUUUUUUUAUCUUUUUGAUUGGUGCCUGAUGUUGCUUUCAGAUUCCCAGAGGAGAGGUGACUAGCAGGCGUGCAAUCUUUUGGGAUUUUAUUAUUUGGCUCACACACCCUGGAUCUCAAACUUUUGUCCCUUUUCUUUUGAAGCUGCAGCUGGUAGAAGCACUCUAUAAACAUACACCCCGCUGUUGUCGUCUUUCAUUGUCUCCACGAUUUUUUUUCUUCUUUUACUGGCAUACGAAACAUAAGCUGAUUAAAAGCGAUAAAGAGAAAGAACGCGAAUUCCCGUUUAGUAUACCGUAUGACUGACUUUGAGGAACAAUCGUGUAAUACCAUCCCGAUUCUGCUGGUUCCUUUUGUAUGAAAUAAGAAAACUAUUAUAAGGAAAAAAAAAAAAGGGUUGCAGAUGUAUGGUUGGUGCUGAUAUGUUUGAUCUAUUUGCAUCUCUGUUUUUUUUUUGUAUGGGGCAAUUUGGUCUUUUAGGUGUUUCAGCAUUUGUUUUGACAAUUUAGGUUGUUUAUGUGAACUUUUUUCUCUUUUUCUGUUUGUCUUCAAUGGUAAUUUUGAACUGUUAGUUUAUAUGAAACUGUUGUGGCAACUCCAAAUCUCUUUCACUUUUUGCGAGACAAUCAAAAAAGAUGCUUCCAACUAUGAAAAUGAAGCACAGUUAAAAUCUUAUGCCAAUCAGUACAAGUCGGUAUGCAUUGGUAUAGAUCUAUAGAUCAAAGCGAAUUAAAACGCACCGAGAUGAUUAAGGGCCAGUUUUUCAUUGUUUAAAAAAAAUAUUUUUGACUUUAAAAGUACUUUUGAAAGAAAAGCUGUGAAGAGUAAGUUGCUUUUGGUUGAAAUUUUUAGCUUUUCAGAAAUACUUUUUAAAAGUAAUUUUGAAAAUGAGAGCUAAAAAUUUUAACUUUUUUUCUCCCAAAAGCACUUUUAGUGCUUAAUUACUUUUUCACCCUUUCAAUAACAUAAUAUUUUUCUUUUUUUUUCUUGGUGUUUAAUUACAAUUGUGUUAAAAUCAUUAAUAAAAAAUAAAAAAUAUUUUUAAAAUACUAAUUACAAAUAUUUAAAUAUUUAAAAUAUAGUUUAUAUAUUCUAAUUAAAUUUUAUAAAUAAUUAAUAUUUAUUGCUUAAAAAUAUUUACAAUUUAUAUUUUAUAUAUUAAAAUAUUAACAAGAAGUUAUAAUAAUUUUUUUAUAUUAUUACUAAAAUAUAAUAAUAUUAACUAAUUUAAAUAUUAUUUAAAUGCAUAUUUGGUACUUGAUAAUAACAUGUCUAAAAUGGACACUUUAUUUCUCAAAAGCACUUUUUGAUAGCAAUGCUAAACACUCAAAUUUUAAGCCAAACUUUUCAAAAGCACCUCUCAAAAUCACUUUUUCACAGCACUUUUCAAAAGCAACGAAAAAUUAGCCUUAAAACUUAUAGAAAUUUACAUUGAAAUAAAAAUAAAAAUUUAAUGUUUCGAUUAUUAUCGGAAUAAGACAUUUUGGUCAUAUGAGCGGUAUUGGUGCAGAAUUGACUUUUUUUACCAUGAGACCUUAGAUUGAAACAACAAAAAGAAAAGUAUUAAUGGAUUAGGGUCUCAUCUUGUAAGCAAAUUAUUAUUAAACUAUUCUAUUAAAAAAAUCAAAUUUAAUUCAAUUAUUGUUGAUAAAGUUUAAAUUUAACUUGUUGAGAAUUAAAUUCGAGUAUUUUAAUUCUUAAUUAUUUGAAAUUUAGUAAAGUAUAAAUAAUUAAAUGAAAACGAAAUACAUUAAACGAAACAAAACUUAAAUGAAUUAAAUUCAAUUUAACCUAAGUUAUCUCCAAAUUUUAAUUUAUUUUAAAAUUUAAAAUUUAAACGAAUCUCUCAAUUGAAUAUUAAUUCGACAUGUAAAACCUAUAAUUACAUCAUUCAAAAAAAAACAUUCAAACGACUCCGCAAAUAUUAUUGUAUAAACAUGCAUACCCACUAGAUCCUUAAACGUGGCAAGGGUUCAACCAAACAACUUACGCCACGUGUACUACAAAAGGUCCUUUUCAUCCAUGUCAGAGUUCUAGGCAUUCCCCCCUUAUCUCAAAAGAGCAAAACAAAAUUGAAACCCACAAAAUCUAUCUGACCUUUAAUUAUAAUAAACAAUUAUUAAUUAAAAAGAAAAAUUAUACUAAAUAAACUAAUUUUUUUGUUUUUUUUUAUCCAACUGCUCUCUGCUAAAAUACUAUUUAUUUUCAGUGUUACCUUCCUGUCUUCUGAUAUGGUUUUUUGUUGUUUUCAAAAUUUGAAUCACAACAACACUGUGUAGAGAUUUUCGUUUUUUUUUUAUUAUUUCGUCUCUCUCCUUUUGUUUUUUUUCUCGUUAAAACUCACUCCUUUGUUUCCUUCUCUUUUUUUUACUCAAAAAAGUGUACGGAGAAUGGACGGAGGAACACUGCAUAGCCUCAGAACAGUAGAGGAAGUCUUUAAGGAUUUCAAAGGCCGCCGUGCAGGAAUCAUCAAAGCCUUAACCGCCGGUCUCUUCGUCUUCUCCUCCUCUGAGUUCUUUUUAGGGUUACUUUUUUUUCUAUGUUUAUUUUAUUUAUAGCUUGUUUUAUGUUAACGCAGUCUAAUCUUCUGUGUUUUUUUUUUCUAUUUUGUUUUCGGUCGCAGAUGUUGGAGAAUUUUUUGAACAGUGCGAUCCUGGUUAGUUUUUUUUUUUUUUUUACUUGCUUGAAAGUUGCACAUUCAAAAUUUAUGUUUGUUACGUUAUGAUUGUUGGACGUAAUGAUUAAAUUAGCAUGUACCUCAAAUCAAUUUAUUUAUUUUCCUAAUGAGGUGUUGUAGUAUCCCUGAAUUUUGCUAAAUCUAGAUGUAAUUUGUCUAGUUAAUGAAGCAAAUAGAUCACUUAUUUGUGGUUGUUUAAGUUUAAAUCCUGUGAUCGGAACUUAGAUUUGAUUGAAACAACUUAAUUCAUUUCCUUGUCCAGCAUUUUAUACAACUUCCUUUAUGCUCUAUCGUUUGUUUUGAAACAUGGAUUUGAAAUGUAUAACCUCUCAAUCUCCAAACCAAUAGUUUUAUUUGUUUCUCUUGGUAAUAUGACUUUCAGUAAUUUGAUUAUAUAUGAGUACGUUAAUGGUUGAUUUCGUCCGUUCUUGAUGGUUGUUUUCUGUUUAGUAUUACGUUGUUAGUGAUUUGCCAAACUUACUUAAGAAUGGAUGUGAUUACCCUGUUUCUCUAUUAUGUCUACUUGGGAUUUCGUUCGACCGACAUUGUGUUUUUCAGAGAAGGAGAAUCUUUGCUUGUAUGGACUUCCUACUGAACAGUGGGAAGUUACUUUACCUGCUGAGGAAGUGCCUCCCGAGCUUCCGGAGCCCGCAUUGGGUAUUAACUUUGCUAGAGACGGGAUGCAAGAAAAGGACUGGUUGGCACUUGUUGCUGUUCAUAGUGAUGCGUGGUUACUAGCAGUGGCUCACUAUUUUGGUGCUAGGUUUGGUUUUGAUAAAGCUGACAGGUAUAAUUUCCCCCCUUCUCUGCUGCAUAACUCCAGGGAGAAAUUAAUAAUGCUUGGUGGACUGUAUGCUUAAUCAACUUUAUUUUAACUGUAAGCUUUUCAUGUAGCCAUUAUGUCUCAUCCUUCUUGUUGAGUCAUCAUGUCAUGUGGGGGAUCAAGUAUUUAAAUGUUUCACUGGAUAUAAGUGCAUUUAAGCAUGUUGUGCACAUCAUUUUUCACCUCGGGUUCUGAUAGGUCAUAUCCUUUAGAUGAAUGGUUAAGGACAUGUGAGUUAAUGCUGGACAUGCACAUGAAGCUUGGAAACAGAUAUCCAUAAAUUAAGUGAAAUUUAUUGCAUACAAUUUUUUUUUAUAGAGAAGUUUGAAAAGAUUGACUGGAAUUUUUAAUUAAGGAAGAAUGCUGCCAUUUUUGUUGUAGAUAUUAAUUUGUGAGUUAAUUUGAUGCAGGAAACGUCUCUUCACUAUGAUAAAUGAUCUCCCUACAAUAUUUGAAAUCGUCUCUGGAAGUGCCAAGAAACAGACAAAGGAGAAGUCAUCAGUUUCAAAUCAUAGCAGCAAUAAAUCCAAGUCCAGUGGAAAAGCUGUAAGUGGAACAUUUUUUAUUAAAGUUUUCCGAUGGCUUAAGUAAAAUAUGAUUAUCAGUUAAUAGUAAUGGAAAAGAAUAAUGGCAAUGUGUGGGAUAUCUUAAACUUCAUAGUUCUGUUAUAUUGGUAGCCAAACCUUUUGUUCCUUAUUUGGGCCAAACUUAGUUGAACAUUCUUGAAAACCAAAACAUUUAAUUUCAAAGCUAAUUAUGUCAUCUUAUUCUGCAAAUUAUCCAUAAUGCGGACUUAUCCAGUCUGUCAAGGCUGUUUUAUCACAUUAUGAUUCCUGAAGCUGGAUUCCAACCCCCAGCUAUGACAAGUUACUGACAUUUUCAGUUAAAUACAUGUAAUGAACUCAGCCAAGCGUACUUCUAUCUAUUUAGUAUCAAUUUUAUGUGGAACUCUUUCAAUUGAUUCAGUGUUUAUUACGUUCAUUUUCAUUUCUGCCCCACGUUAUACACGGCUAUUUCCUUUUUCACAGAGAGGGUCUGAAUCUGCUAAAUACUCAAAGAGCGUGCAACUCAAGGAUGAGGAAGAGGGUUUGGACGAGGAAGAGGAAGAGGAGCACGGGGACACCUUGUGCGGCGCAUGCGGAGAGAACUAUGCUUCGGAUGAGUUCUGGAUUUGCUGCGACAUAUGUGAAAAGUGGUUCCAUGGCAAAUGCGUAAAGAUCACCCCCGCCAGGGCCGAGCAUAUUAAGCAGUACAAGUGUCCCUCUUGCAGCAACAAGAGAGCACGACCUUGACCCCAAGGAAAAUGCCAGUUCAAUCAGGUUGUAAUCUUUAUCAGGGACUUUCAGUUGGAUGUAAAGUAUUAGUAGUUUCCCGGUGCUGAACAUGUACUCUUGAUUCCAGAUUUCGGAUAUAUAACUUUCACUCGCAGGAAAACUCGUUGCCAGAUAAAGUAAAGACCGUGCUAGUUCAUUUGCAUCUCGAUGGGUUAAUCGUUUUCUUUUUGUUAGGCUAUGUGUAGCAUAGAAUUUUCUCAUUUUGGGAGGAUCUGGUUUAGAUGUUUUUGAUAAACCCUUAUCAGACAUACAUUCAUAUUUGACAAUGUCACCCGUGUCUAGUAACAAAGAACUGAAUGAAGGCAAAAUUCGUGUCUUGAGUCCUGAGUUUGCUUUUAGAUGGUUGUUCCAAAAGGACAAUAAAAUGUUAUACAAUGCUCAAUAUACCUAUUCAUAGGUUAGAUUACCUGUUUUGGCUCAAAAGUUCGACUGAAAUAUGGCAAAAGUAUUCCAGAAAAUGAACUUGGAAAAAAUUUGACUAAUUUAAAAUAUGAGUAUGAGUCAAGUUUAAGCUUGAAUCUUUAAGGCCCGAGCAUGGCCUGAUUUAGCCUAUUUUUAAGUUUAUAAUAUUUUAUAUUAUGUUAUUUUUAUAUAUUAUAUAAUUUAAAAUACAUUAAAAAAUAAAUCUAUACCAAAUACAUUAAAAAAUACUAUUAUAAUGUAAACAUUAAAAUAAUGUUAAGAUGACUAUAUAAAAAAUUUUAAUAAAUAAAAAAUAUAUAAAAUUAUUAAAUAUUAAAACAAAAUAAAAUAAAUAUUCUUUUAAAAAAAUUAAAAAGUAAUAUGGAUAGGCCUAAAAUGAACUUGGGUUAAUCUUUUACAAAAAUAGGUAGGUUUAGGCAAAAUUUUAGGUCUAUAUUUUGGGUUGGACCAAAUUUGGAUAAGCAUAAAGUAUGUUAAUAUUAUGCUUAGGACCGACCCGACUUGACCCAUGAACACCUCUAGAUAUUAGUACUUAAGUACAUUUAAGCAUGUUUAAUUACUCUCAAAUAAAAAAUAAUAAUAUUUUAUAAUUAAAUUAAAUAAGAAUAUUAUUGUUAUUAAAUAUAAAUUCCAAGGCACUACCCUAACGGUGGCUCAAUGUAGUCCAUGCUCAUGUAGGAUUUUCAAAAGAGACUAUAUUUAGAAAAGAGAGAGGAAAAUGUAAAGCUUACCUUUGCUUUGUUUUUGACUUUUUGAGUUGCAUGAAUGGAUGCAUUCAAACAAAAUGCACGAAAAAUCUCUGCAAGCAGAACUCAUCAACACUGUCUAAUAAUCUCAAAGCAGAUUCCAAUGCAUAUACUACUUAUCGAUAUCUGAUAGUUUCAUUGGGUAAUAUAACGUUAGGGUUUCGAAUAUGAGGAUUAAGGGCUGCCAAUUCUUUCCAUUUAGCCCCGGUACCGUGAAUACCAGACGAGAUGCUCCACAAAGUGUCACCUGGUUGAACCUUUGUUGUUGAGGGGGUUGAAGAUUUAAAACCAGGCUUGGAUUUCAAUAAUGGAUGCUUAUUGCUCUUUCCCAUUCCAUUGGCAAGCAACCAUCGAGAACCGGAUUGUUGUUGGGUCGUGCUACCCCAAAGUUUUUUCUUGCCGGGCUCGGUCUUCAAACCUGCAACAUGAACAUCGGUGAUUCUGUAUUGAGGAAUACCUUCCUCUUGGGAAGCUUUUUCUUCUUUCAUCUCCGCAGGUUUCACCUUUUCUUUUGUGGCGGCCUCGGAGUCAUCACCAUCUUGAUUGUCGUUGCUCAAAGCCGAAACAGUAGCAUAUAUCUUUGGUUUUGAUGGGACAAACACUCUCUCCACUUGAAUAAGAGCAAGCAUGGGUGCACCGACUGGCUCGUAGUUUCUCAUGGGAUCGCGAAGUUGCACCAUCAAUGCCACUGUGAAGUUAUUCCCUAACAACCCACACUUUUUACCCCGUUUUUUCUCUCCCUUUGACCCUCUGAGAAUCGAGUCCAAUGAUGUAGCAUGAUGAGCAGCAAGGAUUUUAGAAGUUCGCUCGCUUAUUUGAUCUUCAUCGUCAAUAUCCCCGGAAUCAAGUCUCAUCCAUUCAUCAAGAGUUAGUGACAGACCCAUUAAUCCAUCGACAUUAUCACCGCUGUCUUUUAUAUCCAACAAUUGCAACCCGGCAGUUCCAUCCAGACCAAGGGACCCACUAAUACCGAACCCCUUGCCUUGAAGGGCUGAAAUUUCCCCAAUAGACUGCGCACUGAUGUUUGAAGGUGCAUCCUCAUCUGACAUGCCUGACUGAAUUCUCAACCCUUCCAUUGAGAGAGCUUCAAUCUUAUCCAUUGCCAAUGGAGCAAGAUCUUCAAGGGCUACAUAAUCUGACCCCAUCUCAUUGACAGAGGUUGAAUUAAUAUCGCUACAGCUGGGUCGAGGUGAUCUUCUUUUAACUUUCUUUUGCCUGCUAGACAUAUCUUCCCCAACUUCAAAGUCAUGCUGCAACGAACAUUGCCUGCUUAGAAGAAGCAAUGACAUAUAAUAUCAGUACAAUUUCGCAAACAGUGUUUAUGAAAGAAGUAUAUGUUGAGAAACCAAAGAAAAAUGAAUCACGAACCUCUGCAGUCCCUCCAGAGCAGGAGCAGCUUCCCAUGCAACUUGUUCCAUAGUUUUACCGGUAAUAUCCUCCAAAGGCAUCAACUUAUUUGCCUGCAUAGAGAGCUUCUCAAUCCCAACAGAGGCCAGUUGCUGAAGUAUAUCCAUUAUACCAGAACCCAUUUCUGCAGGUACUACAACUGGAUUAGACACCUGCAUGAUCAGGUUCCCACCACUUUUAGCAUCCUGGAAAAGUGAGGGAUUCAUAGAUCGCAAAAAUCCUCCGUUCUUUGUCUGAAGAAAUGGACCUAAACCAUCUCCAAGAGGAGGCAGUUCAAGUGGAUCUUCAGGAGGCAAAUCUACUGGACUCCCAAACCCACCAGAAGACCCAGAUGGAGAUUGCUGAAAAGCCUUCUCAUUCAAUCCCCACUCACGCAUUAACGCUUCAGUCUCCAAGCCUUCCAAUACUUUAGCUCUCGUUUUAUUCCUCCCACCAGUUUCCUUCUGAUAUUCUUGCUCAGCAUCUUGGAUAAAAGAUGAUAAAUCAAAACUCUCAGUCAAGCUCCCCCAACCAGAUGCAGUUGAGGUGUCAAAACCAGAUUCUAGUUCCUCCUCAUCAGCCAUGUCAAAAUCAAAUAAUGAGCAACCGCUGGCUAGGGUAUCCUUCUCAAAUUGCCUUAAUAAACGCUCUCUUGGAGACUCGGGUUCACUCUCAGAACUCAAGCCGAGUAGACUAUGAUCAAUACCGAGCAUGUUCAAGAAAUCAGUGGCGAUAGAUUCAGUAGCUUCAUCCAAGCCAAGUGAUUCCGCCUUAUAAUCACCUUUAUUAUCCAUGUAGUCCUCCGGAUCUUCAAGGCCAGGAGAAGAAGCUAAUGCUUCCCCCAAAUUUGUAAUACCAUCUAAAGCUAAAUCCAAUUCUCUCAUCAGCGAUUCAUUUGAGCACUGUUCAUCCUCUUCGGAACUGCGAUCUUGCACCACGAGCAUAUCUCCUUGAUUAGAGGGAUGAAGCUGAGAACAUUCUUCAAAAUUUUCUCCCAUGCCAGGAUUAAUUUCAUCAACUUGUGGGGUUUCUACGGUUGAUAAAGUAGCCGCAAGGGAAACUUCCUCCGACCUAGCCUCUCCUUGAUUGGAGGGAUGAAGCUGAGAACGUUCUUCAAAAUUUUCUCCCACGCCAGGAUUAAUUUCAACAACUUGAGGGUUUUCUACUGUUGAUAAAGUAGCCACGAGGGUACCUUCCUCCGACCUAGCCUCUCCUUGAUUAGAGGGAUGAAGCUGAGAACAUUCUUCAAAAUUUACUCCCAUGCCAGGAUUAAUUUCAACAACUUCAGGGUUUUCUAUGGUUGAUAAAGUAGCCACGAAGGUAACUGCCUCCGACCUAGCUUGUUCUUCUGAAGACAACCCUAUCCCUUUUUCGUCAACAGAGAAGUCAUUAUCUUCAGUUUCUUUUUCAAUAUAUUCGUUAAUUGAUUCAGAUGCAAGAGAAGUCAGAGGUCUGAUGGGCUCAAAAUGUUCAUUUAACACAUCAGGUUCAGGCUUGGAAGCAGCAGAAGCAUUGGGCUUUUCUUCAUCAAGUUUCUGGUCUACUGUAUUUUUAACAUCGAGCUGUGGCUUUGGCACAGACAAAACUUCAUGAAGAUCUUUUAUCUCUUCCACAACGGGAGAUGAGCCAAAAGGCCUGGUGUUAACUAAACUGGGAAGACUCUCAACACACCUUGUUGUGUCCAGGUCAAGGUGAUCAAAUCCAGCAACUGCUUUUCCUGUACUCUGAUUAUUCUGCUUUAUAUGUGACAACUCAGCACGAUGCUGAUUACUUUUGAGCAGCACAGAAUUAUCCCCGACAACCAUAUAACCAAAACUAACAUUCAUGGUAGCACCUUUGGCCUUCCCUGAUAACUUAAAACUUGUUGUCCACUUCCCCGUACUCUUCUCUUCCUCUAAUUCUUCCAAUGUAAGUGGAAGUAACCGCGUAAGGUCAACUCGAUGCUUCCCCAAAUCAAAGUCGGGUGUUCCCAACACAGAUGCAAAAAGCAUGCAAUGCUUAGCCUCAUACUUGGCCGAAAGGCCACUUCGAACACCAUAUAUGGAACACGUAUACGUCAACUUCUCUCCGAAUUCCGCAGUUCCAUUAAAAACUUUAGAAGGACGAGUUGUUAGAUCCCCAUCCCGCCUCUUCCAAUGCACAAAUAGACUAAGAUCAUUAAAACUUACUGGUAAACACUCAAUGGAGUGUACUUCAAGUGAGAAACAACAAUUAAACCUCCGGUUCCGAACAUUGGAAAACACUUUCAAAGGCUUCCAAUUCCAAACAGAUUUCUUCUCUUUAAGCAAAGGGUCCUCAUUACUAUUUUUCACUGUCGAUUUCGGUUCCGGCAAAUUGGUUUUCCGGGUUGGUUUAGACCGAGAAUUAAAAGCAGAAAAUGAAUUGCUUGAACGGUUCUUGUCUAAAUACAAAGCUUUGCUCAUAGUUUCGAUUUCAUUCAAUAACUUCCCAUUACUCGAAUUCCCACCAUUCUUCUUCCUAGCUUCAGCUUUCGACAACAUCAUCUUUUUCAUACGUAAAAUAAAUAAUAAUAAUCAGAUUAAUCUAUAGAAGUUAAAAUAAAAACCCUUACUGAAAAUUCAUUGAACAAAUCGAAAUCGAAAUCUAACAAAAGAUUCAAAAUUACGUAAAUUAAAUUACCAAAUUGAGCUCCCCAGAGACUGGAAUUUCCCAACUAGUUCAAUAUAUAGUCUCCCUUCGCCGUUUGGCUAUCAAAAAAUUCAGGAAAAAAAAGUUCCGAUUCAAAAAAAAAUCAUAUAUAAAAAUCUAGCAAAAAAAACCCCCAAAAAAACCGCAAUAAGCAUAGGAGCUGAAGAGAAUCAGACGGAGAUAUCGAAAACUUACAGUAAGCAAAUUAAUGGCGGCUGAGACUAAUGAACCGGGAUUGUCUCCGCGGUUCGCUGCCCCACUUUGGGCCUUGAAUUGCCGCUGCCUUUUACUCGAACCAACAUUUUGAAACCAAGCUAUGAAAAGGCGUUAUAUUAUGCGGUUUAUAUUAUGUUCUACUUUUUUGGUCCAAUUUUAAAUAUUUUUUAAAACAAUUCUCUUAAAAAUAUAUGAAUUAAUUGUAUUCCGCAAAUUUUAAUUAAAAAAAUACUUGGUUUCUUUAAAAUUACAUAUUUUUUCGUUUAUUAAAUCGAAUAGAAUAAUUGAAAGAGUUUUAUUUUUUUACGAUUUAAUCCAUUUAAUUUUGGAUUUUAUCACAUUUUAUCAUGUAAAAAUUAGAUUGCAUUUUAUUUUUUUAUUAAAAAUAGACAAAUUAAUCUUUAUACAUUAUAUAAGGGGCGUAGCUAGGGGAGAUUGUUAGGGUCUCAGUCUCCCUAAAAUAGAACAUUUUCAUUUAGAUCCUUAAAAUUUUUAAAUUAGUGAAGGUAAAAUUGCACUUUGGUCUCUUAAGAAUAAUAAAAAUUCGAUUUAAUCCUUUAAAAAUUAUAAAAAUAUAGGUUAUUAAAAUGGCGAAAUUACAAUUUUAAUAUCGUAAAAAUUACAGUUUAAUUUCGGCCCCUUUAAAAAAAAUUUCUAGCUUCGCCCUUGCGUUAUAUCAAAAAGCAAAUUGAUCAUUUCUGUUAAAAAUUUCAUCCAUUUAUAUUGUAAAAAUUGGUAUGAUUGACGAAAUAAAUAGACACUGACAUAUGACAUGCAGCGUGUGCAUCAAUGUUGACACAUAAAAACUAAAAAAAGAUAAAUUUUAAAAAAUUAAACCAAAUUUUUUUUUUGGUCUAAUUUACUUAUUGAAUUAUCAAAAUACUUUACUUUACUUGCGUUGCAUGGAAAUAACGUGACGUUAUUAUUGAGAAGCUAACUUUACAGAAGGAGUUAAAUAUGGAGAGAGCAUAUCCUUUUUUUUUUAAAUGUUGAGAGAGCAUAUUCAAUUGGUAGUUUUUUUUUUAAUUAAAAAUAAUGAAUAUUUAUAUAUCUUAAUUUUUAUAUUAUUUUAAAAAAAACAGAUACCUUAAAGAAAAGAAAAGCAUUACUUUAAAACUUAUAUUUUACAUAAUUAAUUUAUUUUAAAUAUACAAUAUAUUUAAUUUAUGAUAAUUUUGGUAGCUUUUAUUCCCGCGUUACCUAAUUUUGGAAUAUUUACUUUCCUUUCCAAUGCACAUGAGAAUUGAGAAAGUUUUAGAAAACCCUCCAAGAGAAGCAAAAGCAAAAGCAAAAUUUGAAUUUAUUUUAAGAUUUUACUUCUAUAUCACUUUUUUAGAAAUAUUAUUUAUAGGUGGAUUGAAUUUUAAUUCGAUUAGCGUGGGUAUUGUUGUCAAUGUAGGAGGAUGUGGGUUCGAACGCGUUAAAAAGUAUUAUCCUCUUAUUUAUGGAUUGAGAAGGGCCUAUGAAUAGUUCUAGGCAUUGAAUAAAAAAAUAGAUACGAUCAAAAUCUAUAAUAAAAUUAUUCAAAAAAAUAUUAUUUAUAAUUAUAUAUUCAUUUAAUACGUUAAAUUAAUUAAUAAAAUUGUCAAAUUAUUUAUUAAAUAUCUUAUUAUUACUACAAAUAACAUACUAAUUAAUUUUCUAAAUGUUUUAAAAAAUGUUAUUUAUUUAUAUCAAAUUCAGUAAUGAUUUUAGUAAUUGAAGUUUAUGCACCAAAAAGAAAAUUUGUAAUAAUAUUACAAGCUACAAUGUUUUAAAAAUAAACUAUUUCACUUCAGUGGAAUUUUGGUAAAUAUAUUUAAGUAAAUUGUAUUUUAAUUUGUUUGGAAAAUAAUGGAAGGUUCUAAAGAAGUUUGACAAAGUUUUUGUUAGUGAAGUGGAAUCCAAUGCUUUUGUAAGUAGAAAUUUGCAGAUAAGUUUUAUAAAAUUUAACUUAUCUUCGGCAUCAAGGUUGACAUUAAGCAUGUGGGCUGGAGCUGCAUUUAUUGUGAAAUCCGGAUGGGUUCCUCUAGCAUUGUCUGGACUUUCAUCGUCAAAAUCACUUUCUUCUGAUUCAGAAAAUAAUACAAUUUUUGAAUCAUCUAGCCUGAACUCUCAGAUUGGAUCAUUAUCGAUUUCAAAUCCCUCUUCGUUAUCAACCCUAAUUAUACAUCUAGGGUUGGAUGUCCCUUUGUCGGUGUAAGUUGUAAGGAGUACAUCACUUGUUCUUGUAAACCUUACGUUAUAACCAAAAUCACUUUUGAAUUGCCCACUGGUGUAACUUGAUGGCAUACUCAUAUAAGUGUUUCCAGCAUAGAACAUCGGUGUUCGAAAGUUGAAAUCAAAAGCACUUACAGAAUGUUGUGCUAAGGUGUCAAAGUUUAGGUUACCAACUAACCCCAACUAUUGGACAAACUAUACGUCAAAGUUGAAAUCAAAAGCUGAAACAUAUGAAUGCAUUCCCAUUGACGAUUUCGGCUGUAACACCCCUUAACCGUAUCCAACACCGGAAUAGGGUACGAGGCAUUACCAAAACACAUACACUUGUAAACGUAUUUAACCGAGUUAUAAAAUUUCAUCAAAAUUAAAACUUUCAAAAUAAUUAACAUGUUUCUAUAACUUUUCACAAUAUAUCCUCAAAAUAUUAUAAUCAUAAUAAUUAGGGCCUGCGAGACCCGAUACAUACUCAUGCAAUUUAAUGCUUCAUUUCCAUUUCAUUCAAUUCGCAAUUUCUCAUGCUCAUAAUUUAAAUCAUAUCACUAGCAAUUUCCAUUUAAUUCACGUACAAUUCAAUGACAUCAAAUUCAAAACUAANNNNNNNNNNNNNNNNNNNNNNNNNNNNNNNNNNNNNNNNNNNNNNNNNNNNNNNNNNNNNNNNNNNNNNNNNNNNNNNNNNNNNNNNNNNNNNNNNNNNNNNNNNNNNNNNNNNNNNNNNNNNNNNNNNNNNNNNNNNNNNNNNNNNNNNNNNNNNNNNNNNNNNNNNNNNNNNNNNNNNNNNNNNNNNNNNNNNNNNNNNNNNNNNNNNNNNNNNNNNNNNNNNNNNNNNNNNNNNNNNNNNNNNNNNNNNNNNNNNNNNNNNNNNNNNNNNNNNNNNNNNNNNNNNNNNNNNNNNNNNNNNNNNNNNNNNNNNNNNNNNNNNNNNNNNNNNNNNNNNNNNNNNNNNNNNNNNNNNNNNNNNNNNNNNNNNNNNNNNNNNNNNNNNNNNNNNNNNNNNNNNNNNNNNNNNNNNNNNNNNNNNNNNNNNNNNNNNNNNNNNNNNNNNNNNNNNNNNNNNNNNNNNNNNNNNNNNNNNNNNNNNNNNNNNNNNNNNNNNNNNNNNNNNNNNNNNNNNNNNNNNNNNNNNNNNNNNNNNNNNNNNNNNNNNNNNNNNNNNNNNNNNNNNNNNNNNNNNNNNNNNNNNNNNNNNNNNNNNNNNNNNNNNNNNNNNNNNNNNNNNNNNNNNNNNNNNNNNNNNNNNNNNNNNNNNNNNNNNNNNNNNNNNNNNNNNNNNNNNNNNNNNNNNNNNNNNNNNNNNNNNNNNNNNNNNNNNNNNNNNNNNNNNNNNNNNNNNNNNNNNNNNNNNNNNNNNNNNNNNNNNNNNNNNNNNNNNNNNNNNNNNNNNNNNNNNNNNNNNNNNNNNNNNNNNNNNNNNNNNNNNNNNNNNNNNNNNNNNNNNNNNNNNNNNNNNNNNNNNNNNNNNNNNNNNNNNNNNNNNNNNNNNNNNNNNNNNNNNNNNNNNNNNNNNNNNNNNNNNNNNNNNNNNNNNNNNNNNNNNNNNNNNNNNNNNNNNNNNNNNNNNNNNNNNNNNNNNNNNNNNNNNNNNNNNNNNNNNNNNNNNNNNNNNNNNNNNNNNNNNNNNNNNNNNNNNNNNNNNNNNNNNNNNNNNNNNNNNNNNNNNNNNNNNNNNNNNNNNNNNNNNNNNNNNNNNNNNNNNNNNNNNNNNNNNNNNNNNNNNNNNNNNNNNNNNNNNNNNNNNNNNNNNNNNNNNNNNNNNNNNNNNNNNNNNNNNNNNNNNNNNNNNNNNNNNNNNNNNNNNNNNNNNNNNNNNNNNNNNNNNNNNNNNNNNNNNNNNNNNNNNNNNNNNNNNNNNNNNNNNNNNNNNNNNNNNNNNNNNNNNNNNNNNNNNNNNNNNNNNNNNNNNNNNNNNNNNNNNNNNNNNNNNNNNNNNNNNNNNNNNNNNNNNNNNNNNNNNNNNNNNNNNNNNNNNNNNNNNNNNNNNNNNNNNNNNNNNNNNNNNNNNNNNNNNNNNNNNNNNNNNNNNNNNNNNNNNNNNNNNNNNNNNNNNNNNNNNNNNNNNNNNNNNNNNNNNNNNNNNNNNNNNNNNNNNNNNNNNNNNNNNNNNNNNNNNNNNNNNNNNNNNNNNNNNNNNNNNNNNNNNNNNNNNNNNNNNNNNNNNNNNNNNNNNNNNNNNNNNNNNNNNNNNNNNNNNNNNNNNNNNNNNNNNNNNNNNNNNNNNNNNNNNNNNNNNNNNNNNNNNNNNNNNNNNNNNNNNNNNNNNNNNNNNNNNNNNNNNNNNNNNNNNNNNNNNNNNNNNNNNNNNNNNNNNNNNNNNNNNNNNNNNNNNNNNNNNNNNNNNNNNNNNNNNNNNNNNNNNNNNNNNNNNNNNNNNNNNNNNNNNNNNNNNNNNNNNNNNNNNNNNNNNNNGAAUGAACUUACUUGUAUAAAAAUAUGAAGAACCCAGCUUGAAGAAGCCCUUCCAUGGUGUUUUAGCUGAUGAGAAUUCAGAAAAAUGAAGAGAAAUCUAGAUAAUUCCACUUGGGUCCUAACUUUAUUAAGCAAAUUUUGCAAUUUUCCAAUUUUGCCCUUAAUUCUCCUUACUUUCUUGCUGAUUUCAUGCCUCUGCCGUCCAGCCCAAAUAGACCUUGGGUCUAUUUGUCUUUUAAGCCCUCUUCCUUUUAUCAUUUAAGCUAUUUAAUCAUUUCCCAAAAUUUUGCAUUUGUUACAAUUUAGUCCUUUUUGUUCAAUUAAUUAUCGGAACUUUAAAAUUUCUUAACGAAACUUUAAUACUAACUUUUUAACACUCCAUAAAUAUUUAUAAAAAUAUUUAUGGCUCAGUUUAAAAUCCCCGAGGUCUUGAUACCUCAUUUCGAUUCUAAUUAUUUUAAUAUUUAUUUCUAGUGCACUAUUCACUAUUUCAAAAAUUUUCCUAACUUCAUAUUUAACUUAUACUUACUAAAUUAAUAAUAUUUUCUACCCAUUUGUCGAAUUUAGUGAUCUCGAAUCACCGUUCCGACACCUCUGAAAAUUCAAGCCAUUACAUUUUUUUUCGUCGGAUUUGUGGUCCCGAAACCACUGUUCCGACUAAGCCUAAAAUCGGGCUAUUACAUCGGCAUUUCCUGAUAGGAGCUUUGUAACAAUGUUGUCAACUUAUCGCAUACUCGUGUGGUUGGACUUUCUGCUUCUUGCUCCCAAUAGGCAUCAACUAUAACUAUUGUCGAACUCGGAACACCUUCAUCAACAUCGACAAAUUGGACAUAUAACUCUAGUAUAACAUUUUCACUAGAACAAUGCGAAUCAAGCAUUACCUCGAGUCCUCGACCUCCAUGUCGCCUAUUAGCUCAAAUAUAUUAUAUCUAACGGGUUCAGUGAUAUUAGAUAUUUAUAUUUCAAUCUCGAAAUUCUUCUCCGGCUUGAAGUUGCCACUUUGCUUCUAAUUUUUUACUAAAGCUCGAGCAAUUUUAUGCUCCGAUUGAAAAUCAAUUCUAUAGAUUAGACUAAUACAAAAACGACACCAAUUUCAGUGUCACAAAUUUAACGACUCUAAUUCAUGUACUCAUCUUCAAAAAAAGAACUUGUUUCACAUGUUUAAAACCAAAACAUUAUAUAGAAAAAUGAGUGCACUUUAUCCAAAUUCAAACAAUGACACUUACUUGAACUAAUUUACUUUGUUAGGUCGACUUUGAAAUUCAAAUUUUUAACAUAAACAAUCUUCCUCUUAUGCAAAUUCAUUAUAAAAAUAAUCUGCUCGAAAUUUUAAUAUGGAACCGCUAACAAAAUGUAUUCAUAUUAUAGGAAAUACUACCAUUGGAUAUCAAACAUAACUUCAAAAUGUUGGAAAAUAUUGGACAUUACAUGUCCAAAAAACAUUUCUAACAAGAAGCAUUUUUUUGAAAAGUCUGAAUAGUUUUUAAAAUACGCUUCUUAUUAGAAACGUUUUUCAAAAAAUUUGGGAUGUGAUGUUUAAAUUUUAUUCAGAAUUCUCGAGCCCGAGAAUCUCAGGUUUAGGGUUAGGGUUUAGGGGGUGAAAAUGUGAAGGAAGAAAACGCCUCCUACACAUUUUCUUCCCACACAUUUUCAACCUUAUCCCUAACAGAGAAUCCCAUGAAAAAAAUUUAGAACUCGAGAAUCUCGAGAUGAUGAUUUUCAAACAUCCCAUCCCUAAAAUCCCGGACAGUCAUGGGCUCCCACAUAAUUUUUUUUUAAAUUUCCCCAUCAGUUGCUUAUAUAAAGGGGGUUUUGCUCCCCCUACUCCAUCAGCUCUCUCACCCAAUGUCCUUUAGAAAAAAAUUCAAGCUUGAAAUUGUUUUUUUUGUUGAAUAUUUUUUGGGGAAAGAUCUAUUUUGUGUUUCUGUUUGAGAGAGACAUUGUGAUAGUUUUAAGGUAUGUUUGAGUUCACGGUGAUGUGAUGACGCUCGGAGACACACACAUUUCAUCUCUCAUGUGAGGAUGAAACCAUCACGUUAGUAGAUGUCAUGUUACAACUCGGGCUCCCAGUUCACGGUGAUUAUACAAUCACAAGUUGAAGAAUAACUAAGACUCCAGUUGAUGGUGGUUAUGAGGUUAUGGGUUUAAGCAUAACUCAGGCCUCCAGUUGAUAGUGGUCAUGCGGUUAUGAGUUCAAGUUUCAUGCCACCAAAAGAGGAUGCUUUAUAAACUCCAUACAUAAGUUUAAGAUCAUAAUCACAGAGAAAAUAAAGAGACUUUCCAGUAUAAUCAACUUAUUCUUUUUCUUCGUCUUCAACAAGGUAGUAUCCUUAACCUCAUUGUCAAUAACCUAUGACAAAGUUGGGGGUAACAAGACUUUCAAGUGGAGGAGUGAUUGUGACAAUGGAGAAAAUUGAAAUGCGACUCGAGGUGAUAACAAUUAUUGUGAUUAAUAAACUCAUUAAUAACUAUGACCACUAUUGUCCUUACUCGAGUUUCAGCUUUUUCUCUACCGUCACAGUUACUCAUUCCUAAAAGUCUUUUUGCUCUCAACUCCGUUACAAGUUUCAGGCAAUGAGAUUAAUGAUACUACUUUGAUGGAGAUGGAGAUAAAGAAUAAGUUAAUUAUACUAAAAAACCCUUUCCCCCUAUGAUUAAGUUCUCAAACUUAUGUAUGAGGUUUGUUAGGGAUCGUCCCGAUUAAGCAACAAGUAAAAAAAAAGCGGAAUAAAUUGAGAAAUUGAACACACAAAUUUAACGUGGAAAAACCCCUCCAAAGAGGAUAAAAAACCACGGGAAAAGAUAAUUUUACUAUAAUGGCAAAAGAACGAAGAGUACAAAAGAUGGAGAUAAAACUAAACCCCGAAAACCCGAAAAACAAAGAACCCUCAAAACGUAAACACAAAAUUCUCUAAAUGUGUUAUGAGUUCCAAUCUAAUGGGUGUUUUUACUAACGUUGUAAAAGAGCCUAUUUAUAGGCUAAAUUCAUAUGUCAAAUAAUAAUAAAAUAAUCUAAACUAAUUAGUGUUUGAUUGAAACAAAUAAACAGAGUUUAACUAAAAGAUUAUUUCUCAAAUUUGACUGAAAAUAGGAGUCAUACUUAAUAAAUCUCCACCUUGACUCAUAUUUCCACAACGCCAUCUUUACCAAAGCCCGCCAUGAGCCUAUCUUGAACUAUGCAGGGAAUUAACUGAGUCGAAUCUGUGCUUAGAAACUGGAAGACUUCUAGCCUUCGACUUGUACACUGCCAAAUCAAAACUAACCUGGGUCUGAUUUUCACGAACACAGUGCCCUAACUUUUCAAAAUCUGCAUCCAAAAGAGAACCUCUCUUCAACGAAACGGUCAUACAUUUUUCCCUCCUAUGACCAAGUUGCCUCCACUCCAAACGAGUUGACUUCGACUCUGUAACAGACGAGGGACGUCCAAUUUCACCGGUCACUGUAGAACCUUCCAGAAUAUAAAGACUGCCUGUACUUUUGCCUUUUAACAAAACGAUAGCUCCACGAGAUACUUUAAUGCCGCUUGACUCGAUAUUGAUUCUGCAUCUUUUCAAGUCUGAAAUACUCAAGGAGAUGAGAUUCUUUCGUAAAUCAGGUACAUACCUGACAUCUGAGAGUGUCCUAAUCGUCCCAUCGUGUAUCCUAAUUUUAACAGUACCAAUACCAAUUACCUUACUAGAUGAAUCGUUUCCCAUACGCACAACUCCACAUUCAACUGAACUAUAUGUGGAGAACCAUUCUCUAUUGGGACACAUAUGGAAAGAACAUCCCGAAUCUAGGAUCCACUCGGACGUGAGCUUGGAGUUAUCGCUCGUUGACACUAACAAGAAAUCAUCACCGCUUUCAUCGGCCAAAUUAGCACCAGCUACAUCUUCAUCGUUACUCUUAGUAGCUCUUUUAUUUCGCAGUUUAUAACAAUCUGCUUUGACGUGACCUAACUUUUUACAAUAGCGACACCUUUUGUCUCGUUUCUUUGAUACUACCAAAACGGAAGCUUGCCUAUCUGCCUUGCUAUCCAAAUGAAGCUCAUUGUCGAGUUUGUCUCUACUCAACAAAUGACCUUUCACAUCUUCGAACGAGAUUUUAUCUCUGCCAUAAAUCAGGGUCUCCCUGAAAGACUUGUAUGAAGGGGGUAAAGAGCACAAUAAUAGCAUAGCUUGAUCUUCAUCAUCAAUAUGAACCUCAACGUUCUUUAAAUCAUUUAAAAGAGUAAUGAAUUGACUGAUGUGAUCUCUAAGAAGCUCACAUUCGCUCAUGCGAAACGUAAAUAGACGUUGUUUCAACACUAAACGGUUAGCCAAAGACUUAGUCGCAUAAAAAGUUUCUAACCUUUUCCACAAGGUGGAUGAGGUCUUCUCCAUUAAUACCUCCUGCAAUACCGUAUUCGCGAGGCACAACUGGAUUACAGACAAGGCCUUUUCAUCAAGCUUUUCCCAUUCUGUUUUAUUUAGAUUCUCAGGCUUUUUCUCGGUAACAACCUUUUUCAAACCGGAUUGAACUAGAAUUGCCAUCAUCCGAACUUGCCACAGAUUGAAAUUUGUCUCACCAUCGAACUUCUCAAUUUCAAACCUUGUUGUUGCCAUAUCUGAAUAGGCUGAUCUUUGAACUAGCUCUGAUACCACUUGUUAGGGAUCGUCUCGAUUAAGCAACAAGUAACAAAAAUAGUGGAAUAAAUUGAGAAAUUGAACACACAAAUUUAACGUGGAAAAACCCCUCCAAAGAGGAUAAAAAACUACGGGCAAAGAUAAUUUUACUAUAAUGGCAAAAGAACGAAGAGUACAAAAGAUGGAGAUAAAACUAAACCCCGAAAACCCGAAAAACAAAGAACCCUCAAAACGUAAACACAAAAUUCUCUGAAUGUGUUAUGAGUUCUAAUCUAAUGGGUGUUUUUACUAAGGUUGUAAAAGAGCCUAUUUAUAGGCUAAAUUCAUAUGUCAAAUAAUAAUAAAAUAAUUUAAACUAAUCAGUGUUUGACUGAAACAAAUAAACAUAGUUUAACUAAAAGAUUAUUUCUCAAAUUUGACUGAAAAUAGGAGUCAUACUUAAUAAGGUUUAUAAAGCAUCAUCCUCUAGUGGUAUGAAACUUGAACUCGUGACUGCAUAAUAAUAAUCAACUGGAGCCCGAGUUAUACUUGAACUUGUGACUGCAUAGCCACUAUCAAUUGGGAGCCUUAGUUAUAUUUCAACUCGUGACUGUAUCCACCAUGAAUUGGGAUCCCAAGUUGCAAUGCAGUAUCUUCUAAGGUGAUGAUUCCAUCCCCACACGACAGAUGAAAUGCGUGGGUCAUCGAGAGCUAUCGCAUCACCGUAAACUUAAACAUGCUUUAAAACAAUCACAAUGUCUCCCUCAAAUACAAACACAAAUAAUUUUUUCUUUUCAAAUUUCCAACACCCAACAAAAAAAAAUUUGGAAGUGAAAAAAUGCUUCCUGUAGAACGCAUUUUGUAUUUCUCUCUAAAAUCGACUUAUUUCUUUAAAUUUAAAAAAAACCUAAAUCCCUAAUUAAUUUUAAAAAACGACAUAUUUAUCUAAUUAACCAAAAGUAUACCUUUUAUUCAUAUUCAUGAAAAGGCCUUUUCAAUAGCAAGAUUGGAAAGUGUGACCUUCAAAUUUAGAAAAAAAAAAGAAACGAAGAUAACAUCAAAUCUUAGUCUUAACCGUGAAGUUUUUUAAAUGCAGUCGGCCGGGCCCAUGCUCAUUGAAGCGCGGGAAGGAGAAUAUUCCUCUACAUCGGGGACUAUAUUACGUUUUGUCUCUCGAAUUAAAAAUCACCAUAAGCCACGCAGGAAAGAUCAAAUUGAGGAAAAAAAAAGGGGAAAAUUAUUUAGUCCACGUGGCAAUUUACUAUUUGCAAAGAUAAGGCUAAGCCAUAGUUCGACAGCUGGCAAGAUUUAUCUUCCCUAGAACUUUCUACAAUAGACAUGUGGGAGUUAUGUACCAUUUACCCAAUGGUUUCCUGACACUUGUCACCCAUUCGUUCAAUAACCAACAAAAACUCCACGUCACCAUUGAAACAAUUACAUUACACACGUAAUUAGGAGUCUUCUCCUAGGAAUUAGAAAAAGAAAAUGAAAAAUUAAUUAAUCAUUUACUAGAGUAGGUAAGGUAUCUAUGGGUUUUAAGUUAAAUUAAAUUAUUUAAUCCCGAAAUAAGGUGAUGAUAGUAAAAACCUAAGAAUAAAAAAAUAAAAAAAUUAAUUACUACUAAAUAAUAAACCGAAUCAACAAAAAAAAUUUAUAAAUUUCUCAUAACAAGUGGCGAGCUUAGUGUAAAUUUAAGGGAAUAUGGACUCAUUUAAAAUGGUAAACUUUUAAUUUAGUUUUUUAUAAUUUAUAAAAUUUUAAAUUAAUAAUAAUAAAGUUAUAUUUUAAACUUCUAAAAAUGAUAAAAAUUUAAUUUAAGCCUUUAAAAAUGAUAAAUAUAUAUUAUUAAAAUGAUAAUUAUAUUUUUAUUAUCGUAAAAAUAUAUAAUUUAAUUUCGACCUCCCCUCAAACAAAAGAUCCAAGCUUAGGAGAGAUUAUAUGCCUUGAACUUAUUCACAAGUCAAAUGUAAUUCACAUAUUAUUUUUACUGUAUAAAAUUCAAAAUAAAUUAUUAAACAUAUCUUUAAAAAAAUUACAAGUAAAAAUAUAAUUAUGAAUAAUAAUUUUCAAAUAAUUAUAAUUUAAUUAAAUCAUUAAUACAUAAAUAGACUAAAAUAAAAAUUCAAAUCAAAUCUAUAUCUCUAAAAAAUUUCAAAUAACUCAUUUGUGUUAGUUAAUUUGUUCAAGUUGGUGUCACUUAUUAAUCCAUCUUUACUCAAUUGAAAAAUUAAUACAAAUUUAUUUUUUUACGAAAUGAAAAAUAUUUAUUUUUCAUAUAAAAUCUAAAAAAAUACAUUAAUAUUACAUAGUCCACUUUAGCAAUUUAUUUAUUUAUUUAUAAUUAUAUGUAUAUAUAAUCAGGCGGUAAGCUACCACCUUUUGUCUCUGUCUUUCGCUCUUUCCUUCUUUUAAGUUCUUUUGUUCUUUAAUUUGACCUGGGUUUACAGUAAACAAAAGGGAAGAAAAAUGUCGAGCAGCGAUGAAUUCAUGGAUGACAUGAAUGGGAAUGGGGAUUCAUAUGGGACGGUGAACCGGAGGUUCAAAGAUCGAGCCGAGGUAUGAUUGUUCCAAACCCAAAAUCAUUCAUUUUUUAAUCAAUAUUUGUGUUUUAUCAUUUGCUUUUAUUUGUUUUACUUUUAAGUUGAUCGAUUUGGGUUUUUGUUUUUUGAUGCAGCAAGUGGCGAAAACGAAGGAGAUUUUGUCCAAACAAGCGGUUCAAACGAAGGAAAUGUUGUCGAAACAAGCUGUUAAGAUCGCUAAACAAGCUGAAGAACAUGAGCGCUUUAUCAAUAAGGUAAUCUUUUCUACUUUUUUUUUUUUACUUUACAUUCAUGUUUAUUGUAGGUAUUUAAACUGUGGGUUUCAUGUUUAUAAUUUAUUUACUUUACAUUCAUGUUUAUUGUAGGUAUUUAAACUGUGGGUUUCAUGUUUAUAAUUUAAGAAAAUGGAUCUGAAGUUAUAAAUUUUCGGGUUUUUUUCUUGUUUUGUUCAUGGGUUUUUGAUUCUUAGGUGACUCAUCUUUUGGGGGUUCUUGGAUUUGGAGGGUUUUGCUUUCUAUUGGGAGCAAGUGAGUUUACUCGGCCUUGAAUUCUUGAAAAUUGAUUACUGAAAGUAUUGGCUCUUGAAUCCAUUAAUUACUUUUUGUUCUUUUUUCUGUCUUUGAUUUUGAUUUUUUGAUUCAGGACCACAAGAUAUUCCUUAUGUAUAUUGUGUGUUCUAUGUUACCUUUGUUCCUCUUAGAUGGAUAUACUACCGUUUUAAGAAAUGGCAUUAUUAUCUUCUGGUAAGUUCUAUGCCGGUUCGGUUUCGACUUUUUUUUUCUAGUAAUUUAUAGGAAGGUAGCAUCGAAAAUUGAUCAAAAAAAGAUUCAUUUCUGUGUAUGUUAGGAUUUCUGCUAUUAUGCCAACACAAUCUUCUUGGUUGACCUUCUUCUGUAUCCGAAGAAUGAAAAACUUUUCAUGAUUUGUUUCUCAUUUGCCGAGGUAAAGAUUCGGGGUACUCGGUUUCUUACAUAUAUCUCGAUUGGUGAAUGAAUUGUUUUAACUUGUUUGUUCUUUCCGGAUGCUACUUUAGGGACCGCUAGCGUGGGCGCUCAUUGUUUGGCGUUGUAGCUUGGUUUUUAGUUCCGUGGACAAAAUUAUAAGCGUCCUUAUACAUCUUUUACCGGGUAUGUUCAAUCCUUAUUUGCACUUGCAAUCUUUAUAAAGCAAUUUUCGGUAUUUUCAAAAGGGAAGGGGGAGGGGUGAACUGAAUUUCAAGGCUGUUAAAUGUUCUGAUUUCUGAACUUGUGCCUUCGACAUUGUGUGUGGAAGAUACCAUUAGCUAUGGUUUAUUGCAGACAUGUUAUAUAAACUUACCAUGCUCAUAAAAAGCUGCUUAAACUUUCCAUCUGAUAGGGUUCAUGUAUGAUCUCAAUGGAAAGUUCCUAUUUUUAUGUAUAAGUUCGAUCUUCUGAUUCUAAAUAGAGGGAACUGCCUCUAUGGCAUCAAUAUGCCGGCCUUCAAAGAAGGUUUAAGAAAGACAAGAUGUCAAGUAGCCAAAUUUUCCCGUUCGUAAGAAAUGCCCUGUGGGUAAAUUUUUGGUAAUGUUUUGUUUAACAAGGAGUGAAGGAUGUAGCAGCUUUUUGUAAUUUGUAUUUUGCUUGUGCCUCGUUUGAUAAUUUGCUAAGACUACUGUCCUCUACAAAUGUAAACAUAAAACACUUUGAAACAAAAUCACAUACAAAAUGGAGCUGCUUGAAAGCCAUUCCAUGAGUUUAGUUUCAUGUUAGAUUGUGAAACUACAAACCCGAGUAACUGUCUUAUUAUUCCUUGCCUGUGAAAAUUGUUGAAACUUUGUACCUUAGAUGACUAUGCGAGUAGUAUAUUCUUUGAAUUUGGUAUAUGGCAGGUAGGUGUUGCAGAAGAACACCGAUAGAAGUUAGUGGUCAAGGCUCUUUUGAAGGAGAGGCCAAGCUUAAAUUUAUUUCUAAAAUGUCCAAACGUUUCUCAAUUGCUUUCAGGGAUCGUUUUUUUCACAAUUCGAUGGUGGAAUCCCGCAACCUUUGAAGCCAUGCAUCCCGAAGGUACUACUCACAGAUUUUCAUGGCCUUACGUAGAAGACAAAUCUUACCUAUGGACUUGGCUGUUCGGGGUUCCCUUAGCUGCUUAUACUCUUUGGCAAGUUCUUUAUUUCCUCAUUGUCAACGUGCUACGUCGCCAGAGGCUGCUAAGAGAUCCCGAAGUCAUGACUUCUUACAGGUUUGCUCUCUCUUUCUAUAUUAUCUCUAUGUCAGUUCACCAUGAAUAUUUUCAUUCAGAUGAUUUCUUUUUUUAAUAGGGAACUUUCUAAAAAAGCACAGAAAGCAAACAACAUAUGGUGGCGUUUAAGUGGGUUGCUCGGGGAUCAAAACCGUUUGUUGAUGUACAUUUUACUUCAAGCCGCUUUUACGGUCGCGACCAUGGCACUCACGGUCCCUAUCUUCCUAUCAUACGAAUUCCAUGCAAUUUUCCAAAUACUCAAGGUUUCUGCAUCUGUAUGGAAUGGAGGAAGCUUUCUGUUGGAAGUGAUGCCGAGACAAGUGAUUGUGAAGGAGAAAAAGAAAUCCGGGAAUCAGGUGCCGUGCCAACAACAAGAUCAGCACUCAGAUUUAACCGAAAAUGCAAUGCAGGCGAAUGGAUCCUCCGUGACCCACCAGUCUGAAUAGUUGUAAAAACCUUGGGCAAAACAUGGAUGGGGUGUGUUGUGUUGCAGGUUGGCUUUUUUAUGACAGUCCUAACAUGUAGUUUUAAUUGUGAAUCUGUAAUAAUUUUAUCAACUUUUUACCCUCAAAACUUAAAACCUUGUAGAAUUAAAUUAAAAACUAUUGUAAAUAUAGUAAGAAUCGUUUUGUCAAACUCGGGGCCUAUGAAAGGGUCUGAUAUAUCACAUAAAUAUAUACGAUUUGUCAUUAAAUAAUAAGGGUAGUUGUAUUUUUAAAGUGAGGUGCAAGUCUUCAUGACAAUAAAACGAAGCUAAAGAAAAAAAAAACCUUUUUCUAAUUCUAGUACUUUAUUGGUAAGGGCAGAACUACUAAUGUUGAUGGUUUUUAUGCUUCUUCUUUUUCUAUCUUAAUACAUGAUUUGGGGAUAAAUUAUUUUCAUUCAUAUAAUUUUAUUAACAUAAUACCUUGUUUUAAAGAAACUUUUUUGUUUUUUUAAAAUUUUACUAAUUAUGUAAUGACCAAUUAUUGAUUCACAAAACAUAAAAAGGACUUUCGUAUUGCACAUAAUAUAUAGAGAUUAACACUAAUAAUUUUCAAGUUUAAAUUGAAGACUUUCUGUCAAUGACAUUUGAUCAGGGAUGUUUACUCCGUAGAAUUUACUCGAGUUUAAAUUUUGACAAAAACCCAAUUUAAGUGCCUGUCCAAUUCAAUGCACAAUUUAACCUGAAUUGAAAAUAAAAUAAGGAAUACUAUAACACUGUUGUUCCUCAUUCAAUACUAAAGGAAAAAUUGGGAUUUACACAAUGAACUCAGACAACAACAAAUCAAGAUCCCUAUAAAAUGCAAUCUGUUUUUAGUUAAAUUUACACCCAAAAAUCAUCGAGGAAAGCCUGCAAAAGGAGCCCCUUUGCUCCCAAACGAAAUUUAGAAAAAUUACAAAAAAGAAAGAAUAAAACGCCCGUUGUAGGCUGUGAAGACCAAAACCUAUACCUCAAUUGCACAUUAUCACAUCAAUGCUUGUGAAUUUGUGAUAUGGCUUUUUGAGAAACAUUCCCAUGUUUCUUUUCCUUGGAACAUGGGGAAAAGAAUCAUAUAUAACCACCCCAGACAUUAAAAACCAACAGCCUGGGAGGAUGUGAAAAUUAUGAAGAAAAGAAAGAGAAAAGUUAUUAUGCACAUGAGAUGUUUGGAGAUUAUAAAACUAUAUGAACAUGCCUAGUGCAGUGCUUCAAGAGUACCGAUAUAUGUACUCGAGGCUGCAACCACUAUUAUCAGUCCGAGUGCAGAUGUAAAAACCUGAAACCAUGGAUAGAGGAUCAACAUCAGAUAUGUCUCUACUUGUUGCAGAGACUUGGAGAUGUGUACACCACAAAUGGAAUGCUGCAUUGGCAUAUGAGUCGUGAAAUAUCAAACUCUUUUACGUGAGUUGGAUGAUUGCAACCGUGAUUUAAUUAGUCCGAACGUGGAAGUAAGAACCCGAAACCAGAAUUUUCACGAAUUAUUGAUGGAGGAUCGACGUCAGAUAUGUCUACUUUUUGCAGGGACUUGGAGAUGUCCUCCACCGUGAACGGAAUACUGCAUCGACAUCAAUUGUAGAUGUUGAGAAUAUGGAGUGAAGUACUUUUCGAAAUGAAGCUAAAAGACGGAACAAACUAACCUUGAGUCGUCGUCUAACAGGAAAGAACUACUAACAGCAUUGUUGGAAUCCUCAGUCAUCAUAACUCUCAUGUUUGCAAUGACCUGUAAAAAUUUGCAAUCUUAGAAAAACAGGUAUUUCAAAAUUCCAGGUGCCGGAACGAACAGGUAUAGCUUUCUCACGGUAAGUAAUUUGGAUUUCGAACUUACAUCUGAUGACACACUAUGUGUGCCGUAUUUGUCAUCCCAGUACAUGGUGCUAAUUCUGUAUAACUGUUGUAUGCUGAGAACCUGAAGAAGCAAGCAAUAAAAAGAAAUAAGAUGAAGACUUAAAAAAAAAAGAUAAAACUUUAUGAGGCGAUGAAGCUUGAAAGUGAAAGGUAUUUACCGGGCAAAGUUCUUUAGUUAUCUCAUUCAAGGUCUUUUUUGGUUUCUGAUGAAUAACCUGAGUUACAGAGAAACGUACCGAUCAGUGAGUCAUAUGAGAUCAUUGAUUAGAAACCGUUAUUGAACAUGAAAUGCUAUAAGUUGAAUCUAACCAGGAAUCCUACAGCCUGUCUUAUGUGCUUCAGUUCUUCCCAUGCUGGGCCUGCGUACUGUUGACACGAAGCAUUUGGGUAAAGGAACCAGAAAAAAAGGAAGGCAGGAUAUAACAGUUGCAAAUGAUUGCUUAGAGAGCUUACUUCCUCAGUUGCGUUGUAGCACCACUGUUCUAAUUCAGCAAGACCAGCUUUCACGAACUCUCCAUUACUGAAUGAGCAACACUCUCGUCGCAAUAGAAGACUACAUAUAUGAGUUAGACAAAUGCCGCACAGUUAUCACGGAAUCUACCAUAACCUUCUACUUUUGUAAUAGAAUCAAGUAAUAAAUGCGCAUAAAAGUUCACAUACUGACACACAAAUUGAUACCUGUUGAAUAGCUGAACGUUGAUGAAUGAGAAUAUUUGAGUGAACACUUUACGGACUAAGAAUGGGGGUACCUGCAUAACCAGAAAAAUGAGAUCCAUAAAAUCCCUCAAAGAAAGGUUACAUGUUUUUGUUUUCAAGCGAAGUUUAAGAAUUUACAUGAUUUGCUUUCAUUAUAUCCAAAUAACGGUUCAAGCUUUUCACAAUGCUUUGCCAAUGAGCAAUUAAAGCUUGCUGAGCAGCAGCAUUCGCUUGAGAACGUCCCUUCACCAAACUUGCACGUGAUGUCCUUGGAGCCUGCAUUAUAUUGAAAAUAUUUCAGAACUGGAAAAGGAACAAAAUAGAUAGCUUGGAAAAAGAAAUAACUUAGCAAUAACCUGAAUGCACAAUCCAAGCAGUGGAGAGAUCUCUUUCUUUAGAUUGUCUCUGAUCGUUCCAUAUAUCUUCUCAAGGAAGGCAGUAAGCUGUUGCUUAAACAGUAAUGCAGGAUAUUUGGCCUCAACUUGCCGUAAGUCAUCUAGUCUACUAAGUCCACGACCAUUAAGAAACGAAAGUCCACCGCUUUGUGGAGAGGCCCGUAGUCCCUAAAAAUCAUAUCAGAACAAAAUAAGGUCAGGAAAAGAAAUUUAAAUAUAUAGAUAGGACAGGAAAAAAUUUUUCUUAAGAUAAAUAGUAGCUUCUUACUUGGGACAUCCUCCCAAAGAGUGAAGCUGAUGUUGCUCUUCGCCUUUGUGGUGUCAAACUUCCAGCUCCAGUUGCUUUAAGUGUGCGUUGGAGCAGCAGUAAUAAUGUUGAUGAAUUCGAUAACCAAUAGGCUAAGACAUCGUUAUUAUCCUGGAUCUUCAGUAAGGUAGACAUUGCUUACAUUAAUGAUAUUUUUUUAAUCCUGAAAAGUCUUGAUCUACUUCUAUUAGCCUCUAUGUGCAAAGGCUUUUGGGAGAUGAUGAUUUUUAUUGGCUAAUGAUGCAGAUAAUGGUUAAAAAGCCAAACUAUCGCUUACCUCAAUGGAAGAAGCUAUUGUUUGAAUGAUGCGGUCGAAGAUAGUUGUUCGUUCAACUUCAAAUGACCUCCAUUGAAGAAGACAUUUGUAUAUGACACAAGCAGCAAUUGGUUUGCUCCCAGAGAAUCCCAAAUUUUCUGAAAUACACUUGAUCAAUAUGUCCUGGUUCUCCUGAAACACAAAACAUGGAUUAGAAGCAAUUAAUCGGGACUGUACAUCCAUAUGAAUAAGAAUCUACUACUCAAAGUAUGAGAUAGAAUAUCAGAAUGAGUUCCAUAAAAGUAUAAUGCAUUCCAUUGGUCACUAACCUGCUGCUUUUCAUUGAGGGAUUUCUGAGGUUUUUCCUCUGAUUCGGGCUCACGUACAUUUGAUAUGGCAAGAGUAGUGUCCUGAGAAGAUAAUGAGCAGUGAGCAAUAUAAUACACUAAAAAAAAUCUCAUAUCUUAUGAACUUCUAGAUUCCAUUAUCACAAUCAAUGAUGUUCCUACCGGUGAAACCUUUGUUUCUCCGUUUGUAACAUUUCCAUUCUCUGGUGUCCUCUGCAAAUUAAUUAACAAAUGCUCAGUCUAUAUUUCUCUAAGCUUGUACUAUACAAUAUGAGGAUGUGUAAUGAACUAAUAAUAUCUAAUUUAUACCGGAAUAAUCAUAGUUCUUUGUCUUGUAGUCAAAGAUUUUCCAGUUGGUGAUAUUGCUAGUGCCUGCUGACGAAGUACUUGAAUCUCAGAUUCUGAAUUGGCAAGCUUCUCUUCCAACCUGAAGCGUAGAAUGAUAUUAAAUAAAAAAGUUUCAAUCAAACAUGGGGCACAAAGAGCCGCAUAAAGAAAAAGGAAAGCAAGGAAAGGGUGCAUGCAAACAGAAGCAUCAAGUGAAGCAUUCAUGUGUUGGAUAUGCUUGAGUUUAGUGACAACUGACAACCAAAAUGGAUAGGAAAAGGGAGAACUAAUCUUGUCACUUAUCAACUUUGAGAUGAAUGAAUCCCUUUUUUCUUCUCUCUCUUUCAAUAUUUUGUUAUGAAGUACUGCUAGUUUGUAUUCAAACAACUAUCUUUUCCAAACAGACCUCUGCAUAGAUUCCUGAAGUUGAUCCACUUUUCUCUCUGAAUCUUCGAGUUUCUUUUGCAGCUCUGCACUUCUGGCCUCCGCACCUGUACAAGCAUUACGGGCCUCCUCAGCUGCUUUUCUUUCUGAUAGCAAUGAUGCCUGCGGUUACAAAUGAACAUUUAGUCCCUGUUGUUAUCAUCGAAGUUUCCGACUCCAAGAUAAUUAAUAAAAAGCCAACAACGUCAAGCUAAUUGCAAUAUCUUGCAAUUGGAAGUCGAUCCACAUCAUUCAUCCGAUGAUGAUACACACGGAAAAUGUAUCCAAAUCAAAUUACUUGAUAGAAAAUCAUAGGAGGGAAAUAGACAUGAUUACCUUCAAACUCUCUACCUCAGCAGCUAAGGAGUUAACCUUUUCUGUGUCCUGAACUAUAACAGGAGUCUCCUUAAUAACUGGAGGAGCUUCCUCAAUAGCUUUUCGAGCAGCCUCUUGCUCUUUUAUGACUCUAGUAUUUGCUUCCUCGACUUGUACUUGCAUAGCAUGCAAAGCAUCCUGUAACUUGGCAAGUUCUUGCGCCUUUUCCCCUUCUAAAUCAGUCUGUUGUAUUGAUUUAAAGGGUAAAGGUUUUACAGGUCAAAACAGAUAAUGAUGACGUUUUACAGAAGAUUGCAGCAAUAGUAAACAUUUAUAUAUGUUAGAAUAAAAAAUGGCAUAAGCUACCCUCAAACGUUUCUCAAGCUGCAAACGCCAUGUGAGUUCCUCUACGCGCUUUUCCAGUUUGUCUUUUGCUUCUUUCAGAGCCCCUGUUUCUCGGGCGGCCUAAAAAGAUUUAGAGUAAUGGUUAUAACGUGAGUUUAAAAUGUAAAGUGCAUUAAAGCUCUUGUAAGCAAAGUUGCACUAAAGAAUAAGAUCAAACCAUCUUCAGCUUUCUGAGCUCUCUCCUAGCAACCCUUCCCCUCCAACCACAUUGAGUAGUUAGUGCUGCUUUCUGGAGACUCUUAUAAUAAGAGUAAGCAAGAUGGCAACGCAAAGCAGCCUGAAUGUUCAGAAAAGUAUUCACUCAAUAUUCAGUUCUCUGUACUGAAUUUCAUUAACUUCAUUGCUUCAGUAAUGAUGUGCGUCUUUCAUCCAAAAUCACAUUAAUUUUGUAAAGAUUAAGAGAAGAUAAUCAAGUAGUUGUAGUAGGACCUGAACGAUAAUUGCAGCCUUGGUUUGCUUUUUGAAUCUGAAUUCAUUCCGAGCAGUCAUUGCCCUUAGGCCAGUCUGCAAUGUAAUUGCGGCUAACCUCACUGUUAAAUAAGAUUCCCUGGCAAUGUGCCGCCUAAAGUUCUUUUGAAUCUUCAAUGCAGCUGCUUCCCUUCUCAACUGCUCAUACAGUUUGCAGGCUAAUAAACCUAAUCCAAGUGAAAAAGGAAGAGACAGUCAUAAACCGGAUAAAUUUUAGUGUGCUCAAAGGCAAAACGAAAAGCAUCAGAGAAUUACAACUGCAGUUCAAGAAAAUACUUCUGAAAAUCAUCAGCUUCAAACAAUUGCUUUUGAACUUUUAAUGAAAAUAAAAAGAUACCUCGCCAAUGAGAUUGCAACAUGAUUGCAGAUUUACGUAGUGCCAUGAACUCCUUCCUUGCAAUAUAUGUCCGGAUUAGUCUUUGAAUGGUCCUGGCUGCAUUUCCAAGCACUUCUGCCCUUCUGGCAUCUAACUCAGCCAUCUGACCAGCUCUAAGGAAAACUUUGGUCUUACCUAUCUGCAAUGCCAGUCAUGUUAAAUAGAGUGGAAUACACAAGUUGAUUACUGCGUAUAGAUGAUCACACAAUAUUUGUAAUCAUGGUGGAUAUUAGAAACAGAUGGCUAUUUCCAGUAUCGCCUUUGACAUAGAUAUAACUUCUAAAUAGCAGUUAACAUCAACUCAUCAAGGGUACAUUGAUUCAUCAAGGACAUUUAAAGUAAAUCAGGGAAAUGAAAAGAAACAGUUAUCUGUCCAACCAAAUUGGGUACUUCUGUGACAGAUAUGACAGGCUAACAACUGGUAAAGGUGGUCUUUAACCCCAAAAGAAUCAGGUCUACCAUGAAGUUUGUUCUUGUGGUCAUCCUACUUGGAUAACAAUGCUAUUAGUCAUGGUUUUCACAUUUCCUAACCAUGCUCUACAUUGAACAUGUUAAGGAAUAAACCAGUCAUUACCGAACCCUUGUCAUGUUUUUCUUUUUUUAAAGAUUUAAAGCUAUUAGCAGAAAUUUUCAUUAUAAAUCACUUCCUUACCCGUACUGCCAUAAAUCCAAUAGUGCUAAUAGCCCAUGCUUACUGGCAUAAAGUGUCUAGCUUAUCAAUUGGUGAUACACUCAAGGAGUUAUAAAAUAUUCAAAAAUCAAGCAAUCCUUCAGCUAUUCACCAGUUUUGCUAAGAUCUCAGUACACCAUGCCAUUGUGAAUGGAGCUAGGAGAGGAAAGUGAAAUUAUAUUUCCAUGAUACAGAGGACCUCCCCUGAAUCCUCUAAUCCUAUCGUACUUCCUAAAUACCAUUACCAAAAUUAAAAACUUUAAGGUCGUGUUUCAAUUACCUGGUAACCUUUCAAUCCCAUCUUAUCCAGGAUCAUUUGACAUGCAACCUUGUCAUCAUGACUGCACGUACAAAAACACAAAACGGAAAAUGAUAAAAUCCUUAAGCAAAGUCAUAUGCAAUAGUAACGAAAAUAAAAAACUAGGGAAGUGACAAAAGAUGAUUAUAUAAAUUGCAGCAUCAACCAAUAUACUGUGAGAAGCAGUUACAUAGUGCAAUAGUUCAAGUCUUUGGCUAAAAAAAUCUCAGAAACAUUAAUGUUCUGUACCAGGCAAUGUAUGAUAAAAUAUUGAAAAUAAUGAUCUUAUUUGGAUCACCUAUCUCAUAAUGUUAAAUAUCCAACCAAAAAAUCAAUUGGUAGUAAGCGGAGAGGCCCAACUUGUCUGCAAUAAACUCAAGAUUUAACAAAUAUAGGAUACAUCACUUAAUACUCCCCUCACAUGUAGCUCCACAAGGGGUGGCAAGUAGGAAGAACAUAACACACUUUGACUCUGAUACCAUGUUAAGCAUACAACCUAAAACAAAUUACUAGUAACUAGUAGGCGGAGUGAAACUCAAGACUAGGCAGAUAGGAUAACACUACUUAACUAUAACCUUAGAUUAGCAAAAGACCGUGAUGCUUUUUUUUUUCUUUUUGAACUUAUACAUUAUCAAGGUAAGCAUCCAUUGAAUGAAUAUGUCCAUUUCUACACCUAAACUUAUUACAACUACAAAAUGAUAGGAUUCACAACUUACUUCCCCUCCAAAAUUUCUGGAGCAAGGACACCAAAACGGUGAAUAAACUCAUAAAAAGUUCUUCUCGUCGGAUAUCCAGCACAGCUGAUCCUGAUUGCCUCAAGAACACCCUAUAAGAGAGAAAAGUACAUAAUUUCAUCAUACCCAUCAAAAGGACCAGUUUCAAUAGAUUGGAGCAAAACAAAUAGAGAUUAUCAUUUUUUUCAAAAUCAUACUCACACCACAUCUUAAUUGCUGAAUUAUAUUGGCAUUCUCAAAAAUUGCAGGUUUGAGGACAUUGUUUGGCUUCACACAUCUGAUAUAGUGAGGUUCUGUUGAAUUCAAUGUCUCCAUUAAAGAUUGAAGUUGCAGCUGCAAUUUUUAAAACAUUUUUUGCUUAUCAGAGAGAAAUUAUAUAAAAAUUCCAAUGUUAAGAAGUCAGUAGUUUCAAUUGCAAAUGAAAGAAAAGGAUCUAUCAACCAUGUUACCCGUCUCUAAAAUCAUUCAUGCACAGUACCGAAAUUAGUGCACAAUUAUUUAUGGUUUCAGAAUUGCAGGAUUUAUGGUUUGUAUAAGCACAGUAAUAUUUAUGAGCUUCCUUAAUUUUAUUUUGGGUAUGCUAAACUACAGCAGGCUACUUAAUUCUGGAUCCAUUGCAGUUUCCUUCUUCCACGUGCUAUAAUUAAGUUCAUAGAAAACAAAGCCUUCAUGGUUUUGAUGACAUGGAAUAUAUCAUGAACUUUUUCGUGAUAAUAUAAGAGACAAACUACCAUCUUGUUAGAAAUUGCAACCAUUAAUUACUGUUUUGACAUAAGCGGGAAAAGAAAAGAAGCACUAGGUCAAAAAACUUCGAUAUAAACUGUACUUGUGAACUUAGCAUUUUAUUUCACAAGGUUCUAUUUUCCUUUUCCCUGUAAUUUCUGAAUUGUUUUGUGAACAGGAACAGAUACACUAUGAUGAUGCCCAAUACCUGAGUUAUAGGGUCAUGUUUGGAAUUAGAGGUCAAAUAGCUUUUAACCCCUUUAUUUAAGUAGGUUGGAAACAUUUUGAAUGCUUCACUUUCCCAAUGACCGUUAGUGUGCACUUUGUAACACUUGGCAAUGGGAUCAAUGCUCAAUCAAUGGGUUUCAUAUCUAACACGGAUGAGAAGUACAGUUCAUCUGAUAAACAGGUUGAUUAAUGAAUCACUAAUACCUUAAAGCGUGAUCCGAUGGAUGAAAAUUUGGAUGAUUUUGAAGAUUCCUCAGCAGGAGGAGGAAACAAAGAAGCUACAAAGGGGCACUUUGAGGCUGUCAACAGAUCCUGAUGUUCAGCCACUACAUAAUCUUUGUUCUUGUCAAGGAACAAAUCAGCCAGAUAAGUCACCUGGGGAGAAGACAACAAAAGAUACCGUUGUGUAAUCAUCGUAGUUAGAGAAACUUUGUUUGUAUGUAUGCAAGGCAAAACAAGCUACCUCUCCAGCAUAGUGAGAAAUAGUAAAACUAGUACGAGAUAGCUUCGGCUUUAUAAAGCGCUUGUUGUUUUUGAAUGUCUGAAACAACUUCUGAGCAAAUGUCUCGUGUGUGGACCUAGGAAACAUACUGCAUGAAGCAGUAAAGAUGAAAUCAACAAAAAGCAACAAUGUAGAAUAGGAAAUGACAGACACAGCAUAUAGUUUCUUCAUUAAAUAUGUUGAGCACCAUAUGCACGUGCAUGGUAGCACUAGUAGAGGCAAUUAUAGUAACUUAGGUUCCCUAAAACUUCAAAAAAUAAUCUAUCCAAUGCAGCAAGAUACAAUCUACAUACCAAGCUUCAUCGAGAAGUGCAAUAAUUCCUCCUGGUUUCUGCAGAAAGAAUGAGCAAGUAAUUGUAAUUAUGAAACAGGAUGCAUGAGAAGGACACUGAAGAAUAUUUAAACUAAUAAAUAAAUAAAUAAAAAUAUUAUAUUCUUGGAAAGAUUAGCUCAUAUGAAAUAACAAGAAACAAGUUAAGCAACAAUGUUCAACCUUCUCUAUCAAAUCCAACACAUCCUGGUUAUCAACAAAUUCUAUGUAGCUCCAAUUAAUUUCUUCUUUUGUGUAUUCCUCCUGUUCCAUUUUAAAAACAUGCUGCAAAGACAAAAUUGCCAUAUAUUCAGAAUAAGCGUGGCCAAGAUAGCAUCUAAAGUAGAAGAAAAGAGCUAUGUAAAAGUUACAAACCUGAUUGAAAUGUUGCUGCAGUUUUUCAUUUGUAAAAUUGAUGCAAAACUGCUCAAAACUAUAGAAACAAGAGAAUGGACAAAAUCUUAUUAGCUAAAAUAGUAAAAAUUCCAUUUAUUGUAUUUAAAGGGAAAUGUAUUACCUAUUAAACUUAAAGCUCUCAAAACCAUAAAUAUCAAGGACUCCAAUCAAUUGCUUUGAGUUUGGAUCUUGUCCAAUUGAAAUGUUGAUCUUAUCCACAAGCCUUAUAGGAACAAAGAAAUAUGUUUUAGAAAUUCAUCCACUGUGGUUGAAUACAAAAUAGAGAUAAAGUUUUUUUACCAAUCGAACAAGCGAGAAUAGAUGGUUUUAGCUAAUGCAUCCCUGCUACCAACUGCAGCAACAGGAUCUAGAGCUCUUGUAAUAAUUUCUUCUGGAGUAACCAUUACACGCUUUAUUAAUGCGUUUUCCAAGCUCUUAACAUCACACCUAUUGUAUAUACGGUUUAUCAGUUUAUCACACAUUGAUUAAAGAAAGAAUACAUGCAAGACAAGAACUCAAAAAUAUAUUCAAGAAAGGAUGAAUAAAUCAUACUGGAGCAGUUCAGCGGUCGUAUUAAGAUGGAACCUAGAUUUCUCAUCCUUGAUAAUGGAGGAGUCAACCUCAGCUCCCUUUGAAAAGUCAAUAUUUCCAAGAUGUAAAAUGGCAGCCACAACACUAAAAAUUGCCUCCUGAAUCAAUCAUAACGAAAGUUAGCGAUGAAAUCAUAAGUACACUAUUUUCUGAAAUUAAUGGAAGAGAAGACUGACCUGCUCUUCCUCACUGAUUCCAACUACAUCCAUGGCCCUUAUAGUUGCAAGGUACUCCUGAGCAUCAUCUACCCCAUCCAAUGCAUAGCAGCUUGACUGAUUGAGGUAAUGGAAAGAUUUAGGAUCUCCCAACUUAAACUUUUCCCUAACCUGAAAAUUUCCAGAGAACAUUAUCAAUCAUUGCCUAUUACUAGCAGCAUAGGCAAGUCUACAUGCACGUGCAAAUUGAUUCAAAAAAGAAAUAUCCCAUUAUAAAAUCAAAGCAUUAAUACCUCGGGCGGUGCUGCACAAAGAAGGUAAAAACAGUGAUAAUUUCUUUCAGGAUUUGAAAUUUGGCAAACACGAGACCGUUCCAGCAAAUAUGUACGAACAGCCGCUCCAGAUAUCCUCCCAUUCUUGUCAAAUUGGAGCUCAACAAAUUUACCAAAACGACUAUAUAGUACCAAGAAGCAAGAAAACUCAGAGAAACACAUAAACGAAUUCAAGGAAAUAACAAAUUCAAACAAUUGAUUAGAGAAACCAUUGUUUCUACAUUAAAUUAGACCGACCAGCAGCAAUGACUGAAACAUGAACUGACCCUUGAUCCAUCUUUUCAAAACGUCUUUAAAUCCAACAUUUGAUAGUACAUAUCAGGAGUGGAAUAAGCUAUCAAAUAUGAAGAAAGUUGUAAUUUUUCAAAUCCUAAUAGCAAAAAUAUGCUCACCUUGAAUUAUUGUUCCUAACAGUUUUUGCAUUACCAAAGGCUUCAAGAACUGGAUUUGACUGGAAGAAGUCAAACAUUAAGAAGUACAAAAUCAGGAAAAUGCUCUGAUUCUUUUCAAUUUAUCGGAUCAAAGAUAACCAUGUAGAAACUAUAUAUGAUUAUAUAUGAUUCAUCUUACUUCUAGAACUUGUUGUUCAACUGUACGCCCUUCAACUCCAGAUCGACCACCAAGGUAUGCAAGGUAUCGCAUUAGCAUCUUUGUAGUCUCCGUUUUACCAGCACCACUUUCUCCACUAACUAGAAUGGAGUUGCUUUUUCCCUCAUUUAUCAUUGCCCUGUUUACAUGAUAAAUCAGCAACGGCAUCUCUAGAAAACAUCUGAUGUCCAAUAGAACAGAGGUUAUUUACCUAUAGGCAACAUCUGCAACUGCAAAAACAUGAGGACUCAGCUCUCCAAAUCCUGCCCCCUUAUAUUGCUCCAUCAUGUGAGUAUCAUACAAGUGUGGUAACCUUUGGAAUGGAUUUAUAGCAAUCAGUAUGUUUCCAGUGUAUGUCUGAGGAAAGUAGCAAAGAACAGCACCUCAGCUUGCAAGAUUAAGAUGUCUUUGUAAUGAAAUCUACAAGUCCUUUGCUCAACACCUACUUCAGCAUGGGAACAGUGAAAGAGAGAAGAGAAAAUAUCUUACAUAGAUUUCGUUAAGUUCAUAUCUCAUAGCCAAGUUAUGUAGAACUCCAGGUUCAUGCAAAUACGAGAGUUUUGUCAUGUCAUCAACACCUCCAGGAGGUGCUUCAGUAUCUUUUGGAAAGACCUUUGAGAUAUUUGCCACAGCCUGCAAUUAGUUCUUUGGUCAGUAAGAAUAUUAGAAUAAAAUCUAUUCCACGAAAACUUAGAAAAUAAGUAGCAGAGAAUCUAGUCAAAGUAAACAUCCAAGUUUCCAUUUGAAAUAGGUAAAUGAACUUUGGAUGCACACUUCACGCUAUAUACUGAUAGAUUGUACUAAUUGCUAAGCUAGAAAUUGUUUGAUAAGGUCUUGUCUGCCUUAGUACUUGUAAAUUAUGAAGUAGAAUUGCAAUAGUUGUACUAGUCAAUCACAAACAUGUUGGCAUCUAAUACAAAAUUUUAUUCACAUUAAUAAGUAGCGCUUGUUACAGACAGACAAACCAACAAAAGGCUAAAACAUACUCACAGUUUUUCCAUUUGUUGUUUGGACAUGAACGUCUUCACCACUGAUUUUAAAAACUUCACCAUCAAUCCAUGCAAGUGUGGGGUCUUCAACCCAUACAUGAGAACCUACAAUAAUAUUAACAGGAGCAGCCUACAAAUAUAUGAAAUUAUUAGCCAUCCAAAGAAAGAAACAAAGUUUGUAAACAGAAAAAAGUCGAGACUGUCUGAAGAGGAACGCAAAAAAGAAUAUUUCAUGGAAAGAAGAUUGUUAGGAUGAAUUCUUCAAUUCCAAUCAUUUAAGUAACGGGUAAUAUGCCAAAUUAGUGGACAGUCCACAUCAUUAACGUUGCAUACUGUUUUAAGAUGAACAAGAAUGGAACUGAAGUGUUUACCGAGGAGUAAAAUACUGCUAUUUUUGUAAAUAAAGUACAGAAAGUGUACAAAUAUAUGGUUGAAUAAUACACAGCCAGAAAAGAUCAUUGCCAAGCCACUAACAAAGUAGCCUCAUAAACAAAGAAAUAGUUCUUAGGUUCUGCCUAAAUUUCAUGAUAAUGACAUAAAACUGCAUCAAAGAUCAGAGCCGAACUUUGUUCAUAAGAACAUAAAAUAAAUCAUUGGCAAGAAACAAUUUUGCAGCAUGUCAUAUGUGUUGAGCAUCCAAAGGAAAUAAGAAAUUGUCAGCCAGUGGCUCUCAUCUUACUCACCACCAUAGUAGUGUCGCCUCACUAUGGCAUCCUUAACCCUCAUUUCAACUUUCAUGCAAGUCUAAUUAUAGUAUUAAUAACUACCAAGAAUUCUUUACCAUCCAAAACCCAGGACUAGAGAGUUACUCAUUUUCAGAUGAUAUAUAUAUGGCAUGAAAGAACAAAAUAACUAAUCCAUUUUUAAGUUGAACUAAUUUCUCUACUAUUUUAUUAAUAGUUAGACAUUCAGCAAGAGCUAACAAUUUUACAGGAAGAAAACAAUCUUAUUAUCCUAAACAAAUAAAAACUAUAAAUAGCAUUAAAAAACAGUCAUUCCAAGUCAUGAUUGUCAUCGGUUGGUAUCUUUCACCUAAAACUUAUCCGUACAUCAAUCCUAACUCUGUCUUCAUUUACAUGAAAUCCGCUUGUAAAGAUACAAACAAAGUGUUUAUAACACCGAUCAAAUGUUGCUCUACAUCUGGAUUUGCAUUCCGAUUUCUUAGUCAAGUAAUAUAAGCAUUCAAAUUUUCUAAUCUUAAAAGCUGAUAUACUUGAAUGCUUUUCAUAUAAAAUUUUUCAAAAAAAAAAAAAAAACCGUUCAUCAUCUUUCAAUACAAACUGAAACAAAAAACAGAUCACAUCGAAUCCAUCAAAGAAUUUCCUGUAUAAUUUAAGCUUGCUAAAGCUAUAAAAUAUCUAACAAAGAAAAUUAAAGUAAAGAAUCAAAAAACAAGAUGCCAUGUUCAACCGAUUCAACUCAACCGCAAUUAAAAACCGUUAAAGCAAUGGAUUACCAUGACGAGUAUAUGCAAACGAUCUUCUCUGUACUAACUCAUCCGAGCCACAACCGAGUCGAUGAAAGUCUGACUCGACGAGUCAGAUCGGAACCAAAAACAACUGAACUGGAAACUCAAUAGCUGUAACGAGAAAACUUUUGAAUUGAAGAAACUAAAAACACAAAAUUAUGACGGUUGAAUUCCGAAUUCACGAUAAACAAUAAGAAAACAAAGCUUUCUUCUGACGAUUUUUCCCUUUUUUAUUUAACUCAUCAAAUGAAAAAGAAAAACGGAAGCAAAAUGGAAAUGGCAAUGCGAUUUAUAUACAAAAGCGAAGAGUUUAAAAGUUUUUUUUUUUGUGUGUGUGUGUGCUUGUGUGCGUUAAAAUUUUUUUUUUAUUAUUGUUUCUGGUCAGCUGGGGUCCAAAAGCAGGGGAGGGUGACGAAGAAGGUCUAGUUGGACAUUUGGUGGUGGCAACAAACAGUGGAAUUUUCGUGCUCUAAAACUAAAACCGACGACGUUUUGUGGAAGUUUUUAGACUAAAACCGUGCGUUUUUCUCGAUUUUGGUCGGUGUUUUAAGGCAUCAAUUUGUUUUUAUUUACGGGAUUUGCCAUAAAGUUAAGUCCAACUAAGCAAUCAAAGGUGGCUAGUCAUUUUCAGAAUAAUAAUAAUAGCAAUAUUAAUCAAUAAAAAUAAUAAUUAACGAAAAAUUAAAAUUGUCAAUGCUAUUAAUUAAAACUUAUUCAAAGCUUCGGUCUAAUGAUCCACCCUGUUUAAAUUGGCUUGUUCAUAUUUAAUUUUGGCUGAGUUAUUAUUUUAAUAUUAGAAAUAAUAGUGUUUAAAUUUAAUUACACAAAUAUAAAAUAUUAAUAUAAAAAUAAUUUUAGAAUAUUUUAUUACUUUAAAAUAUGGAACAUAUUUAGUACAUUGUCAACGGAAUUUUUAGAUUUUACAAACAGAGUCAAGAAUGACAAAUUUUUAAAAUUACUUGUGGAAUAAAAAAUAUUAUCAGUUUACCGAAUACUCACCCUUUAAAAUAUUAAACUAAAUUAUUUAGAUUAACCCAACCUUAGCACAAGUGAAUUUGAGAAAUUCAAUAAUUUCGAUUUUGAAUGCAUGAAUAUCUCUUCUAUAGAUUUUAUAUUUGAAAGCAUGAAUACAAUAGGAUAUUAUCAUUUUUCUAUUGGUAUUGUAUGCAUGAAUACAAUUAUGUUUUAGUAUAUUAUUUUUAGAUUUAUUGAUAUUUAAAAAUUAUAUAUAAGAUUAAAAAUUUUAAAUAUAAAAUAUUUAUCAAUAUAAAUACAAUUUAAAAUAAACACUAAAAAAAUCUCUCAUGCAUUAAAUAAUAAAUUCAUCUUAUAAAUUAUUUAGGUAAUUUGUUUUGCUAAUUAAAAUAUAACAUGAUAUUUUUUCCAUUUAUCAUUAAAUGUAUUUAUAAAAUAAAACAUUUUAAUAUGUUUUUAAUGGGGUUUUUUACAAAAAUAAUAUAAAAAAUAAAAAAUUACCAAAAUGUUAUACAUUUUUUUAUUUACCAAAAUAUAUAUUUUUUUUAUUUACCAAAAUAUAUCAAAAAAACCAAAAAAACAAAAAAAAAACCUGGACCGAUUUGACAGUUCCCUGGGUCAAGGGAACACUGUUGGUGGCACUAAACAAGGGAACCUUGUUGGCGGCACCAAACAAGGAUUCCUUGUUGGCGGCACCACCUUAAAUAUUAAGGGUGGUCGGUUGGUGGGGGGAAAAAGGAGAGGGGAAGAAGAAGAAAGAAAGGAAGAAAGAAAAAGAAGGAAAAGGAAAGGAGAGGAAAGAAAGAAAAAGAAGGAAAGAAAAGGAAAGGGGAGGAAAGAAAGAAAAAUAAGGAAAGAAAAGGAAAGGAGAAGAGAAAAAAAAAAAAGAAAGAAGAAGAAGAGGGAAGGAAGGAAGGAAGGAAAAAAAAGAAAAUAAGGUAAUUUUUAUUAUUAAUUUAAGAUUUUUGUAAUAUUUGUGUGUUAAAAAAUAAUUUUAAGUACAUUUUACGUAUUUUAUUAAUUUAUUUAGGAUAUAUAAUUUUUGAGAUAUAUUUAGCAUGAAAAAAUUAAUGAUAUGUACAUUAUAUGUUGAUUAGGAAUUUUUUUUUAUGAAAUUGACUUAGGAUGUUGAAAUUAGUUUUGUUAGUAAAAUAACAUUAAAAGUAAAAUGAUAAAGAAAUAUAUUUAAGAAAACAUAAAAUACGAAAAGAAAAAACGAUAAUUAUAUAUUCACCGAAAGUAAGAAAAUGCGAAAAAAAUUAUAUCUUUAAUAAAUUGUAAACAUAAUGCACUGACAAAGUAUAAAAUUAUAAAAUUUAAAAUGACGAUUUUUUUAAAAUAAUAAAAUGCGGAGAGAAAAAUACGAACAAAUGGCCAAAAUAAUAGUGUAUUACUAACUUUUUAAAAAUUUGAGAAAUAGUUAAUACAAAUAUUUUUAAAAAAAUGUAAUGAAAUAAUAUAAAGUAAUAAAAUAAAAAAUAAAAAUAUUUUUAUUGAAAAUAAAAAUCGGGAAAAAAAUACGAGCAAAUGGCAGGGAUAAGAAUUUUUUUCUUACACCAAAUAAAAAACCCGGUUUUAGUAACUUUUUUAUUUUGGUAAAUAAAAAAUAUAUAUAAUAUUUUGGUAUUUUUUAAAUAUUUUAUUAUUUUUGUAAUGUUUUAUUAUGGGUUUUAUAAAAAAAAUAAUAUAAAAAAAAUAAAAAAUUACCAAAAUAUUAUAACUUUUUUUAUUGACCAAAAUAUAUAUAAUUUUUAUUAUUUACCAAAAUAUAAUAAAAAAAGUAAAAAACAAAAAAGAAUAAAAAAAGGAAAAAAACACUAAAUUUAUAAAUUAAUUUUACACUAAAUACACUAAAAAAAAGUUGUAAUAUUUUGGUAAAUAAAAAAAAAAAGUUGUAAUAUUUUGGUAAAUUUUUUAUUUUUUAUAAUAUUUUUGUAAAAAACCCCGAGUAAAUGGCAGGGAUAUGGUUUUUUUACAGUAAAUUAAUUUUAAAAACACACUAAAUUAAUAAAUUUAAAACAUUAUGUAAAAUUAUAAAAUUAGAAAUGAAGAUAUUUUUUAAAGUAAUAAAAUGCGGAGAAAAAAAUACGAACAAAUGGCCGAAGUAAGAGUUUUUUACUAACUUUUUUUUUCAACUUGCAGGCAUCGCAAUGGCUUCAUUGAUUAGCAAAAAAAGCCACAUAUCUGAUGCGGUUAAUAACGCGGUAUGAGUUAUUAUUUAUUAAUCACGGGUUCUAUUUAUUUAAAAAGGAUAGACGUACAAAGAAAUAAUGUUAUCGUAAAAAUUUUUCUGUAAUUUAACACUAUCAGGACUCGUACCGAGUUUUAAGGGGCCGUGUGAGUGUUUUGAAGAAUACUCCGGAUGCACGGUUGAUGCCAUACUUAGAGCUAGCCGGAUUUGGGUCCGUAGCACAGAUCCAGUACACCGUAUUGCGCUUUCAUUUAAUAUUUGCGCUAGUGGAGCGGUGGCGCCCGGAGACCCACACUUUUCAUUUUCCGUGCGGGGAGUGCACGGUGACCUUGGAAGAUGUAGCGUUGCAGCUUGGGCUCCCAAUUGACGGGAGUCCCGUAACGGGAAUAUCUACAUUUACCGAUCCGGAUGCACUUUGCUAUCAGCUUCUAGGAGACUCACCAGGGGACGGUGAGUCAUAUUUUUCGGGCCUAUCAUUUACAUGGCUGAAAGCCAAGUAUGGACAAUUAUCAGCGACAGCCACUGAAGGCGAGUUGAUGUGCGCUGCUCGAGCGUACAUCAUGCAUAUCAUAGGGGGAGAACUGAUACCUGAUGCAAGCAACGACAAGGUGCAUUUGAUGUACUUGCCCCUGUUAGCUGACUUGUCCAGUGUUAGCUCCUAUAGCUGGGGCUCAGCUGUGCUAGCAGUCUUGUAUCGAGAGCUUUGUCGGGCGACAGAUCCGAAAGUUCGCUACAUUGGNNNNNNNNNNNNNNNNNNNNNNNNNNNNNNNNNNNNNNNNNNNNNNNNNNNNNNNNNNNNNNNNNNNNNNNNNNNNNNNNNNNNNNNNNNNNNNNNNNNNNNNNNNNNNNNNNNNNNNNNNNNNNNNNNNNNNNNNNNNNNNNNNNNNNNNNNNNNNNNNNNNNNNNNNNNNNNNNNNNNNNNNNNNNNNNNNNNNNNNNNNNNNNNNNNNNNNNNNNNNNNNNNNNNNNNNNNNNNNNNNNNNNNNNNNNNNNNNNNNNNNNNNNNNNNNNNNNNNNNNNNNNNNNNNNNNNNNNNNNNNNNNNNNNNNNNNNNNNNNNNNNNNNNNNNNNNNNNNNNNNNNNNNNNNNNNNNNNNNNNNNNNNNNNNNNNNNNNNNNNNNNNNNNNNNNNNNNNNNNNNNNNNNNNNNNNNNNNNNNNNNNNNNNNNNNNNNNNNNNNNNNNNNNNNNNNNNNNNNNNNNNNNNNNNNNNNNNNNNNNNNNNNNNNNNNNNNNNNNNNNNNNNNNNNNNNNNNNNNNNNNNNNNNNNNNNNNNNNNNNNNNNNNNNNNNNNNNNNNNNNNNNNNNNNNNNNNNNNNNNNNNNNNNNNNNNNNNNNNNNNNNNNNNNNNNNNNNNNNNNNNNNNNNNNNNNNNNNNNNNNNNNNNNNNNNNNNNNNNNNNNNNNNNNNNNNNNNNNNNNNNNNNNNNNNNNNNNNNNNNNNNNNNNNNNNNUAAUAAUAAUAAUAAUAAUAUAUAUCUAUAAAAUUUUUAUUUUUUGUAAUAUUUUGAUAAUAAAACCCUAACUAAAACUAUUAAUUUGAGUUUUAUUGAUUUUAAUCUUAGUAACUAAACUAAAACAAAAAAUAAAUAAAUUAUACAAAACAAUAACAAUAACAUAAUCAAUUAUUUUUAAAAAAAUACCUGAUUUUUCUCUUCUCUUUCUCUCUUUUUCUCUUUUUUUCCGCAGCACCUCUUCUUUCUUUUCUUUUUCUUCUGAUUUUUCUUGUUUCAGCUGGACAGAGUUCGUGUUUAUAACACGAGUGGUGCCGCCAACAGAGAACCCUUGUUUGGUGCCGCCAACAAGGAAUCCUUGUUUGGUGCCGCCAACAAGGUUCCCUUGUUUGGUGCCGCCAACAAGGUUCCCUUGUUUGGUGCCGCCAACAAGGUUCCCUUGUUUGGUGCCGCCAACAGUGUUCCCUUGACCCAGGGAACUGUCAAAUCAGUCCAGGUUUUUUUUUUUGUUUUUUUUGAUAUAUUUUGGUAAAUAAAAAAAUUAUAUAUAUUUUGGUAAAUAAAAAAAAUGUAUAACAUUUUGGUAAUUUUUUAUUUUUUUAUAUUAUUUUUGUAAAAAACUCGUUUUUAAUGCCUUCACAUAUAUAUAAUAUGUUCUAAAAUGGAAAGGGUAUUUUGUAAAAACAUAGAGGCAAAAGUUAAAAAACACUUUCCCACCAAUGAAAAUAAAAACUGCUUCGGGAUUGGGAAACAUUACACUAAGAUAUCCGCUCACCAUUCGCUGGCGCCUACAUAUUUUAGCUAUUAUUUUGAUUUUUGGGGAUGAGAUUUGUUGCGUGAAUUACUGAGAUUAUUUUACGGUACGAAUGGCUUACUAUCAGCCGCCCGAUCUAAUUACAUAACGUUGAAUGGUUGAUGAUUUCGGUGGGUCCCAACUUCAGGGUGGGAGAAAGCCAACGAAAGUAUGACACGUGGUAACAGCUGCGUGGAUUGAGUUGCAUCUGAUUGAAUAAGUCUUAUGGGAUUUUGUUAAAGAAGAGCCCCAGGCAACAGAGAAUAUUAGAGAGGUUCCGCACAUGUUGGGAAAAGGUAAUGUUAUGAACCAAAACUUGUAAGAACCCGACAAAGUACAUUAGAAAAUGACCAAAUCAUCCUUCUACAUUCACACACGACAGAAAUUAUUUUGAUCACAAAAGUUAUGACUGCGGAUACUUAAAAAAUGUGAGAAUUUUAAAAUUUUGUUUUUCUAAAAUUUUGUUGAAUUUUUUAAAUUUUUUUAAAAUUUCUAUGAAGUACAUUUGGACUACUAUAUUAGUGACGUUGAAAUUUAACAGUCCAAACAACAUCCUCAUCUAAAAAGAAUUAAUUUGAUUAAAUUUUAAAUAUUAAAAAAUAACAUAAUCCAAAAAAGAAAAAAAAAUUGAAGACCAAAGUGACAAAAAAAUGAUAAAAAUUAUUAGCUACAUUGCUAAUUAUCAAAUUAUGUCUCAAAGGUUUUCAUUAAAAAAGUAUGAAAUAAUUUUCUUUUUGAAUUUAUGCAAACUAUUUUUAGUGGUUAGUUAUUUAAUAAAAUUAAAAAUAUUAAACAGUUUUUAAAAUUUAUUUUAUUAUUUUGAAAUCAAUUUAGGUUUAAAAUAAUUUCAGUAAUUAAAUUAAUAUUUUGAUUAUAUUAAAAUAGAAAUAUAUAUUUUUUCCUUUGAUUCCACGUUAUUUAUUUUUAAACAAAGCUAAAUAACACAAGGCAAAAAAAAAAAAACCAGCGCUAUUGUUUAAGUAUUGGUAGGCAAAAGUAACCGCCCAAACGGUAUGGACUAUGGAUUUCUAGACUGGGCGGCUGCCUACCAAAAUGGAGGCGCUGUCUUUUAAAAAAUGAGAACCCUAAUGUUUAACGUAGAAGUUGAAUUCAAGGUCAACAUUAUUAUCAAAAUAUGAAAAUCUACUAAAAAUAAACUCUACUUAUUAUACCUAUAUUUUAUCAAUUUAAACCACAUUCUAGAGUCCACCAUAUUUAUUCAUCUUAAUUAAAUUAUUUUUUAAUUUAAUACUUGUGAUGAUUCAUUUUAUUGAAACUAUGGAGAAAAAAUUUAAAUUAUAUAUUUUAAGUUAAAACAGUUUCGAAAAUAAUAAUAAUAAUAAUAAUAAUGAAAAAUUGAGUGAAAAUUUAAUUGAAUCAAUUAUAUGAGAAAUUAUUUUAUGAUUCUUCACACCACAUCAUCCAUGAUCCAUUUUUAAUUAUUUAAUGACAUUUCAAUAAUUUUUUCAUGUUAUUAACAAAUAAUGUUGAUACUUUUUUAUCCUCGAAUCUCAGUUGAACCCCAAACCCUAGGUUCAAGGUUUAAGUUCAGAAUUUGGGAUUCGAGUUUGGGUUCAGAGUUUAGAAUUUAGGGUCAAUAAGGUUUUGGUUUCAGAGUUUAGGGUAAAUUAUCAAAAUUAUGUGUCAGUAACCUUAAGAGAAAUUAUUUUAUGGAUCCUUCCUAUCACAUCAUUUAUGGUCCAUUUCUAAUUAUUUAAUGAAAUUUCAACAAUUUUUUCAUAUCACUAACAAAUAAUUUUAGUAUUUUUUAAACCCGAACCCUGAACCCUAGUUUCAAGAUUCAAGAUUCAAAGUUGUAAAAAUUGAAUGUCAAUAAUGACAAGGAAUCGCAAAGAAAGAGAGAAAAUAGAAACACAAUUUUAUGUGAUAACCCUUUCGGGAAAAAACUACAGGUAAAGGAGAAGAAAAUUCACCAUGUCGAAUUUGAAUGAUACAAGAGGAGUAUAGACUACAUCUAUUUAUAGGUUUGUAAAACUAUAUUCUAAUCAAAGUUAAAUAGAAGUAAUGCAAUAAGGUUAAAACACCUUAUUCUAACCGGCCUUCGCUCUCGUAGAUCCCUCUAUCUUGUCACUUGUAUUUUAUUUUUAACAGGAAUUUGGGUAACACGACUUCAAACAAAAGUUCAAGUUUAGGAUUUGAGAUUUAAGAUUUAAUAUUAUGGUCAGGAUUCAAGGUCCUGGUUUCGGGAUUCAGUGUAAAUUAUCAAAAUAUAUGUGCCAGUGACAUAGAAAAAAUUACUGAAAUAUCAUUAAAUAAUUGAAAAUAGAGCAUGGACGAUGUGGUGGGAAAGAUCCAUAAAAUAAUUUCUCCAACUAUAUUUAUAUUUAAUAUUUAAAUAUAUUUUAUGUUGGUUCUGAUAUUAUUUGUUAUCUAAAUUCAUUUUAUUUAUACACUUUUGUUGAUAUACUUUGUUUAUUUUAAAUUGUAUCCGAAAUAUUGAAUAUUGAUUUAGUUAAUAUAUAUUUAACUAAUGUUUUUCAAAAACAAAAUAAAAUAAUUAGUCUUGAUUUAAAUCGGAUCGUGGGCGAAAACUUUGAAGGAAACCUGACAGACCAUUUCUUAUCCCUAUAUUUAAAGGGAAAAAAAGAAGAUAAGCCAUUGCUAUGAUUUAUUUAAAACGCGAGCAGUUUUGAUUAGAAAAACAACUUUCCGUCUUUGAAAAAUAAAAGGAUUUGCUUUGAAUAAGAGCAUUUUAAUCCACGGUUCAAACAGUUCCUCAAUUUAAAUAUGCUUAUACUGAUUUUAUAUAUACGAGUGUGAUACUCGUGCUCCACGCUGGGAUUUAUAUUUAUAUAUUUAAUACAAUUAAGAAUAUAUAUAUAUAUUGUUUUUUUUAUUUGAUUUUUGAAGUGAAAAUUAAAUCUAUUAAUGGGUCAAGUUAUCUGUUCAGGUCCGAAGGCUCGCUCGAAAGAUGAGAGAAUUUAGAUAAAAAUACGAUAUUAGAAAAAUGGGCUUGAGUAAAAUUUAAGACAUGUUUUCUAUAUGGAUUGGGCAUUGGGUAAGUUUUUACCCAAGCCUGGCCCGACCCAAAUCUAUUAUGUUAUAAAAAAUAUUAUAUUAAAUAUAUAUGUUAAAUAAUAAUUAUAUAUUUAUAUUUAUAUUAAAUCACUAAUCCAAAAAUAAUUAAACUCAUUACCGAAAAUCUAAAAAAAAAAACUUAACUAACUAAAUAACCCAAUUCAAAAUAAAAAAAUUUAAAAUUUAUAUUAAAUACAAUAAAAUAUUUAUUAUAUUUAUGGUAGUUUUUUUUAAUAUAAAUACUUUUUAAUGUGUUAAAAAUUAUUAUUUUAGCGUUUUUAGUGGAUUUAGUGUAUUAUAUAUAACAAAAUUAUUUUUAAAUUAAAACUAAUUUAAAAAACAAAUAUAGGCAUGCCGGGCCCAUGCUUACUUUCUUAAAUUGGGUUGGGCUUGGGCAAACAACAAAUCUAUUUUUAGGCUAAACCGAGCCAGAACUUAAAAAAUUGAUCUAGAUAUCUUAUAUGAGCCUAGCCCAAACUCGGCUCAGCCCAUGAACCCUUCUAGUGAGAACUUAUCUGAUGCAAAUACAUUGAAGAAAAAUUCAAAUAAAAUAUAUUUAUUGACACGGGAAAUACGAUAAAUAUAUUUUAAAAAAACAUGUUAUUAAGAAAUGUAUUAAAAGCAUUGAUUAAGAAUUAAUUCAUUUGGUAUUAUUAUUAUUGCAACAACUGUUUUUAAUACAUUUUAAGAUUCUUUUAUAAUAAAAAAAAAGAAGAAGGAGAAGAGAAUUUUACAUGUAUAAUGCCUCUAAACAUUUGUUAUAAAAGAAUUUUAAGUUCCAUUUGUUUGCUUGUAAAAUCUUUUACGAAAAAGCUUAUUAAAAUAUUCUUUUAUAAAAUCAAUAAAAUCUCUUAAACCACAAUACAAUAAAUUAUAAAUAUUUAAAUUUACUAUUUUAAUUAAUUUUUAUAUAAACAUUCAUUUAACAAAUUUUUAAUAAAUAUAUUUAUUACAUAAUUUUUCUAUCCAUGUUGUAAUCCGUAAGUGUUGUACAAUAAUACCGUAUCAUGUAUGUAUGUUAUGAAAUAAAAUUUUAAUAAGGGACCAUCAAACCAUUUUGUAAUGAUGAAUAAGGUCUAUUUUGUAGCAAAUUAUAUAAAGCCAACAAUUGAAAUAGGAAAGGAUUGUCAAUUAAGUCUUUUAGUUCGGUUGGUAUUGAUAUUAUUAUUAAUUCAAUAAGAUAUAAAUUCGGAUUUGUUAAAACGUAUUUAUCCUUCUGCUUAACGGUUGGGAGGGAUUACGAGUAUAUAAACCUUAAAAAAAAAAGUCAAUCAUCAUAUAAAUGGAAUAUCGAAACACAGCAGCCAAAAUCAAAAUUGGAAAGCAAAAAAGAAGAAGAUUCCAUCAAUUUAAACUUUAUAUAGCAUAUCUUACACGCAACUAUUGUUAGAACAUCAUGGUUAAAUUUCACGAACAAAAUGCUAACUUCUUUUUUUUUUUUUUGAAAUAAAAAUAUUCACCUAUGUUUCGAAAAAUUAAACGAUUAAUUAUAAAAUGUGUUUCAGUUUUAUAUGCAGGAAUUAAACUCUGAUUACAUGAUUAAAUAAUAAUGUGAGUAAUUAUCACAAUACUUUUUAUGAUUUGUAAACAUCAUCUCUUAUACACAAAUGUUGUCAUUGAUUAGACACAAGAAUGGCAAAGCCUAAGUCCAAGGAAGUUUGAACCGUUCCGCUCUGAAUAGAGUAGACUUUUUUCUUUUUUGAAAAAUGAAUGCGGAGCGGAAUGGUGCUGGGCAAUGUGGAUUUUUUUAACAGAUCUGCUCGUGGGUCGAACUAUUCGUCCAGAUCCGAAGGUUUGCCUGAAAUUUGGAAGGGUUUGGAUAAAAAUAUUAAGCCCAAAAAAUGGGCAUGGACAAGAAAAUUAGGUCCGUAUAAAAUAUGGGUCAGGCUCGAACAUUUAAGGCCCGAGCCCUACCCGUUUUUAAGUUUGUAAUACUUUAAUUAUGUUAUUUUUUUUAUAUAUUAUGUAAUUUACAACACAUUUAAAAAAAACCUAUAUUAAAUAUAUAAUAAUACUUUAAUGUAAACAUUAAAAUAAUGUUAAGAGGACUAUAUAAGAAAUUUUAAUAAAUAAAAAAUGUAUAAAAUUAUUAAAUAUUAAAAUAAUAUAAUAUAAAUAUUUUUUUAAAAUAAAAAAUAAUAUGGAUGGGCCUAAAAUGGACUAUAUAAGCAAAGGGCUAGAUUAGAAAAAUAAGGCCUCGAGUAAGAGUUUUUUGGACUGGGCCUGGCUCGACCUAAAUUUGCAACAACAAAAAAAGCCGUUUUCACUAUUAAAUUGCUACUAUUUUUGUUGUUAUUGUUUGGAUAUUGUAUAACUCUUAUUUUAUUGUUAAUUUUGCUACUAUUUUAGAGGUAUUUGAUUAUUAAGUUACACCUAGUUAAUUAAAUAUAAAAAACUUUUUUAAAUUUAUUUUUAAUUUGUUCGAAAAUAUUUAUUUUAAUAUUUUUAGUAUUUUUGAUGUAUUAUUAUUUUAAUUUUUAUAUAAAAAUAAAAUAAAAUAUUUUUAUACGGGCUGAGCUCAGGUUUAGCAUCUAUAAUCCGGGUUGGGCUUGGUAAAAAAUUUAGACUCAUUUUUCAGAUCAAGCUUGAGCCUAUGAAACAAGCCUAGAAUUUUGUUAGGGCCCGGCCCAUGAACAAAUCUAAACCAAAAUGCAAUUUUGUCACAUAAAUUUAUAAUUGGCAAAAUUACAAAUCUUCAUUUUUGGGGGCCCUACCCACCUUUUUUAUAUUCACCCUUGCUGAAAUUUGAAGACUGUUAUUUUAAAAAAUAAUUGCACAAAGCAAGUAGAUUAAAAUUAGGGACCGAAAAAGAAUAUUGUGGAGGAGAUGAACAAGUGGGCAAGAGAUAGAGGAAGUUACUAUCAUUAAAGCAUAAUUUUUAUUCGGUUCUAUGUGGUUUAUAUCCGAAAGUAAACGAAAGAAAAAUCAGAAAUAAACAUUGAUUUUCUUAUUCUUAGUAAUCCUCUUGGAAUAAUCAUAGCUAAGCAAGCCAGGAAGCGUUUUCAUCAAUUUGAGUGAUAACGCCUUACACGCUUUGCCUUUCUCAUCUAACUAAGCUUGGGAUAAUAUGUUUAAGUGAUACUGUGGAUUUAUUCACCUUGUUAGUUGAUGAAUAUAGCUUCAUGGGUAUUGUGGUAUAAUAUUGGGUUAUCCUCGAUAUGUAUAGAUUUCAUAUUUUAAAAGAACUAAUACGAUUAAAAACUACACGAGCUUUCUAAGCAUUCAUUGCUUACGUAUUUGUUUUUUUAUUUACCUUACAGAUUAUCUGAAGCUCGAUUGGGUUGGAAACUUGUCGGAGAUAUAUCACACUAUCCAUUGGUUUUAUCGGUAAUUUUGGAUGAUUUGAUUCUAGUUAUAAUGGCAUGUAUAAGUUAAUUUAGCCAAUGUUGGCUCAUUAAUGUUUUGAUUUUUGUUGGUUUCAAAUAUGAAUGCUAGAUGAAAUGAAAUGUCUGAAAAUUAAUUUGUAAAUUUUGGUAAUGCUCUGUAACCCUAUUUUGGUGACGGAUUUAGGUUUGGGGUGUUACAUAAAUCAUAUCAAAUUAGCCCCUAGAGUUCAACAUUUUUCUAAAAUCGUGCUUAUCAUUACUUACCGUAACCCAUUAAUUGAUAAUAGUUGAUUUACGACACUAUAGCCCAAUGUAGACUAGCUGUACAUUUAGGAUAUACGGAAAUAAAUCGAUAAUGCAUUGUUAAUGCAUAUCAUAUAUCACUAAACACAAAGUGCAAAUAACAAUAACCACCGAAGUGCAAAAUAAUAACGAUAAGCACCAAAGUGCAAAUUUUUACAACGAUAAGCACCAAAGUGCAAAAUAAUACGAUAAGCGCACUAAUUUUCCUUAAUGACAUGCCAUCAAUAUCCCAAUAGUUUGGGACUCGUCUACAAAAGCUUUUCUUAUUAUUAAAUAUUUUCAUUCAUUCACUUGAUAGAAAAUAAUACAACUUUGUAUUUUUCACGAUUUAGUCCUUAUCACAAUAAUUACACUAAAACUUGUAAAUUCUCUUCACUUUUACCACAUACAACACUAUAAUUUUUACAUCACUUCAUUUAAACUCACUUUCCACAUUUCAUAAUAUCAUAACAUAUUUUAAUUUCUUUCAAUUUAAUCCUUUUUCAUUAUCACCGUAAUACGCCAUAUAAUGGUACACCAAAGUCAAAAUUCAUAACAUUUACAUUAUUUACCCAUACUAAAUACUUAUUAUGAUAUCAUUAAUUUAGUAAUUAAACUACUUAAUUAACAUAACUUAAACAAAAUUACUACUUGAGGUACUUACAACCAAAAUUUGGAUGAUGAGUUUUUCUUCUCUUCUACUCCUUGGCCACUUCUUUUCCUUUCCUUUCACUUUUGUCCUCAAACUUCUUCUGUUUUUUCUUCAAUUUCAUAACAACAUAAAACAUUUAUAAGUUCAAACUAAAAUCAAAUAACUUUUCCAUGUUAGAUUAUAAAAAUAAACAUGUAUGUUAUAAGAGUUUCCAUCAUUCUUACCUUAACUCUUUGAAAACCCAAAACCCUAACUCUUGUCUUUCUCUCUUUUAACCCAUCUAUGGAAGUUUCCUCAUGAAAUAAAGUUACUCACUAUUCUUCUUUUUAGCUUUUACGAAAGAAAUGUUUGAAGCUUGGAUGGUUCAACAAUGGAGGAAGGACAUGAAAGGAAAUAAAAGAAAAGUUUGAUGGGUUUGCGGGGUGGUGAUUGAUGAUUUGGUGUUUGGAAAAUGAUGAGAUCUUUCAUAUUUUCUCCACUUUUCUACACAUUUCCUCUAAAAAUAACUCACUUUUUUAUUAAAUGGUCAAUUUGUUAAUAAGUCCUCAAGCCAUCCAUAUUUACACUUUACCCAUAUCAUUACACCUUAAAAUAUCUACUUGGUUGUUUACUAUUUUAUCCCAACUCAUCUUUUAUAAUUCCUAGGAUGCCUCAUACUUCACCUUGGUUAAAUUUCUUCUUAAUCUUUCCUUUCUUUCUACUACCACUAUGUAUCUCCUAACUUUCUAAAUUCCUACUUCUACCACAACAAUUUUUAUACUCUUUCAAUUUAGUCUAAGCUUCUAUUUAAAUCUUUUCUAUCUCGGAAAUAUUUUUUAAUCUCCUAUCGAGUCUAAAUACUUCCUACUUUAAUACUAAAAAUCCCUAUUUAGUCUGUUUCAAAAAUUCUCCAUUAUUUACUGGCCCAAUCCAUCACUGUACCUAACUCCAAGUCAAAAUAUGGUCGUUACAUUUAGGACCGACCAGAAUCCGAUUCGGCCUGGCCCAUGAGAAUUUCUACCAUAUAUAUAUAUAUGUUCCUAUGCUAAUAUAUUUACUUAUACGAUCAAGAGCGAAGCUAAAAAAAAUUGGGGCAGAAUUAAAUUGUAUAUUUUUACAAUAGUAAAAAUGCAAUUUCACCAUUUUAAUAGCUUAUAUCUUUAUAUUUUUUUUAUUGUUUUUAGGGGGUCAAAGUGCAAUUUUAUUAUUCCUAAUUAAAAUUUUAUAAAUUAUAAAUGAGCCUAAAUAAAAAAAAAAUCCAUUUUAAGGGUUGAGGCCCCUGUCAGCUCCCUUGUCUUUGCCAUUGCAUAUGAUGUUAAAGGUCAAUUAUAUAAUUUGCUUAAAUUAAAAUAUUGUGAGUUGUAUGCAUGUUUAUGUUCAUUAUCAUUGCGUUUCGCGAGUUUACUUUAUGUCUUAUUAAUCUUGUAAGAUAGUACUACAAACCACGAAUCACCUUGCAAACUAAAGAUGUCAAGACUUAACCAGCCAUCAAUAUUGAGAACAUACAUAAUGAGGACCACAUGAAUAAAAUAUCUAUCACUUGUACGCCACAUUUAUUUGCUAACCUGAUAUGAUAAUCUAUACUUACGAGACCAAGAGAUUUAUAGGUCGGUUGAGUUCAUGACCAACUUAUCUAUAAUAUUAUAUUAUUUGUAUAUUUGAAAUUUAGUCUCUUUUCUUUUCAAAUUUAAAAAUUCAAAUUCAAUUUUUAACAUCGUUAAAAUUAUUCUGUUGAAGUCACUAGUGUGAUAUUUUGAAAUAAAAAAAAAUAAAGUUCACUUGGUAGUCAUGUAACACACAAAAAAAAAUUGUAAUAAACUUAAAUUUAAUAGGAUAAUUUUAACGAUGUUAACAAUUAAACUUAUAUUUUUAAAUCCCAAAAGUAGACAGACUAAUCUACUAAAAAUAAAUUAGAGAACUAAAUUUCAAAUAUAUGAAGGGUAUAGGGACUUGGAACAUAUUUUAACAUUUAAUUUGUUUUCUACCUUUAGCCCCUUCUUUCUCUAAAUAUUCAAGUUCAAUGAAUUAAUUUUGUUAUAUCAAACUUUGCUAUUAGUAUUGCAAUAUGCAUAAGUUGUAAUUUGAUUAUUUUUAAUCCCUAUACUUUUUCAAAUUUGAAGUUUCAGUCCUAACUCAAAACGGUAGUCAUUAAAUCCAUUAACUAAAAUAACAUGAUUUUUUGUGAGUAUUACGUAAAAAUAACAAGUUAAUAUAACAUAUAUAAUCAUGUUUACCAUUAAAAUUUUAAAAAUAGCAUAACUUAAUUUAACGAAUACCAUUUCGUUAAGACUAAACUUUCAAAACUUGAAAAAUACAAAUUAAAAUACAUAACUCAAAUAUGUACCUUACACUUAGUACAAUGACUAACAAAAAAAAUUUAACCUUAAUCCACUCGAAGCCCAUUUGUUCUACCAGUCCCUCCCACUUAGAUACCACAUGUAUUAUUGGGUUCAAAUUGGAUUAAUCAAUUAAACCGAUUUAACUAAAAAUUGAUCGAUAUAUCUUAUUAAGAUUGAAUCAAUUUUUUAUUAAAUCAUUCGGAAUAGCGGAGAUAAAAAAAAUGAUUAAACAGUUUGAAUAUGUUUAUAAAUUUUUAAUAAUAUAUUUUUUAUUUAAUAUUCAUGAACUGAUGUGAAACUAAUUAUAAUAAAUAGAUAAAUAAAUAAAUAAAUCUAAAAAUGAUCUUUUAUUGCAAUAGCGAAAAAUAAUUGAUCAACAAAAUAUCUAAAUGAAUAAUACACUAUUUUCUUACCCAAAAAAAAAUCAGUAAUAAUACUAUAAUAAAAAACCAGGAGCACCACCAACACCAUGGUGCAACAAAUUAUGAGCAAUACUAUCCCUAGCUUGUGCAGUAGCCAUGGAUCUCAAAUACCUCAAAUUUCAACUCCCCCUCCAUUUCUUCCUGCCUCAUCUCACAAAUAUUAUGCAAAACGCAAGAAGCUCCGAGCACCGCCGGUAAUUCUUGAAGUUUAAUAUCCAUUCUCUUCUGCAAAAUCGCCCAUCUCCCUUUCAAUCUUCCAAACGCUUCUUUUCCCAGUUUUUCAAUCUCAUAAAUCUUUUCAUUGAAAGCAUGUUGAGCCCAGUUUUUCAAUCUUCUCAUAAUAAGGAUUGUCAAUUAAGUAUUUUAGUUCGGUUGGUAUUGAUAUUAUUAUUAAUUCAAUAAGAUAUAAGUUCGAAUUCGUUAAAACGUAUUUAUCCUCCUGUUUAACAAUUGGGAGGGAUUACGUGUGUAUAAACCUUAAAAUAAAAAAGUCAAUCAUCAUAUAAAUGGAAUAUCGAAACAAAGCAGCCAAAAAUGAAGGGCAAAAUAAAAAUUGGAAAGCAAAAAAGAAGAAGAUUCCAUCAAUUGAAACUUUAUAUAGCAUAUCUUACGCGCAACUAUUAUUAUUGAUUCUACGUGAGUCAGAACAUAGUGGUUAAAUUUCACGAACAAAAUGUUAACUUUCUUUUUUUUCGAAACAAAAGUAUUCACCUAUGUUUCGAAAAAUUAAACAAUUAAUUAUAAAAUGUAUUUCAGUUUUAUAUGCAAGAAUUAAACUCCGAUUACAUGAUUAAAUAAUAAUGUGAGUAAUUACCACAAUACUAUAUAGGAAAUUUCAAUAAAUAAAAAUGUAUCAAAUUAUUAAAUAUUAAAAUAAUAUAAUAUAAAUGUUUUUUUAAAAUAAAAAAUAAUAUGGACGGGCCUAAAAUGAACUAUAUAAGUAAAGGACUAGAUUAGAAAAAUAAGGCCUGUUUAGAAAAUGGGUUAGGCCUCAGGUAAGAGUUUUUUGGACUGGGCCUGGCCCGACCUAAAUUUGCAAAAAAAUAAAUUCGUUUUCCCACUAUUUUGCUGCCGUUUCACUAUUAAAUUGCUACUAUUUUUGUUGUUAUUGUUUGGAUAUUGUAUAACUUUUAUUUUAUUGUUAAUUUUGCUACUAUUUUAGAGGCAUUUAAUUGUUAAGUUACACCUAGUUAAUUAAAUAUAAAAAAAUUUAAAUUUAUUUUCAAUUUGUUCGGAAAUAUUUAUUUUAAUGUUUUUAGUAUUUUUGAUGUAUUAAUUUUUUAAUUUUUUAUAUAAAAAAUAAAAUAUUUUUUAUACGGGCUGAGCUCAGGUUUAGCAUCUAUAAUCCGGGUUGGGCUUGGUAAAAAAUUUAGACUCAUUUUUCAGAUCAAGCUUGAGCCUAUGAAACAAGCCUAGAAUUUUGUUAGGGCCCGGCCCAUGAACAAAUCUAAACCAAAAUACAAUUUUGUCACAUAAAUUUAUAAUUGGCAAAAUUACAAAUCUUCAUUUUUGGGGGCCCUACCCACCUUUUUUAUAUUCACCCUUGCUGAAAUUUGAAGACUGUUAUUUUAAAAAAUAAUUGCACAAAGCAAGUAGAUUAAAAUUAGGGACCGAAAAAGAAUAUUGUGGAGGAGAUGAACAAGUGGGCAAGAGAUAGAGGAAGUUACUAUCAUUAAAGCAUAAUUUUUAUUCGGUUCUAUGUGGUUUAUAUCCGAAAGUAAACGAAAGAAAAAUCAGAAAUAAACAUUGAUUUUCUUAUUCUUAGUAAUCCUCUUGGAAUAAUCAUAGCUAAGCAAGCCAGGAAGCGUUUUCAUCAAUUUGAGUGAUAACGCCUUACACGCUUUGCCUUUCUCAUCGAACAGAUCCUACGACGUGCGAUGAUGAAAAAUGCCAAUCAAAAUGGUCAAAAUCUAGAUUUGGUCCCUUUACUUUACACCAAUUUGUGAUUUAAUCCUUUUAUUAUAAUUUGUGGCCCUUCUAUUUUGUUAAUGUGCUUAAUUGGUUUAAAUAGUGUCAAUUCUUUGGUUAAUCUUUUCAGUGUUAACGAUGGGUAAAUGUUGAAACGGUUUUUUCUUUUCUUUUUAUCUUCUAUGUUUGUUUUACGAUUUAUGUUCGAAGUUUAUGAUUAUCUCUCUUAACAAUAUUAUUUCCAAGAUUUAAACCUACGAUCAAGUUAUUCAAAAAUAUCCAUGUAAAAAUGAGAUCAUUCAACCAAGUACUCCCGUUAUAAAAGUAGAGGGAAUAACUAAAGGAUUAAAUCCCAAAUUUUAAAACCUAGAGGGAUCAAACUCAAAUUUAAGUAUUAUUCCCAAUCCGACCAUCAUCAAUACUUCCCCCCCAAGAAAAAAGUUUUCCCCCUCAGAACACACUUUUUUAAAAUAGAUUCUUAUUCGAGCUUUUUUUAGUCUUAUAUAAACAGACUAAAUUGCAAAAACAAAAAACCACAACAAAGAGUUUAAAAAAAACAUCUCCAAGCCAAACCAUUUCUCCGCUGGCAUUUGCUUACAACAAAAAAAUUUCAAAUUGAAGAAUGGCUUCAAGAGUUGGGUUCAUGGGACAUAAAUCAAAGGAACGAAAGGAUGACCGUAAAGACAAAUUGUCCGAAGUGUUCAAGAGCUAUGCUGCUAAUGGGCUGCUAGACAAGGAAAGGCUGAAAGAAGCUUUUCUACAUCUAGGUUCUGCCAUGUCGUACCAUCAAGCCGAAGAAGCCCUCCGUGUCGUCGGCAAAACCUAUAACAUUAACGUCAAGGAUGAAACCGAGCUUAACGCCCUUAUCAACUAUGCUUACAAUAAGGGUUACGGGCAAUUAAUUUGAUUAGCUAAUUUAUAAGCUUAAUUUCUUUUUCUUUUUCACUUUUAAUCAUCUAAUAUGUUUUUUUUUAUAUAUGUUUAAGUUUCGUCCCAAAAGACAUUAUUAUAGAAUAAAGGUUUCGGGGCUUAUGAUGGUGAUGUAGUUUUUGCAUGUGCUUUGCAAAGACUAUAUUAUAUAUAUGUUUGUGUAGCAAUGAACAUGAUGAUGUUCUUUAUCAAUUAUAAUGAUAUGUGUUGAAUGUUAUUAUUAUGUUAUUAAAGAGAAAUUUGGCUACUUAUUAUUGAUGCAUAUUUUAAGUUUAAAGCCCUUCGUAUGCUUUUAUUAUAUGAAUACGGAUUAUAUAAUAGAUUUAUUUAUGGGUCGAGUUAUCCGUUCAAGUUUAAAAAUCUGCUCGAAAUUUGAGAGGAUUUGGGUAGAAGUAUUAAUCCCGAAAAAUAAGCUUGAGCAAAAAAAAUUAAGCUCGUUUAAAAAUAUGGAUC
rnacentral:lncRNA from 1 species